UCGAGGUAGGUCACACAACCAAAACCGUGCGUCACACACCGAAGAUAACAACUCGAAGAAGAAUCGUUCAAAGCUGAUAUGUUGGAGAUGUGACAAGCCUGGUCACUACGCAACUGUCUGUCCCGAAAAGACAGAGAAGAAUCAAGAAACUAACCUAAACGAGACAGAAGAGGCUGAUGCACUCUAUGUACACGAGGUGGUGUUUUUGAAUGAAGAUAAGGUGAUUCCGAAGAAUCUUGAUAUCGACAAAGGCAAUGCAAGUGUCUGGUAUUUGGAUAAUGGAGCGAGCAAUCACAUGACAGGGAACAAGGAGUUCUUUUCGAGUUUGAAUCUCAACACCAAAGGGAAGGUGAAGUUUGGUGAUGGAUCGUGUGUUGACAUUGUAGGAAAGGGUGUGGUUACAUUUGUGUGCAAGACUGGAGAGAAGAAGGCACUCAAGGACAUAUACUACAUACCCGAUCUGAAGCACAAUAUAUUGAGUCUUGGGCAAGCAACAGAGAACGGAUGUGAGGUUAACAUGAAAGAUGUCUACUUAACGCUCACAGAUUCGCAUGGAAGGUUGCUAGUUCGUGUGACAAGAUCUCCAAACCGUCUCUACAAGACCCCUAUGGAGAUAAGCUACCCGGAGUGUUUACAUGUCAGGGACGUAGAUGCUACAUGGAGGUGGCAUGCUCGACUAGGACAUAUAAGCUAUGGAGUGAUGAACAACAUGGUAAGGAAGGAGAUGGUCGUAGGAAUGCCGUGUGUAACACACGAAGAAAGCGUGUGUGACGCAUGUCUCGCAGGAAAGCAGAUCAGACAGUCAUUCCCGACCAAAGCCAUGUUUCGUGCGACAAAGCCAUUAGAGUUAUUGCAUGGAGAUUUGUGUGGUCCAAUCACACCACCAACGCCUGCAAAUAAUAAGUAUGUCUUUGUAUUGAUCGAUGACUUCUCUAGGUAUAUGUGGGUUAUGCUAUUGAAGGAGAAGAGUGAGGUAUUCGAUCGAUUCAAAAGGUUUAAAGAGAGUGUAGAGAAGCAGACCGGGUCAACCAUCAAAACCUUUCGCACCGAUAGAGGAGGAGAGUUUACCUCAGCUGAGUUCAAUCUAUUCUGUGAAGAGAAUGGAGUUAAAAGGCACCUAACCGCGCCUUACACACCUCAACAAAACGGUGUUGUGGAGAGGAGAAACCGAACCUUGAUGGGAAUGACAAGAAGUAUGCUGAAGGCAAUGAAGAUGCCGAACUACUUGUGGGGUGAAGCUGUACGACAUUCAACUUACCUCAUCAACAGAGUUCCUACAAAAGCCUUGAAGAAUCAAACACCAUACGAGUGCCUUACAUCGAGGAAACCAAAUAUCAAGCACUUGAGGAUAUUCGGUUGUGUAGCUCAUGCGAAAAUCACUGGUCCUUAUCUGAAGAAGUUGGAUGAGAGAUCAAAGAGUAUGGUCAAUCUUGGAACUGAGCCGGGUUCCAAAGCCUACAGACUUUAUGAUCCAGACACAAGGAAGGUGAUGGUGAGUAGAGAUGUGAUUUUCGAUGAAGAGAAAGCUUGGGACUGGGCGUCUACAACAAACCAAGAUGAUUGUGAACCGAGCAUGCUUAAGCUUCCACAUGAGGGUGAUAUAGAAGAAGGUAAUGAUCAAGGUGAGGAUCAUGAACAGGAAGCUAUAAACCAAGAUGAGGAAGAAGAAGAAGAUGCGGAUCACAAUGCAAACCAAAACGGUGGAGGUCAACCGCUGGUGACCAGACAAGGCCGAACCAUAACAAAACCAAGAUAUCUCGAUGAUUAUGUGUUACUUGCAGAUCAAGAAAGUGCAAUGCUGUUGCUCACAGUGGAUGGCGAGCCAGAGAACUAUUUUGAAGCUGAACACGUACGAGAAUGGGUUGAAGCGAUGGUGGCCGAGUUGGAGUCUAUCACAAGAAACAAGACAUGGAAACUUGUGGAUAGACCGGCUGGAGUGAAACCCAUAGGGUUGAAGUGGAUCUUCAAGAUCAAGAGAAAGGCGGAUGGUACAGUGAGCAAGUAUAAGGCGAGACUUGUGGCAAAAGGCUAUGUACAAAGAGAAGGAAUAGAUUUCGACGAAGUGUUUGCACCAGUGGCAAGACUUGAAACCAUUCGGCUCUUAAUAGCCCUCGCAGCAACGAACGGUUGGGAGAUACAUCACAUGGACGUGAAGACCGCUUUCUUGAAUGGAGAUCUAAAGGAGUUAGUGUAUGUAACUCAACCUGAAGGUUUCGAAAAGAAAGGAGAAGAGGAUCGAGUAUAUGUGUUACACAAGGCUUUGUAUGGGUUACGCCAGGCACCCAGGGCAUGGAAUGUAAAACUCGAUCAGGUUCUCAAGGAGAUGAGAUUUGAGAAGUGCACGAAGGAACCAUCAGUGUACUGCAAGACUGAAGGAGGAGACGUCUUGAUCAUUGCCAUCUACGUUGAUGAUCUAUUUGUGACAGGGACUUCACUUAAGGUGAUUAGGCAAUUCAAGGAGGAGAUGUCUAAGAAGUUCGAGAUGUCAGAUCUAGGUAAGCUAACGUACUACCUUGGCAUAGAGGUGAUUCAAGGAGCAGACGGAAUCAGAAUAAAACAAGAGAGGUAUGCUCAAGGAAUCCUGCGUGACACAAAGAUGGAAGCGUGUAACGCAACUCAAAUUCCAAUGGAGGCGAAUUUGAAGAUCUCAAAAGCUGAAGAUGAACAAGAGAUAGAUGCUACCGAGUUCAGAAGAAUCAUAGGAUGUUUGAGGUAUCUGCUUCACACAAGACCCGACCUGUGUUACGCAGUAGGUGUUCUUAGCAGAUACAUGCACAAUCCGAGAAACUCUCACGGACAAGCCAUCAAGCACAUACUGCGGUAUGUGAAAGGAACAACAAACUUCGGUCUGUUCUUCAAGAGAGAUGGGUCAAGGAGUGUCGUUGGUUAUAGUGACAGCAGUCACAACAUUGAUCUCGAUGACGGGAGGAGCACGUCAGGACAUGCAUUCUACUACGGUUCAUCACUGAUUACUUGGACGUCGCAGAAGCAGCAGACGGUUGCAUUGUCAUCAUGCGAAGCAGAAUUCAUGGCAGCAACAGAAGCAGCGAAGCAAGCUAUAUGGAUCAAGGAAUUGUUGAGUGAGAUACUAAGCAAAGAAGGCGAGAGAGUCAAGCUUAGGAUCGACAACAAAUCAGCCAUUGCUCUAACCAAGAAUCCAGUUUUCCAUGGAAGGAGUAAGCAUGUACUCAAGAAAUAUCACUUCAUUCGUGAGUGUGUGGAGAACGGGCAUAUCGAAGUGGAGCAUGUGCCGGGUGUUGAGCAGAAGGCCGACAUCCUUACCAAGCCAUUAGCAAGGAUUAUGUUCAAGCAAAUGAGGAGCUUAAUCGGAGUUCAAGAAAUUGAUCUCCCUAAUUCAAGUUGGAAUUAAGGGGGUGAAUGUUGGAUAAUUCCAAGCUUGUGGAAACUUAACAUAUUAUUAGAUGUUUAAUAUGUUAAGAUAAACACAAUAAGGAAACCUAGAAAUAGGAAAAGGAAGUUUCUAUUUAGGUUAGGUUUGUGUUUUCCAUAUCCCACAUGUUAAAGGGAAUUGUCUUUCAUAUAAAUAUAGGUCUAAUGGAGAGGUGUUCCAUAUGAUCUAAGUGAAACAUAUUGAGAGCUUUAGUUUUGAGUAGUUUCUAAAGCUAAUAAGAAAAGUUGUUCUUAUAAUUCUUUGUGUUUCUAAGAGAUUUGAGAACCGACCUCCCUGAUGCUGGGAUGUAGCAGCUACACCACGUACCGCCGAUAUGCGAGCACCUCCGGUUGACAAUUCCUGUGAUUUCAACCAUCACAAAAUUUAGAAAUCUUACUGUGAAGAAGUUCCAAAGCCGACAAUGAAAGAUUUGUAUUUCUUUUCCAAAUCAUCCCACAGAUCUUGUAGUUUCAACUUUACUGUAAACACUGAACAGUUGGUCUUCCAAACAAUUUUGAAUGUAACAAUGCUAACAAGAGUCCUUGGAUCCAUGUUGUCUGUGGAUAACACUAAUUUGACCUCAGUAAGAUAACUAGCCAAAUUCAUAGUAGUCUAAAAUAAAUGCAUCUUUUACUUUCACUAAUUGAAGUUCGUACCAUUGAAGAAUGCACUGAAUGUUUUGGAAUAAACUAUGUCAGAAAAAAAUCUAGAGUAAUCAGUUUUUGGGAUAUAGAUCAUUUCAAUCGGCAUUAUUGGCAAAACGGGUAUUGCGGCUCUUGGAAAAUCCAUAAACUAUUUUUUGCUAAAGUAAUCAAAGAAGAUAUUUGUUUUAGAAAAAAUAUCUUGUAGAUCAUGUUUGUUUUAUUCACCAUUGUAUGGAUAGCGAAGUUUAGUUUAUGAUCGCUCUUUGGUUAACAAAGAAUUAAUAAAAAAAGGUUGGAACUGUAGCUCUGUUUCUGUUUGGAAUAAUUCAUAGAUGCCAGCCUUUCUCUUGAGACCAGCAACAUAUAAUCUCCAAAAUUUUAUUCUACUCUCACUAUAGAGUAUAAACUAGUUGAUUGACCCACAUAUAAAGAUGUGGAUUUCACAACUCAUUCAAAAUACGUUUGUAUAUCCAGAUGCAUUAAUUAGACAAAGUUUACCCAUUAUUAGAUUUGCCCUCUCAAACUCAUUAAAAUGACAUUUUACUUUUUGAAACACAAGAUGACAUUUCACAAAUCUGAAAAAUAUACAGUAAAAUUGGGUUACAGUCUUACCGAGUGGCAUGCGGUAAGGGAGGGUAGUAAAAACGUGACAUAAACCGCGUGGCGGCUCUAGGAAAGGAAAACGUCUUGUUUCCUCGUUACUAAGUACCAAACAACACGCAGUUUCUGUCUUCUCUUUCACACCACACUACACGCUCGCCUGUCUCCUCGUUCUAUGAAAAGUUCCCUGACUAUCCCAAAAGCAGAGCAUUAGCGAUCUUCUUCCUCCUCUGGUUUCGUAUCUAAUCGUAAGUUUCCUUUUCUCUCCAAAGGGCUUAUGCCAAUCUCAAUUCCAUCGCCUUAUGAGUGAACAAGUAAAGAUUUUGAUGCAGCCUAACCUAGAUCUAGAUUGGGAAUCGAAUUCGAUAGAAAACCCUAAUUUCAAAAUCAGUUCUUGAGCAAGUUUGGUUUUUUUUUUUUGCAAUAGCAGUGAUUGUGGGGAACGAGAUGGGGUUCAUAAUGGAGUUUGCGGAGAAUCUGGUGCUGAGGUUGAUGGAGGAUCCGGAGGUGAGAGACAGGAAAGCGAGGGAGCACAUAUAUGAGAUGCACGAGAGGUGCAAGAAGAUCAAGGAGAUGUGGGCUUUGCCUAUUCGUCCUUAUGGUUUCUGGACUUUUGAGCGUCACAACGCUCAGCUUCGUUGGGAUCCUCAGAUCAGUCAGGUUGCUGGUCGUAGGGAUCCUUACGAUGAUCUCCUCAAGGACCACCCUUCUUCUUCAAACUGAUCAAACAGUGGUGAGUUAUUAUCUUAUUGUUACUAUAUGCAGCUUGUGAAUAUGAUUUUCUCUAGUGUGCAACUCAUAGCUGCAUUUGAGUCUUAUAUGCUUAGGUUGGUCGAAAUGGUGUGAAUGAUUAGUGUUGGCACUUUUGUUUCUGCUUGAUGGACUAAGCUAUGUAGAUAUAUUUGGUAGUUGGCUUUAGCCAUUGGUUCAUCCGCUUAGUGGCGUGGAGUGUUGUGUAUUGUUCAUGUGAGGAGUUUGUACAUCUCUCAUUAGCGUAUGUGCUUGGAAUCUGCAGUCUUUCUUCAUACAUAUCUAAGUUUUAGUUUCAGUUUCAUUUACUUUUUUUUUUCAAGAAUGACUAAGCUGUUGUUUGCAAGAGGACCUCAAUUUUGAUCCGUUUGUUUUGUCUGUUUCAGAACGAAGAUGCUGUCUGGAAGGAUGCGUAUUCCUUUGUUUCUUUUUGUUCUUAAGGUGCCUGGAAGCUUGGUACAAACUCGAAUAAUAACUCUUGAAGACUUGUUUUCAAAUGAGAGAUUGUUUUUUAGUAAAGCUGUUUUGAUUCUCUAUUUGCAUAUUUGAUAUGAAUAUACUUUCUGAAAUGUGACAACUUCCCAAUGUUCUUAAAGGUUUGUUGCUCAAUAUUACCUUCUUUGUUACAUAGAUAUGAAAUACACACAUCAACAACCAACAAGAAAUGAAAACACUACAAGACCAAGUUCUGUGAUCAAAGAAGAACAAGAAAGAGCCUAAUAAGAUCAUUUACACAAGUAACCAAACCCAACAAACCAGACUCACAAAUGUUUCAAUCAGUGUCCGAAUCAGACGAGGAUUUGUUUCCAUCAGUAGGGGUGGUGGUCGUAUCUCCUUUCUUCUGCGCUGCAUCUUGUUCUUUUUCAUAAGCCUUGACAAUGUCAUCAACAGGAACCAAAGGAAGAUAACCAACCACAGGGUAACCCAUCUUGGUCAUGUCAGUCACCAAACCGUUGUACUUACCAGACAAGUUUGCAGCCAGUGGCAAAGCUUUGUUUCCCACUGCAUGAAUAGGUUUGUACCGGUUGAGUUUAACCCAGACUUUAACCGAGUUAGUCACAACGAAGUACUUGUACUCAGUUGCAGCAUAGUUAAAGGCAGCUUUAGGACCACCGGUACGAGCCUCUUUCACAAAGCUUUGAGCCUUCUCUGUAGUCAUCUGGAUCAGUACAUGUGCUUGACUCACUACUUGCUUAGCCAGUGGAGGAGCAUGCUUAUCAAACUUGUUCGAAACUUCACCUACCUAGAAAGCAAACAAAGUAACUAGGUCAUCAGAUCUACUAAUCAAGAACAUGGAAGGAGAUUUGAAACUGGGUUUACCUUAUGAUCAAGAAAGAGGAGGAGAGUAUCUGGAACAUCUUUGAAUUUGUUGAAGACAGGGGUGACGACGGUGGUGACGGCUCCUUCCACCUUUCCCACGGCCGGUUUAAGAGGACCGGAGUUUUGUUUGGCGUAGUCGUAGAGGUUUGAGAGGCUAACAAGAACCUGGAUCGCUGCAACUCUCACGAACCCUAGGUGGUUAAGCCCUAGCUCCUUGCUGUUCUUUUUCUCUGUUUCCAUCUACACACCAAAGAAACAACUCAACAGCUCUUCACCUAGUUCUCUUUUGCUGUGUGUUGAGCUCUUUAGAUUUGGUUCAGAAGUCUCUUGCCUGUCACACUACUAGUGGUCUCUAUAUUGUGUUAAAAAGCAGUAAAGUAUCUUUCACAUCAGGUUGAGGAUUGGUUGUAAAACGAAAGGGAUGGACUUAGUCCACGUGAUCUAACGGUUGAGAAUAAAUCUGGUGAGGUUGGGCCUUGAAAGAAAAUCAUUUUCUUGAGUAUCGUGUCGUGUCUAGAUGCUUCGCUGUGGGCUCCGCGCGACGUAAAUAUUCAAGGAGAUACCGACAAGGACACGUGUAUACUUCCGACUGCAUGGUGAUUGUGUAAAAUUCUUUAAGGUUUUUUUUUUUGGUCGACAAAUUCUUUAAGGUUUUAUGUUUGGAACUUUGGAUUACCAGUAGUUAACAAAUUAAAUUCUUGAAAAGGAAAUAAUUCUACUUCAUUACUAUAUUUGAAGCAGUCGGUGCAUUAGAAAAGUCCACGAUAGCUUACAAAUUUAUUAUCUUCCCAAAAACCAUAAGAUAUCUUAUCUAUUAAAACAAAAAUCAUGAUUUUGUUCAUGUGUAAUUUUUUUUAUUUAGACCAUUUCUUAAUUUCUUAAAAAUUAUUAUAACAAUGCUAAUCUUUUUUGGUACAAGUAUAUUGCAUUAUUCAGUCACCAAUCCAUUUUUUAAAAAAUAUCGCUUAAAAUAGGGACUUACAGAAUCAUUUAAUGAAUUCGACCCAUUAUUCAGUUACCAACCCCCAUAUAAAAACUUUUAUUUAUCCUCACAGAAAAAUAUAAAAAUAAAAUUACAUCAUAUAAAUAUAAUAUGAGAUAACUGAACGUACCCAUGAAUUCAAAAGUUCUGCAUCAGAGAAAUUAUCUUAUCACUGUGAUUUUUUUUAUUCGGACCGUUUCUUAAUUUCUUAAAAAAUAUUAUAACAAUGCUAAUCUUUUUUGGUACAAGUAUAUUGCAUUAUUCAGUUACCAAUCCAUUUAAAAAAAUAAGCAUCGCUUAAAAAUAUGGACUUACAGAAUCAUCUAAUGAAUCCAACCCAAUAUUUAGUUACCAACCCAUAUAACAACUUUUAUUUAUCCUCACAGAAAAAUAUAAAAAUAAAAUUGCAUCAUAUAAAUAUAAUAUGAGAAUAACUGAACGUACCCAUGAGUUCAAAAGUUCUGCAUAUCAGAGAAAUUAUUUUAUUUUACAUGCACACACAAUAUAUAUUAUUCUAUAUAGUAUUCAUACAAAUUGUAUAUAUGCUAUCUUUCAUGUUCGAAAAUACAUAACGAGUAACUGUAGCCUGUAGGGUGUACCAAAUAUUGUAAGAAGAUUAUAAACAAAACUCUGCUCUUUUUCUAAACAACUAACUAAAUUAGAAAAUGUAGAUAGGUGCAACAUUGAGCUAACGAGUGACUCUACUUCUUCUAAGUUCUAACCAUUUGAAUAUACAACCGGAUUAUGUCAGGAUUAUAUCAGUAGUUAAAAUUGGUUGUCAAAUAUCAUUUAAAUACAAAUAACAAUUUACUAAUAUGUAUAUAUGUAUAUAUAUAUAUAUUAAAAUACAUUUUCACUAUAUAUUAUGUUCAAAUAAUGUAAAAUAGUUAUAUUACAAUAAUAUGUUCAAAAUAAUAUCGACAACAAAAUAUAAAAAACAUAAAGUGAUUAAAUUAAAAAGAAUCUAUAAAACUAUGAAAUAAUUUACAGAAACUAAUUUUCAUAGAAAUAUAAUUCAGAAAACUUAUUUAGUUAUAAGAAUAUAAUAAAUAAUUUUUAUUUCAUAAUUUAGUGAAUAUAUUUAUUAUACAAAAUAUUUUCAAUAAUAAGUUGAAUAUGUAAAAUUAAUAUUUUAAGUUUUUUUGUAAAUGUUGCGAGUGAUAGAAUAAGUUUGACACUAAAGCAUACUGUACGUAGUCCUUAUAAUAGGAGAAAUGCAUUAUCUAAGAAACAUGUGUAUUUAAAAAUAUAGAUGUACUAAUAUACAAAAUCAACUAAAUGGUAGGUUUUAUAAGCAAAUACUCUGGAAACAAUAUCAUGUACAUAGUACAUCUAAGUUAAAAAAAUUAUAUUGUACAUAAUUAUAAAAUUUUAUAAUUUUAUGUUACUUAUUUAACGUACUGAAAUAUUGUAAAGUUGAUUUAUAAAAUUAUUUAUAAAACAUCUGUGCAGUCGCGCAGAUCAAACUCUAAACUCUAGUUAUAUAUUAAUACUUGGAUAAUAAGCAUGUCACAUUAGUGUGGAUUGUGUAGUAAUUAAGAACAUCAAAUUUUGUAGUGUAGUGUAGUGGUUCAUGGAUAAUUAGGGUCGGCCCGCCCUACGGGCGGGAUAUUAGUUAGUUUGAUAUUCACUAAAUGCUCGAGUUGAAAUUUGUUUUAAGAUUCAGGAAUUUGGUUAUCUGUUAUGUGUUACUUAUUAGUAUGCGGUGGUAUAGUUGUUUUUCUAUUAUUCUUGCUUUGGUAUUGUAUCAAAUUAACUAAUUGUCUAACUCAUAAUUAUAGAUGUACAAAUGUGGAUUUGUGAUAAAGUUUGAAGACAAUACUGUUUUUUUUUAAUUAUUCAAGUGGAGUGUGCAUGUGUCAGAAAGAGGCCUAUAACAACUUUUAUGUUUUUGCGUAUGGAUUUUAAAUAUAUAUUAUUUUGUAUAAUGCAUACUUGCUCUACAACAUUUGCUUGUAGACUAAAAAAACUGUUUUCUAUAUUUUUAAAAGAGAAAAUAUUUAGUCUAGAAUAUAACAUGGAUAUAUGGAUUGACUAUAUAUAGAAGUUGAGUGUUAUUUUAAAAUGACAUAUGUAUAGAGGUUUUUCAACCAUUACUUCACUGACACAAAACAUUUAUAACUGUAAAUACCUUCUUUUAAAAGCAAAACUAAUAAAAGCGUGUACAACAAAUGUAUUUUGAUAUAUAUUAUACGCAUCAAGUUAUAAAAGUUAGAAAUAUUGCAAAACUGUUUGGAGCAAAGUUUUUAAAUUUACGAUCUUCAUCUUGACGUCAGUUCAGUGUCGGCCCUGGCCACAAGCAGAAGAAGCAUGAGCUUCCAGCCGACACGAUAAUAAGUAUUUUCGCGGUCACAUAUUUAUAAAAAGUGACUUUAGCCUAGUGGUUCUAAAAAAAAUUACCAGUGCUAGAGGUGCUAGAUUCAAUUACCCCUGACUGCAUUCAUUUAUUUUGGCCAUAAAUAUAAAAUGGGACACGCGUCACUCCCAUAAUGCACGACUUGAUGACGUGGCAUCACAUAAGAGAAGCGAACAUAUUUAUAGAUAGAUUGUAUAAUUGUUUUGUUUCAUGCUUUAGGCGUCCAAACCAUAUAUGGUCGGUAGACUACCAAAAAAGUAUAUAUGGCCGGUAGCUACAAAAGGACAUAACCCCUAAGCAAUUAAGCAAGUGACCUUUGGUGCUGUACUUCUCACCACAAAUGCCACAAAGAUAUAGGAGUAAUUGUUUUGUUUCAUGCUUUAGGCGUCCAACCAUAUAUGCCGGUAGAAAUUAGAAUACAAAAAAAAAAAACGGUAGCUACAAGCAAGUGACCAUUGAUGCUGUACUUCUCACCACAAAUGCUACAAAGAUAUAAUACUUGAAAGCAUGAAAAUAGUUAGGAAAUUGAAGUUAAAAAGCUCAAAAAUAUGUAAUGAAGUCAUUGUGUCAGGAGAGGAUAUGAGAUUAUGCUGUCCAGUAUUGUCGAAAUAUGGAUUAUGCAGUUCCAGAACUGCAUUGAUAAUUCUCUUAAACAAUAUUAAUGACUUAAUGUUACCAGCUCAAUAGUUCAUAACUUGUGGUCUAGUGAAUUUGAGGUGAGGAUUCAUAUGUGGCUCCGACAUAAGUCAAUUAAUUUUGAAUGCUUGUACAUGAUAAGUAUAUUCAGAUUACAACAAUUUAUAUCAAACUUGUUCACUCAUCUCGCAGGUCAGAUAUUCCUAAGAAAAUAGACCUCUUUGUGUUUCCUUCCUUGAAGUAGUCUAACUCUAUGAGUGACAAAUCAAGAACUUGAUAGGUAAAAGACUAAGAGAGAAGAGAGAAGGAAGGCAUAUCUUCGAUCCUGAAAACAUCAUCCAUCAUCAGUUCUCUCUCCAGCUGCGCCCUCGUACAUCUCAACACAUCCUACACCAUCCAUCCAUCCAUCUCAUCAUCACCAUCACAAGGAUAUUAUUGUCUACAUCAUUAUGAAAACACAACUCACAUUGAAUUCCAUGUAGGUGGCGUUCCUGUCUAGCCAUUGUUUGUCCAUCACCGCAAAGGCCACGCAAUAAAGCAAAUCAAAGGCCCAUUCGUUUUCUAAUAUUUUCCAAAAACCUUAGUCAAAUAUCAAGUAACCAAAAGAGACAUGAUAUACAUAUGUUCACAUCUUUUACCUGAUAGCAUUUGUAAGAAUACCGACCCUAUAAAAGUCCUAGGCUUUGCUGCACACGCAGUUGAGUAAACAAUAAGUUUUGCUUCACAUUCUAAAAGCAAUACAUUAAUGGAUAGUGAGUGAAUACUCACAGGCUUCUAGGUCGAGCAUUUGCAUGAUCAUGAAGGUAAUGUUGACACCAGCUACAGCGAAUGGAUACUCCCAAGCCGCCCUUUUACCUCCUUGUUUCUUUAAAAGACGCUGAAACGAAGUCUACACCAAUGGAACGAAGAAAAUUACAUAAAGAGGUUUAUGAAAUGUUCUGUAAGUAGAAAGGUCAUGAGAGUUAAGUUUACCGGGAAUGUCUUGGCAAAGAAGAGAAGAUUCUCCAGUGAUAUGAAUCCACCUCCUCUGAUAACAACAGUCAUAAAAAAACACAAACUUAAGCACUAUUUUUGGGAUUGAUGUAUGUUACUUGAGAGAGCCUAACCUGAAAUCAGUGGAUGGAUCUCUUCCUUGCCAUCCCAUAUCUUUCCACUGAUCUGAUAUUAAAGCCUCAAGCUUUUUCUCGGGAUACGUUGCUGACCACAAUGCUCUCAGUGCAUCCUGAUGGUCAGGCCGCGACGCAUCGAAGCAAUUAUUCAUUCUCUUUGUCAGCCUCUUCAGUCUUUCUUCCUGAAAAGAGCAAACACAUUCAUAUGGUUUCAUUAAAAGCCAGUUUAUGCAGCUGUUGUUUUCCAUAAGUGUUAUACCUGCAAUGGUGUUAAGUUAGAGCAGAUGCGCUCGUAAGCUCUCUUGCGGUAGAAGCACACACAUGUUAGCCUCUUCUUGAUUCUCAAACUCGGCGUGCCAGUGCCACCACAACUCGCAUCCUCUGCAUCUGCAUUACUCAGCCCUACACAAUAUAAACAAGAUCACAUCGAGAACACAAAGCUAGCCUAAGGAAGGUUCUUUUAACCGAUAUGUUGUUGAUAGAUUUACGUUACUCUAACCAAAUUGGGCUCGAGAAUUACAUGAAAGCAUCCAAUACUAAGUACUACUAACUAUAGAACUCAAAGUAGUAGCCUCCAUUAAAACUGAAGCUUCAAAACAGACUUGUUUAUGUCAUAUCAAGAUGAGGGGCCCAAGAGUUCGAUUAAUAAAUAAAUUUCGGUUUAUGUACAUAGGAAACCAAACAGAAACCUAGCCAUGGGUUCUGUUUGGUAUGGUCGGCUUUUGCCAAAAAAUAAGAAAAAUUAUAGUCUUCUCAUUCCUAAAAAAUUGAUUUUUAUAGUAUUCAGUAUUCAUACAAAUUAAAAAUAUAAUAAAUAUUCCAAAUACUUUUUUAUUUAAUUUUUUUUUUCAACAGCUAUCAAACAAUAAUAUUUAAUUCAAACAAAUAUCUUCAAUUGAUGUUUUUGAAAUUCUAUGUCCGUUUUUGUAUUUGAUACAACAUUUAGAUGCAUCUAGAUGAAAGACACAAUUUAUAUUAUUAAUAAUGAAAUAAUUAUAAUAUUGGAUAAAUAAAUAAAAGUUAUAUAUGUACCAAAAUAAAACACAAAUUUGCGAUUUCGGCGAGAAAAAUUGAUUUUACCAUUUUGAAUAAAAUCUUAGUUCUUGGCGGAAAGAUCGAUUUGCAGUUUUGGCGGAAAAAUUUGAUUUUUCAAUUUUGGUGGAAAAUUUUAAUUUUAUGAUUAUGACGAAAAAAAUCAGUUUUAUAGUUUUGGCGAAAAAAUUCUAUUUUAUUGUUUUGGUGAAAAAACUCAAAUUUGCAGUUUUGGAUGAAAAAAUCAGUUUUGUAGUUUUGACGAAAAAACUCAAUUAUCGGUUUUGACAAGAAAACUUGAUUUUUUUUUAAACUCGAUUUUUUAGUUUAACAAGAAAAUUCAACUUCGCUAUAUAGCAAUUACAAUACUAAUCUAAUUAAACUUUAUGUUUGUAUUAAGAGUAUAUAAAUCUUUUGACGUGAGAUGCAAAUUUUGCUCCAAACUCUACACAUUUUUGCAUCUCAAAUAUUUAAAUAUUUUAGAUAUUAUAGAUUUUGCAUCUGAAUGUUUGUAUUGUCUAGAUACAAAAACGAACACGAACUAAAUCUAAAAAUUCUAUUUUUCGAAAACUGAGGAAAUGUAAAAGACGUACAACAAAGCUAAAGAUUUUUAUAAUUUCUGUUCAGUUUGGGUCCAAUUUGGUUUAUUUACAUUCAGUUUAAUUUUGGAUCAACGUUUUGUCAUGGUUUCUGGUUCGGUAUAGAUUGGUUAAUCAAGAUUGGACAUUCCAAGAUCUCAUUAUGGUGACAAGUUACCUAACAAUAGACCUAUAGACUAUAAUAAUUCUUGACGCCAUAUGGAAACAUUAUGACUACCCUAACCACUAGCCAUCUACUUCAGUUUAUAGAAACUUGUCAACAUAUGCCCUAGAGGCUGAUUUAGAUAUAUGGGGGACCAAAAGCACAAGACUAAAUAUAUUUUAUAUCUUUCUCUAUAAUAAACUUUAUAUUCUAGAAAUUAAAGUUAAUCCAAGAGUGUCAAAUUAUUUACCAACGAGCACAGAUCUACUUGAAGUUUGACUCACGUGGCAGACCGAUUGAAUCAUUCACGGAUCUCCCCAACCCGCCCGAUUAAACUAAACCGGUAAAAUCCUAUGAACGACCGAUGCGAAUUAUUCACUGGGGGACCCACAGGGGGACCUAAUCUUUUAGAUUAUGAUUCAGACACGAAAUGAAGCCGAUGCUCCUUCUAACCCGGACACCUAAUAAUUGUGCCAAGAAGAGUCCUAAAACAUCACAUAUUAUUGUAUACUUUUUACAACAUGUUCUGUAUAUAUAAUAUCAUUAUAGUAUUUGAAACCAUAAAAUACAAAUUAUAAAAUACAAAUUAUAAAAUAGAUGUGUUUUUUGGUUUAUCAUUAUUCACACACGUUAUUGAGUCGCCGGUCAAAUAUACUGUAGAUAAGCACAUACUCUGCUACAGUUUACCAGCUUUGAGUGAAUGAAACAUCACUGACAACAGUUAAAUUAUACCCACACUUAGCGCAAUGUGCAACAUUCAGACAUUUACAACUAAACUAAACUAACUUUGAUAGAAAAUGGAGAUUUUAAUUAAGAAAGAAUGAUGGGAUGGUGAAGGUAGAAAAUUUCAAUUUGGUUUCCGUUUCUAAAGAACCAGAAAGAAAAAUAAAUCUUUGGCAUCACAUGGAUCUAACAAGGAGAUCAAAUACGGAUAUUCUACUAAUAUAAUCGGCGUUGCCAACUACAGAAAAGUAAAUGUACAGGCGAGAGGAGAAAACGUACCGGCCGAGGAGGCAGAGACGUCAGAAUGGGCGGAAGCGGAGGCGGAGGAGGGUGGUGAAAGAUGACGUGUUCCGACGCAUGAGAUUCUGACAACUCGCAUCUCGUUUUGAGAUAUUCCUCUCCAGUCUCCAGUUUGUAUAUUUGGGCGGAGAGAACGUGCCUGUUACUACUUACUACUCUGUUGCUCCUCGUCAGCUUCGGCGACUGUGAGUUAUAUUUAUAAAAGAUAGCGAAUGACGCAUAUGCCCCCUUCAUCAUUCAGGAUCUAAAGAUAUAUAACUGCAUAAUAUGCCACAUAAACACGUUUUCUGAUUUUAUUGCUACUUAACCAUCUCGUUGCGGUGAUUAAGCCCAUGACUCCCCAGUCCCCACAAAGGCACAAAGAUACUAUGCUCCAAAUGGUCGGCAUUAUUAUCUCUAGUGGGUUUAGAACAAGACAACAGGAAUAGGAAAGUAGAAUCAGCUUGAUCCCCUCUUGUUUCCACUAUACGAGUUCACAACAUCAUGAACUCUCUAAUCCCAAACCUUUUUAAAAAUUAUUAUCUGGUUAUAAAAAUGAUGUUUUUAGAGUAUAUAUGCCUAUAAAAAUGGGUCACGAAACUCAAAAAGGUAACAAAAGAAUCAACUAAUGUACAGUAUUGGAAGGAAAGAAAAUGAUAAGGCUUGAUCUUGAGAAGAUUCUUCAGAGCCACCAAUCAGGGACUUUCAACCUCCUGUUUCUAUGUACAGCGAGCUUGACAUUCGGUAUCUUGUGUUUCACCUGUCUCCACAACAUGUUAACCGCGUCUUCUCUCUUGGGCGGGUACUGAAACUCGAAGUGAUGAGAAACGUUCUUCAAGUUUGCCCACAUCUUCAACCAUUUCUCCUUGGGAAACUGCCGUAAAUUGUCGAGGAUGAAGCCUGGUUCAAGCGCCUCUUUUACAGAGUAGAACACUGAGAACUCCGAGUAGUCUAUCUCAUCUUCGAACGGCAGCUCGAUCUUGUCGCUUAUGAUGACCGGGAUGCAGUGGCUGACAAUGGCAUCAAAUAGUCGGCAUGAUGACGGAGUGUCUCCAGCUGGAUGCAGACAGAACUUCGAUGAUCUCAUCCCUUCCGUAGACUGGAGUUACAAGCCAAAAAACACACACACAAUAAGAGAAAAUAAUCUUCCUAACCCAUACAAGAACCAAACACAUGAAUCAGUAUCCUAGUUAUAAGACACAAGAGCUUACCACUUUGAUGUUUUGUGUUGUUGCUACACUCUUCUCAUAAUGAACAUCAGAGUUACCAGCCAACAACUUCUCCAGCUUGAGACGGAUUCUACCUUCAGCCUUCCUAACAGUAUUCCCACGGAAGUAAAGAAGCGUGCCCCGAGCCUCGAAGGGAUCCGGAGUACUAUCAUCAUCCCCAUCACCAACACCAACACUAACACCAUCCUCUCUAAAGGACUCAACAACAUGCACAUACGGAGAAACCACAUCUUUAUCUAACCGUGCCAUCUCCUUCGGGUAACGCCCAAAGUCAGCAACAAUAAGAAUCGACGCGUUCACUUGCUGCCUCAAGAAUCUAAAGGCAUUAGGAUGCGUCAUGGGAAUCACGUGGUCUCUCCCACCUGAGCGUUGCCAGUAGUUAGAAUUCUCAAGAUACUCCAUUAAGUCAACCUGAAUUAAAAAAAAAAAAACAUAAACCGUUAAUCGCCGGUCAGAUUUUCAACGAUUCAUCAGAUCGUCACCUGCAAUAGCCGGUCAAACUCCGUAUCCGGAUCGGUCAUGUUCUUGCCGUGAGUGUUGAAGCUCAAGGAAGAGAAGAAAGGGACGUAGAAGGCAUCCGCCGAUUCCGGAUCAAAAACCCUAACCGCCUCUCUCUCUCCCUCGCCGUUGUGGAGAAGGGAGGCCAUGAGCCAGUACUCGACGCUGUGCUGGCGCUUGAUCCCGGAGGUCUGGGGCCAGGGAGGGAGGUUCUUGGCGGAGAUUGGCUCGACGUCUGAGAUGUGAGGAUCCAUCAUCGCGAUGUUGAAUUUUCGAGGGAGGUCGUACAUGAAGACGCGGAGAGGUUGUGGGGAGAUGGUGGAGGAGUUACAGGGAGAGGAGGAGAUGCCGCGGGGGAGGGACUGGAGCUGGGUGAAGUAAGGGGUUGGAUCGACGGUGCCCAUGUAGAUGGAGUAGGAGGCAAUGAGGAAGACGAAGAAGACGAUGAUGCAUAUGGUUUUGCCGUACAUUUCUUCGCGAUGAGAUGAGAUUUGGAUCCAACCGUCUCGCUUCUGUUUUUUUGUUGCUUCAGUUUUGACGAAACGUAUUGAGUCAUAAUAGAUUAUUAAGAUUCUUCUAGUCAGAAUUGAUCUGGUAAUUAUUAAGUUUUUAAGAGUCAAAUCUAGUGCUGGGAAUAUGAAUCAUUAUCCGCGGGCCCCGCUCCAUUUGACCCGCUGCGGGGCGGAUGCGGGUCGAGUGAUUUGAAAAUUUUGGUUUGUGGGUGCGGGUGCGGAUUGAGUGAUUUUUAUGCGGGGCGGAUGCGGGUCAGCCAAAAUUUAGUGCGGGUAUCCGCCAACCCGCAAAAACUAAAAAAAAAAAGAUUUUUUUUUUAAAAUAUUAUUUUUAAAUGGAAAAUUUUUUAAAAAUAAUUUAAUUUUAAUUAUAAAUAGAUUAAUAUUUAUUAUUUUUAAUAAAAAUUAUUUAAAAUAUUAAAUUUUAUUGUUAUUUUUAAUAAAAAAUAUUUAAAUAUUAAAUUUUAUUGUUAUUUUUAAUAAAAAAUAUUUAAUUAAUAAUUUUUAAUAUUAUUAAUAUUAUCCACGGGUCUAGCGGAUCACCCGCGGGUUUAAGCGGGGCGGGUGUGGAUUUCAUAUUUUCUUCUUGCGGGUCAUGCGGGUCAAAUUUUUUGAGUAAAAAAAAUCAGUUUACCCGCGGGUUGGCGGAUCAGCGGGGCGGGUUUGACCCGCAACCCAGCUCUAGUCAAAUCCCAAUAAUAAUUUGAAAGUUUUUUUUUUGUCAAUAAUUUGAAAGUUUAUAGAUCUUGAAAUUGUAGCGUAUAACACAAAAAUGUAUGAGGAAUUUACGUCAAUCUCAGGUUACGUUUGCAACGGAUUGUUCUCAAUGUAUGAGGAAUUUACGUCAAUCUCAGGUUACGUUUGCAACGGAUUGUUCUCAAUUGGUGAAGAUGGUUUCGGAACCAGAAGAGUGGCCAGCGUUUGCAAGUUAUUUGGAAGACAUCAAAAGUCUGAGAGCAAGUUUCCUACAAUCAGAGAUCGUCCAUGUACCAAGAGCGCAGAAUACAAAGGCGGAUAGCCUAGCACGCAGUGUUAGGAUUCAGCCGUCUUUCGUCGUUCACAUGGAUCAAUAUCUUCCGGCUUGGUUUACAGAGUCUAUAUGAGUCUGUAAAGUUGACGACAAAAAAAAAAAAAAAACACAAAAAUGUAAAACUGGAUUUGUUGGGAGUAAGUAUUUCAUCUGAGAUAAAACGGUAGAAACUAUUGGAUUAAUACUUAGCGUAAUGAGUGGAAUUAGGCAACUAAAAAAACAAACAAAAUAGUUAGGCAGAUGGAUGUGAAGAUGGAAUGAGUUUAUAAAUAUAAAACCCUGAAAUUCGUAAGUAACUUUCAAAUUAUAAAAAAAGUGAAAGAGGAUACAUAGUGGCAAAUAUCAUAUCCAAUGAUGAUGAUAUCUACAAACAAGAUAGGCGGCCAAAAUAAAAUGUUUGAGAUAUCAUGUAAAGUUGUUUCACCGAGAAGUUUGGAGGAGUUUUUAUAUCAAAUAGAAUUGAAAGAGAUGAUUCAAGGUGGAUGAAACUGUAGACAGGACCGCCGGAAAUAAAUCCAUUGGAGAAAAUAGACUGGAUAUGAAAGAGAGGAACAUCGUGGAAGAGGUUUUUAUAUUUAUAGGUUUGAAAAAGAUGAUUACUGACUCGACCACUAGAAAAAAUGCUUUGUAGAAAAAUAAAUUGGAGAGGAAAAAGAGCAACAACGAUUUCUUCAAAAUUUGGAGGAGGUUCUGUACUUAUGGAUUUGGACAAGAUGACUCAAAGUGGAUGAAACCGAUGACUGAGCCACCGAAAAUAAAGUCUUUGAUUGGCGGAUUCUUCAAAUCUCAGUUGAAGUACAAAACUGAUGAACUCUGCCAAUAUAUUCGUUAACUUAUUCAGUUAAGUAAUUGGGAAACCUCUCAAAAUAUUAUACCGUGAAAUUCUAGCGGCUUUCUGUCCAUCUCAUACCAAUAGGUAAACCACUGAAGUCAGAUAGUCACAAAGCGGAAGAGGCAGAAUAGCCCAAUCCAUAAAGUAUUAACGGGUUAGCCCAUGAAAUUAACAGGCCCACUUUGCUAGACCAAUUAGGGUUUAUGUCGUUUUCGCGUAAUAUAAAGUCAUUCGUUACACUUCUCUCAUCGUUUCUGCAGCCAAUUCUCCCAUUUAGCAGCCAUGGUAAGCUUCUCUCACAUCUUUUUUUUUCUUUUCGUAUUGCAGAUUUAACUUAGGCUCAGCCUGCUGAUUUUUGUUAUUCUUCGUUUCGCUAGGUGAAGUACUCUCAAGAACCCGACAAUCAGACCAAGUGUAAUGAUCUCAGUACCAUUUUUACCCUUUUUUUCUAUUCGAUUUUUAUUUAUUCUUUUGCUAAAAUCUGCGUUUGAUCAUUGCAGCUUGCAAGGCUAGAGGAUCCGACCUUAGGGUUCACUUCAAGGUAAUAACAUUCUCUCUUGUCUUUUUUAGACUUUCGAUGUAAGGGAAUGGUAGUUUAGUCUAGUCUUGUCUAAGUAAAACCUGAUUGAGAAAAAGCAGAGCUCUGUUGCAUUUGACAGAUCUCACGUAUACUUCAGGGAAAUUGAAUUGGUCAUCGUGAUUGGGUGAAUCUAAGUUUUGAUUUUAUUACAACUAAAAGGUUCAGUACAUGAUGGUACACUGAUGUCUUAGUUUAUGUCUUAUUUUAGUGACUAAUGGUUCAGUUCUUUGUUUGGUUUUCUUAUAGUGAGUUUUUUUGUCUGGUUGUUUGAUACAGAACACCCGUGAAACAGCGCACGCCAUCAGGAAGCUACCAUUGCUCAAGGCGAAGAGGUACCUUGAAGAUGUGAUAGCUCACAAGCAAGCCAUUCCCUUCACCCGUUUCUGCAGAGGUGUUGGAAGGACUGCCCAAGCUAAGAACAGGCACUCUAACGGUCAAGGACGUUGGCCCGCGAAAUCUGCUCAGUUCGUUCUUGAUCUGCUUAAGAACGCUGAGAGCAAUGCUGAGGUGAAAGGUUUGGAUGUGGAUGCCCUCUUCAUAUCACACAUCCAAGUGAACCAGGCUGCAAAGCAAAGGAGAAGGACUUACCGUGCCCACGGAAGAAUCAAUCGUAAGUUUUGUAAUUCACUUCUCUCAUUGGUUUAUGUUUUUUUGACUCGCAUUGUUUCUUUUUCUUGUUUGUAGCUUACAUGUCAAACCCAUGCCACAUUGAGUUGAUUUUGUCUGAGAAAGAAGAGUCUGUCAAGAAAGAGGUAUUAACUCUGUUCCCAUUGUUGAAUCCCGGAUUUAAGCAUGUUAAUAAGAGUGGUUUUCAUGUUAUGUUGUUUUCGAUAUUUGUAGCCAGAGACGCAGUUGGCAGCCAAGUCUAAGAAAUCAGCAGCUUAAGCUUUCUUUGUUUUUUUUUAGUCUCUCCUUUUUGUGUUGUUGAAAGAGAUUUUGUUUCAUUUUUCUCCAUCUUUGCAAGACGUUAGAUAUGUUUUUUGUUGGAUCUUUUGUUCAGUGUUGCUGUUUGAUGAUGGUUAGUAUUAUUCAUUCGAAUUUUUCUAGUUCCGCUAAGCUUAUAUCCUGCUUGGUGUCAGUAGACAUUCUUUUGCUCGAUCUUUCAUGUCCCCGUCUUGGUCUUCUCCUACCAAUUCGUCUGGUUAAAGCCAGGAUGUAUCAACCUUGGUAGUAGUGACCGGAUUGAGGCUUUAUGUCAUCUACCACUUGUUGAAACUUCAUUAACUCGCUGUUCUUCGGAUCACUUAUUACCAAUUAUCUGAGUAUGACAGAAUGGUCCAGCCAUUUUAGACGAUUUCUUAUCUUUAGUGUGAGAUGGUUAGCAAGACAUUAAUUUUACAUAUAUUAUUAAAACUGAAAUAUUUUUUGGUACGGUUUGGAAACAAAAUAACAAUUUAAUUGAGAAUUGUUUAAAAAUAUAGAUAAUAUUAUUUUUUAUUUACAUAUUUAGUUAUUACAUUUACAAUAAAUUAAUUAUUUUUUGUAUUUUUUUAUUUACAAAUUCUAUCACUAUAUUUAAAAUCAAUUUAAAUUAAUUAAUUACGAACACUCACUAAAGAAACAUAAUUAUUAUUUUUUUGCGCUAGAAUUUAUUUAUUUUUAGUCAAAACACAACAUUUUUAUUUAACUGUUUCAAACAUCUUUGAAGCCACUUUAAACGGAAGGUAAUUAAGAGGUUAUUUGUUAAAAUUAAUUGAUGGGUGGUCUUACUAUCCUUCAAAAUAUUUUUUUUUGCUAUUUAAUACAAAUGGCUAUUUCUUUUGUUAUUUUACUAUUUUAGUGAAAUUUUAAUGGUUUCUCCUAUAAGAGAGGAUUAACAAGUAGAAGCCCCAAAAACAAUUAUUCAGCAAAAUCAAAUAAACAAAUUAGAGGUUAACAUUUUUAUCUUUAAUAUAAAGAAAAAAUGAACUUUUUUUGUAACUGGAGAAAAAAUGAACUUGAGUCAAACUAAGUCCUAUAAUUAAGGCUAUGAGGUAUUGCAUACCUCAGAUUAGAAAUUUUUGAGAAACACCUAAUUUAUUAUAUAUAUUAAUACGUCUUCUUCUUUCUUUUCUAAAACUUUAAGAAAUACCAAUCCAUUUAUAUAUUCUACUAUGGGGAAAUCCUUUCUACCUUCAUUUACUAUUCUUGCCAUCUUCUCAAUCCUUCUCUUAGGUAUGUAUUUACAUUUUUUUUUAACACUGAAUAUUUCAUUGUGAUGGAGUCCAAAAGGAUAAAAGUGUUAAAAAAAGGUAUGUAUUUACAUUUAAUAAUUUCUUAGAUAUAAAUGUUUAGGAAGAAACAAUUUUAUACCAUUUUAAAUCAAUAAAAUAUGAAAUUUACUAUAUUAUAUUUUUAUUACAUAUAUUUUAAUUCAAUAUUUUAAUAUUUAUUUAAAAUAAUCUUAUGUUUAAAUAAAAUUUUGAUAUAAUACAGAAAUGAGUUCAAAUUUGUUGUACUAUAUCUAGGAAACCAACCUAAAAUAUUUUUAAAAUUUACUUAAUACAUUUUUUUAAUUUGCACUUUAUAAUUUUAUAUAUAAACUUCAUUGGGAUACGAGUUGACUAAACAUAUUUCUAUUGACAUUUGAUAAUAAUCAUUCUAUCUCAUUAACAUAGAUAUAUUUCUUCGAAUUUCAAAUUGUUUUACAAUAUUGAUGUCAUAUACUUUAAAGAAAAUUUAUAUGAAAUAUUCAAAUAUUUAAUAUAUCCUAUAUUUUUAUUUAUAAUAUUAUGUUCUAUUUUCAAAUAAAUCAGAUUAAACUGCCAUUAAUUAUUUUUUUACAAAAGUACAAAAAUUAAUAUUUUCUAUUUUUUCACCAACUAAUAUUUAUGUUUUUGUAAUAGGAGUGGAAUGUAGUCUUAUAAAUAAAUGUUUCAAUAUUAUACACGCUGACCGUUGCGAAGUAAAAGAGUGUGAAUCUGCAUGUUCGAAGAGAUAUCAACAAAGAUUCAUGAGAUCUUUUUGCAAUAUUUCAAAUGGUGGUCGCAUGAAAGGACGUGCGCAAUGUGCAUGCGAAUGGCAAGUCAUAAAGGGAUCUUGCAAAAUGUAGUUUAGUGAUAAUAAAUCUCAAAUCAUAUUUAAAAAAAAUAAAAUAAUAUUUUACAUAAAUUUCUAACUUAAAUACAUGUACAAUUCUCAAUCUUGAAUAAUAAAAUAUAAAUAUUUAAUUAUGGUAAUAUAAGUGAGAUUUAUGGAUGACACAAUAUAUGUAUCUUUAUUUUAUUAUUUUUGUUAACUUAACUUAUUUGAUAUUGGGGUUUCUAUUUUAUUUUGAAAUAAAUUAUUUUGGAAAUAUUAAUAUUUUUGAAAAUAAUAAACUAAAAUGAUGAUUUGUCAUAAUACGAUUGGUGGUUUUAAAUCAUGUAGACCCUCUUAAUGGUUUAUAAUCUCAAAUUUUAUAUAGUAUAUAUUUAUGUUAAAUUUUCAAAUAUUCAGUAUAUAUAUAUAUAUAUAUAUAUAUAUAUAUGAGUCAAUUCCAUUUUAGUGAUUUAUUUAUUAGUUAUUUGAUAUUGGAACCAUUUUGUAUUGAAAUAAUCAAUUUGGAAAUUUUAUCAUUUAAAAAGAUAGUAACCUAAAAUUAUGGUUUUCAUAUUUUGAUUGGUUGUUUUUAUCUUAUGUGUAUAUUCUCAGUGGCCUAUAACCUCAAUUUUUAUACAGUAAAUAAAAUAAUGAUUUAUUAUAUUUUUUCAAGUUUUGAAAAUAUUAUGUGAACAUUCUCAAAUAGAGGUAAAAAAUAAAAUCACUUAUAGAGAGCCAAUAGUAGACAAAUAGAGAGCAGAAAACUUAAUCAUCUUUUGUCAAUAUACAAUCAAUGUUGCCUAUUUGGUUUUGGUGAUUUGUGUCAACCGUAAAAAUUAAACACAGCGGUUGCAGGAGUUUGCGGAUGCGGGUGGUUGGGUUUCUAGCGGCUUUAAGAGAUUUGUAUGACUGAUUUUGCGAUUAGAAAUUAGUGCGUUUGUGGGAUAGUUAUGACUGGUUAACUACCAAAUGCAUCAGCGAUUAAAUAAUAAAUUAAAAAUAUUUAUAUUUUAUAUAAUUAUAAAAAUAUCAAAAAUAUAAUAUUAUAAUAAAUAUAAAAAUUAUAUUUAAAAAUUUAUAGUUUUAAAUUUUUGAAAAAUAUAGAAAAUAUUUUUAUUUUGAAAUUUUAUAAUAUUAAUUAAAAUAUAAUAGAUAUAUUUUAGUAUUUUUAUAAUUUCAAUUUAAAAUUUUUAUUUUUAUUUUUAUUUUUGUAUUUAUAUUGUUUUUAGAAAAAAAAGAAAAAUAAUUUAUCCUCCCGCAACUGCAAACGCUAGCUGAAACCAGUUUUUGAAUUUAUGAGGUUUACACCGGUUUGAGUGAUUGUUGCAAUCAAUAAAGAUCGUAGUGUUGCAAAAUGUUAAAACCAUUUAAUGAACAAACAUUAUUAUAAAAAUUCAUGCGAAUGCGCGUUGGUUAUCAUCUAGUUUAAUGCUAUUUCAACAUCAAAUUUGAUGUUACGGUCAAGAGUUUAUUGAGAAAUUGUUGUAUGACUUGUAUUCAAAUAUGACUCCUUUCCAAGGUUGGCCCUGACCCCAACAACCAAAAAGACCCCAACAAACAAAAAAAAAGUUCUUAAUGGACAAUAUAGUCUGAUGGAGUAGAGUUUACUUUAUAAAAAUAAAACAUGUCUUCGUCGUGGUCUGAAUAAAAAACAUGUCUCCGGUAAGUAAAUGGAAAAUAUACAAUAUAUAAAUAGAUGGUGAUGGGGUGAAAGUGACGUGGUGACUAGUAGACAUGAUUAUCUUAUGGCCGAUCCACCGUAUGAUGCUUCCUCCUGUGAUUUUGCUCAUAAAUAUAAUAAUUGUCCGAAUCUCACGCUCCCCUUUAUAAAUACACCAUCCUUAUUAUUAUUACAUCUCUCUCUCUUCGUCUCUGCAAACCAAGUUCAACGCAAGAACAAAGAAGACUCAAAAGAAAAAGACAAGGCCUCCCUAUUCUCUCGGUACUUUCUUUCAUCUCUAUCCUUUUUAUUUCUUUCCGCCAUUUUCGCUCUUCUUUCUAUAAAUGUCUUAGCCAUUUGGAUUUUAAGUUUCUUCUUUAGAAAUGAAUCAUCCGCUUUAGGUCUCUCACCACCAUUAUAGUAAUUUUUCUGCAAUUUUUGAUUCAUUGUUAGUUUUUUUUAAUGGUCUUGGAAGCACCGAUCUUGAGAUCUUAGCCAACUCUAGAGAAAUUAUAUUCAUUUUUUUUUUCAGGAAAUUAAUUGAUAUCCACUGCUUUUUCCUGAUUUUUUUUUGUGGUUAUAUGAUGCUGCGUGUUCUUUUUUAUUUUUAGUGGAACAUCCUAUCUCUUUGUUUGAUUCUCCUGAUUGCGAUCUUAUUGGUUCUUUGACUUAUCUGAAAAAAAAAACAAUUGCAGAACAUUAGCAAAUUCUAAGAUAUGGAUGUUGCGGUUGGCUAAAUCUCCUUGACUAGCAUUCCCUUUAAUGGUAUGUCUUCUUUCUUGCAACUCUCUUUUGUUUUGGGAACCUGUUGUUGACAAAUCUUUUAAUCUUUGUUUUGGUUUUAGAUACAGAGAUGUGUCUGAGAAGAAACAACAUUAAUUUAACGACAAUCUUAGAUCCUAAAAACUCUAGAAACGAAGCCAUUGGUAUGGAAUAUGAAGCUGGACAUCAUCAUCAUUCAUCAUUGGUCACUGCGAUAGUCUUCUUCUCAUCAAACCUGUUUAUUCCUUUGUCUUUGAAAAUCCCUAUACGUGACGGGUUUCACGAGAUUCUUCAAUAACUACUUCUUCAUACACCAAAACUUUACUUUAGAUUAAAUAGAUAUUUAUAUUGGGAGAUUUAACCACUCUUGUUCAAAAGAUGGAGGCUGUUGUUAGUGGGAAGAAAAGGAUGGUAAAUCUUGAUCUAAGCUCACGGUUGUUGUCUGAGCCUUUGAUCCCUGGGUUGUCUGAUGAUGUGGCCAAGCUGUGUCUGGCGCUGGUGCCGCGUUCUAGCUUACCUUCCAUGGGACGUGUCUGUAAGAAAUGGAGGUAUGUCGUUCAGAGCAAAGAGUUUAUUACUGUGAGAAGACUCGCCGGUAUGCCUGAGGAGUGGCUCUAUGUCUUAACCAUGGAUGCUGGAGGGAAAGAGAGUCACUGGGAGGUGAUGGACUGUCUGGGACAUAAGCUAUCAUCUCUUCCACCAAUGCCUGGUCCUGUAAAGACAGGGUUUAAGGUGGUUGUUGUUGAUGGGAAACUUCUUGUUAUUGCUGGUUGUGCUAUGAUCAGUGGCUCUCAUGUUGCAUCUUCUGAUGUUUACCAGUUUGAUACUUGCCUCAACAGGUUCGUCAUUUUCUUAAUUAAUUCCAGCAUACUUUGUGAACUUUGAUCCAAUGAUUUAAUACUUUUUAAUCCAGCUGGAGCAGACUAGCUGACCUGAAGGAGGCUCGCUAUGACUUUGCUUGCGCCGAGGUGAAUGGACUUGUUUAUGUGGUGGGAGGUCACGGUGGAGAUGGUGAGAGUCUGUCUAGUGCAGAGGUUUACGAUCCAGAGACAGGGGUUUGGACUUUCAUACAGUCUCUGAGGCGUCCGAGAUGGGGAUGUUUCGCUAGCGGCUUCAACGGGAAGCUCUAUGUGAUGGGUGGGAGAUCCAACUUCACCAUUGGUAACUCAAAACUUGUUGAUGUGUACAACCCUCAGUGUGGCUCCUGGUGUGGCAGAAAAAACGGUGUAACUGUAAGUGUUUCUCCUCAGACGAUACUCAUGAUAGUAUGUUUCUUUAGCUUGGUUUUAAAGUAUAGAAACCAUGGUUACGGCAAAUCAGUACUAUCCGAAACAAUUUUCAAAAAAAUUUGAUAAUCUAAACCAUUCUACAUCGAUUUAAAUCAUGUUUAAAUCCAUCUAGAUUAGUCUAAAUCCGUUAAAUUAACUAAUAAUGUCUAAUUUUGAUAAUUCAUCAAAAAAAAUACAACUAAAGUCAAAAAAUAAAACAUCUUGUAUAAAUGUGAAAUAUAUAUAAAAUAAAUCAAUAAUUUGUCAAUGCAUAGGCCAAGCCUAAGUUCCGAAUAAUCUACCGAGUUCUUGAACAUUGAUAGAGAGUAUCUCUAAUAUUUGGGUGCUCUUGAUACAAUUGCAGAUGGUCACAGCUCAUGUUGAAGUAGGAAAGAAGCUCUUCUGUAUGGAGUGGAAGAACCAGAGGAAGAUGUAUGUCUUCAAUGCAGAAGAUGAUACUUGGGAAGUUGUGGCUCUUCCGCUGUCAGGAAGCUCGAGCGCCGGGUUUCAGUUUGGUAAGCUGAAUGGGAAGCUUCUGCUUUUUUCAUCUCAAGAAGAGACUGGUCACAGCACUUUGCUGUAUGACCCGGAAGCUGCACCAGGCAGGCAGUGGAAAACAUCUGAGAUAAAACUGUCUGGUUCCUGCGUGUGCAGCGUCACAAUCAUAGCCUGAUUGAUGAUGAUCUUAUUGAUACCAUUGUUGUUAAAUUUCUCCAUGAUCCAAACUCAAAUAGAGCGUUGAGUUUUAAACUGAUCUUAGAUACAGUUUGAAUAAAGUGGUGUGUGUGUGUGUGUGUGGUUUGAUUGAAACUGUUUUUUCCUUGUAACAUAUGUUGGAAGUUAAAAAAAAAAAUGAAAUGUGCGUUUGAUUUGUGUAGGCUAUUAUACUAUUUCUCGCAUUGUCCAAAACCUGGAUCAGAAUAUGAAUAUUAGUCAAGUCCACAAGAAUCUGUGAUACAGGAGAACUGCUACAGCUUCUCCUAGAUCUUUGCCAUCUGCAAGAGGAUUGGGGACAGUGGGGUGGCUAGAACACGACUCAGUCUUGCCUUACACGGUAUCCUGUUGGAGUAGCAUACCUGAGCUAAAACAUGAGAUGAAUUUGUAAAAAUCUGAAGAUACAUCACCAAACUUCUGUCGGAAAAAUGUUUAAUACUCCAGAGACAACUUUGACAGAGCUGACAAUCUCAGGAAGCAACUUAUAAAAAGUUACAGACUCGCAAGUAAUCUGAGGGAAGAACUUCUGUGUGGCUUUUUGGAGUAACUAAGAUCAUAGAAUCUGUAACAUGAGCUCACGUUCAGCACUUUCCCAGAUGAAAUAGUAGUUCUACUCAAUACGACAGAAACAAACCUCUAGCUGAAUCCUUAACUUUUUCCGUUUCUUGUGAUAGUUGUUUAUAUAUUUCCUGCAACUUGUGGGUUGUAUCAGGUGGAUUCCUUUGUCUUCUUGUCCGCUACUGAAUACCGCAUGGUCCAUCACAGUCAUGUAAAGGUCCACUCGAGUUUUAUGGUUCCCUCAAUCAAUGGAAUGCUCUAGAGACGUGUAGUGUGUUUGUAAGAGAUGUGCAACUGAGGAUGGAGUUUAGGGUAGAUAGCCGAAAUGGAGUUUCUUUGCUCACCUGUACGGUUAUUAGCUUGAUAUUCGUAGAAGUCUUCGAAGAUCUUAACAGGCUGAGAAAAAAAGAUCCCACUAAUACAUAAACAAAAGUACACAACAAGAAACAAAGAAUAGAUUCAAUAAAAACCAAGCUUUCAUAUACAAGUUUGAUUCUAACAUGUAAAAUGCGAUACACACGUAUGUACUACACCUUGUGCAUUUGCAAAAUUAACAGAAUCCAGAUGCUCAAAGUGGAGACAAAUUGUUCGAAAGGAGAAAAAAGAGAGAGAGAGACUGUAGUCCCCCACAGGUAAAUCUCCAAAUUUAUCUUUCGUCCCACAUCGGUUACUUGACUCAAAAUUGUGUUGUUUAUAUAAGUCUUCAAUCUAAAGAUUGAACGUCGAGCUCAGUAACAAGAGUUUGUGACCCAUGUGGGGACAAUAAGAUGGUGGAACACUGGCUCGGCCCACCGGUCGGUUCUGUAUGGCAUCUUCUGGACCGCCCAGUCCAAGCCGAGAGUGAUCCGUUUGUGUUAGGCGAAGGCUUGAUUCAGGCGGUUCCUAAAGAGGGGAGGGCAAUGCGUGAGGCUGGUUUCACAGAGCAGCGAUCACCUCCCUCUCUCGGCAGUGGACGGAUAACGGAUCAAAGCCACUCAGGUCCACAUGGCCUGGUGGCUCGUACCCAGAUGAACCACCAUUUUUUUUUAUUUACACUUUCCUUUCUUAUCAAUAGAAAUUCCACCAAUGUUUACAGAACCAAAAUUAGCAUGUCCACAGGACCACAGCCAAAAAGCACUACAACCGCGUAUAGGUGGCAAUAUCAUUCUUUCCCUUUUAUUACUUGUGAUGUAAGAAGAACGAGACACGGCCAUUUUCGAAGAAAACUAAAAACAAACAUUUUUGGACUUUUAAUAAAAACAACUUUGUUAGAAAGUGCUAUUAAUUAAUAAUAUUUUCAUAAAGUCAAAAUUCCCAUUUUGUGAGUAAAGAUAUCAUUUAAACAAUAAUGUGUGAGUAAGAUAUCAUUUAAACAAUAAUGUGAAAUAAUUGAUUUGUGUUUCAUAUCUAUAAAAUAGAUAUAUAUAUAUAUAUAUAUAUAUAUAUAAUAAUUAAUUGUAGACAGUUAGUUAUUAAUUUCUAUAAUAAAUUAUUGAAUAAUUAUUAGACACAUUAAACAAUAACUAAAAACUAUAAAUAUAAUUUUUUUAUUAAUACAAUAUAUUAAUUUUGAAAAAAAAAUUGUAAAUAGUUUCAAAUUUUAAUUAUUUAUAUUUUAAUAAGAUAGAUUAUUUGAUAAAAUUAUAUUUUUCUCACUCUUCAUAUUCAGUUUUGAUAGAAAGAGUUGUUUUAUAUUUAUUUAUUUAUAGAAAUAAAUUUAGACAAUUUUAAAAACAAUAUUAAAAUUAGUUUUUUUUAGACUGUAAACAUUGAUGAAUAUCAUAUUAUUCGUCACUCUUUCAAGUUUAGAAUGUCUCAAUUAAUCAUAAUUGUUUAUAUAUAUAUAUAUAUAUAUAUAUAUAUCUUUUCGAAAUUAUUAUCACUAUUCACAAAAUCAUUCACAAUUUGAUCAACUUGUGACUAUAAAUAGUUUAAUCUUGUAAUUAUUGACUAUUAAAAGUGAUUAUUAAAAUAAUACAUAGUUUUAUUAAACGAUGCUUUUUUGCGUUAGCUUUAACAGUGUUAUUCAUAAACCAUUUUCUGGUUUUUAAUAAUGCAUAUAAAUGUAGAUCCACUUGUCAUAAUUGGAAUACAAUAUAGAUGAAUAUAAAUAUUUUUAAAAUUUAAAUACAAUUUAAUGUAAAACUAUUUUAAUCAAGUGAAACUUUAAAUACAAAGAGAUCUCUCUCCUACUUGUUUUUCCAUCCCAGUUAUAUAUGAGAUUCUUGAGUUCUCCUGAUUCAAUCGCAAUAUUUGCUCUGUCUCUCUCUGAUUGUUGAUUUGAAGAUACCAUUCAUGAUUAUGUCACUGCCUGAAGACAUCAUCAUUAACAUCUUAGCGCGUGUACCGAGAUGCGACCAUCCAACAGUCUCUCUUGUUUCAAAGCACACUUGUUGCGUCGUCUGAUAUAUACACCAUACGAUCUUUGUUGGGAUGCACCGAACAUUUUCUCUAUGUUGUUCUCUAUAACCGGGACCACAAGGAUUACCGUUUGUAUACUCUCUGCCGGAAAGCUAACGGCAAACACAGCCGCUUGGCCCUUAUCCCUUGGCUUCCCGCUGUGCCUCGACGUGGACGCUUUGUGGCAGUGGGUUCAAAGAUAUAUGUGUUUGGUGUGAUCAACGACAACUAUGACAAUAUGACAUCGACUGCGUACAGCAUUGACUGUAGAUCUCACACUGUGCAACCACUCCCGAGCAUGCCGCAUCUGUUCCGGUUUGAAACAGUAGCUGACAUCAUCGAUGACAAAAUAUAUGUAAUUGGACGUAAUUACCUUAAAGAAAUAACAGUGGUGGUGGUUGUUUUCAAUACAAAAACACAGAUGUGGGAGCCUGGGAUGACAAUUCUAGACAAGCCUGUAGGAAGUGUCAUAGGGAUCAGGUAUGGUUGUGUGGUGAUGGCUAAUAAGAUUUACGGGAUGGAUUUUGUAUAUGACCCAAAUGAAACUAAAUGGGAAACGCCCGACGAGACGCUGAGUUCGAAGAAGUGGUAUCAUGCGUGUUUCAUUGAUGAUGUUAUGUACUACUAUGAUUUGGUUGAGAACAAGUUGAUAGCAUAUGAUUCUAAGAAAAGGUGUUGGAAGGCAGUCGAAGGAUUGGAAGAACUGUUGGCCGUGAUAAGAGUUCGAAAGUUGUUUAAGACUCUGAGAUACGGUGAGAGACUGUUGUUUUUGUUUUCUAUAGAAGAAACCAUUGGGGUAGCAGAAGAGAUUUGUUGUGCAGAGAUUUCAAUGGAAAGACGCCAAGGAGGUCAGAUUUUUGGAAAAGUUGAGUGGUUUGAUCGUGAUUUGAUUACUGGAAAUUUUGACGUUAUAAAACCUCUAGAUGUUAUGCUUUGACGCAGGAACCCUCCAUAUAAUUGAUUGCUUAUAAAAGUAUGUUACUAACUUUGAGAUACUAGAUUUUGAGACUAACUUUUAUUCGAAAAAUUAUUUACUGAAAAAUAAGAUUUUUAUACAUAUUAUUUUCUUACUCUAAAAAAUACAUAUAUAUAUAUAUAUAUAUAACUAAACUAAAAUUUAUAUAACUUUAUGAAAAUAAGAAAAUUCAUUUAUAUACUCUUCCUCAUAUUAAUUUUACUUCUAUAUUAAAACUGUAAGAUUAUAAUAUGAAUUUAUUUUAAUAUUUUGUAUUUUAAAAUUUUAUUUUAUAAUAAUAUAAAUUAACAAUAUGUUGUUCAACCCGCUCACACUUGAUAAAUAUUUACAUGUUUAUGAAAUAACUCGCAACUAAUUAUAAUCUUAAAGCAUAAAAUGUUCAAUAUAAAAAUUAUAUUAAUGUGAACUCAGUUUAAUAUUGUAUUUUUAUCAAAUUAAAAUAUAUUAAAUUAUUUUUUAGUAUUCUAAUUUAAAUCUGUAUAUUAAAUAUUAAAUAUUAAAUUAUUUAUUAUUUUAAACAGUGGGCGGCAGGGACAUCUUUAUAAAUAUAUUAAAUAUCAAAUUAAAUAUUUAAUAUUGUAUUUAUAAAUAUUUAAUAUUGUAUUUAUAAAUAAUAUGUAUAAAAUUUAAUAUUGUAUUUAUAAUAUGUAUAAAAUAUCAAAUUAAAAUAUUAAAUAUUUUAAACAGUGGGCGGCAGGGGCAUCUUUAUAAUCAACGCAUGUAUUUUUUAUCAAAUUCAAAUAUAUUAAAUUAUCUUUUAGUGGUCUAAUUUAAAUCUAUAUAUUAAAUAUUAAAUUAUUUAUUGUUUUAAAUUUUUUAUUUUAAUAUGUUGUUUCAAUAAGUUAAAAUAUGUUGUAAACUUUACGAAUAUAUUUGAUUUCGUAUAUGUAAUUAUUUUAUAUUUUAUAAAAUAUUUAAUAAAUAGAUUAAGUUAUUUUAUAAAUUUUUGUUGGUGUAUUAUUUUAAUUAUUAAUUAUGUAUAUAUAAUAUUAUAGAAAUGUUAUUUCUUCAGUGACAAAAAUGUUAUUUCUUAUUCUAUAAAUCAAAAUGAAUUAAUAUUCAUUUAUAAUAAUAGUUAAUAUUAAUAAAAAAAUAUUAUUUAAAGUAUAGAUUUAUUCUUAAAUGAUUUUUUAAGGGUGUGUUAGCUUUUUCGCUAUUCUUGGUUAGACCCAUUUUUUGGUUUUUAAUAAAUUUUCUAUAAAUGUGGAUACAGUUGUAGAAAAUGCACUAAAGUAUAGAUGAAUAUAAAUAUUUUAAAUUUAAAUAAUCUUUAAAGUAAAUUUUGUUUUAAAUAUUUAGUGAAUCUUUAAAGAAAAACAUCAUGAAAUAGUUCUAAAAAGGUUUUUAUCACAAAAUAGCAAGCACACUAUGUGAUAUUAGGAGUUUUCAAGGCUCCUAAGACAAAUGUUGUAGUAUAAAAGAUUGUCGAACCAUUUCUGAAGGAUAUCAAAGCACUGAGAAUGCAAGUACUCACUUAAUCUAAGUGCAACCAAUGAUUUAGAUGGGUUUUAAGCUAUGACUAAAACUAAAAAGCAAUAACAGAAUGAUACUUUCUUGACUAAGGGAAAAGAGAACUCAUGGGCAUAGGGAUUAGACCUUGGGUGAUCAAGUAUCAAACUAAGGAUGGCAAAUGAUCAAUCAAACUAUCAACCUUAAGCCUAGACACAAUUCUAAGCAAGCUCUAUGUCUAGAUGAAUGCUCAUUUGCUAACAUAUCUCAAACAUCAAAUGUCUUUGGUUGAAUAAUAUGAAAGCAAUCAUUACUAACAAGUCUAUUAGCUAUCUUAGCACCUUUAACAACAAAUGUCUUUGGCAAAGUAUACUAAAAGCCUAGGAGAGUUGUCUCGGGCAUUUCAUCGAACACCUUUCGGGUGAGAAAUGCCUAAGGAUCAACAACUGAGUGGCCAACUCAGAAGAUGCAUUAUGAUUACUCUACUAGCAAGGAACAAGAAUGAUCUACACUAAAACAUCCUAGAACUAACCUAAUCACCCUUAAUCUCCCUAACCCAUGAAUUCAAAAGGUGAUUACUCACUAAUCUCCAUGAUUCCUCUUAAACCCAUAUUGGAUUUCAAAUUAAUCAUGUAGAGAAAUAGAUAAGAAAUCAACAAGAACACAAGAACAUAACAAAUCAAAAUCCAAGAGAUGAACUUCUCAAGAGAGUUCUUGUGUAUUUCUCAAUAGAUCCAAAAGAUAAAAGAUAAUCUGCCUCUGGUGGCUACAAAAGAUGUUUAAAACAUAGGUUUUAGAAAUGUAAAACGUGCAUAAUGAAAUGACCAAAAGGCCCUUGAGAAAUCAUAAGUUCGAGUGAAAUUGAGACGCGCAGCGACCUCGGCUCGUCGCUCCGACAAGUCGCUCCAGGCUUCGGGAGCGACCUCGCUGGGUCGCUGCGAGAGGUCGCUCCGAGAGCGAUUUCUUGUCUCCGGGAACCAAGAUGGCGAGCGAUUUCUCCCUGUCGCUCUGGACAGGUCGCUCCAAGCUUCGGGAGCGACCUCGCUGGGUCGCUGCGAGAGGUCGCUCCGAGAGCGAGUUGUGUGUCUCCGGACGUGAAAACGCGAGCGACUUUGUGCAGUCGCUCCAACGGGUCGCUCUGGAUCGGGAGCGACCUUGGUAGGUCGCUCUGAGAGGUCGCUCCAUGGUCAUCUAAGACUGUUCGGAGUAAUGAGAACGCGAGCGACUUCAUGGCGUCGCUUUAGGAAGGUCGCUCUGAGAAGUGGGACACAGCGACUUCGUGAUAUCGCUCCGGGAGGUCGCUCCCAUGCUCGGUUCGUCCAAUGGUCACCUUUUCACCUCUUUUGAGCUCCAAAUAACCUCAUGUGGUACUCCAGUACCUAAUAGAGACUCAUGUAUGCAAAAUGCAACCUAAACAUGUCUGAAUCCUAAUCUAUAUGAUGAAAAUGCUCAAGGAUGAAUGGAUAAAACAAUGCAAAUAUGCAAGAUAUCAACUUCCCCAAACUUGUUCUUUUACUUGUCCACAAGUGAACUUUCUAGAACUCAUAGGGAGAGAGGUUGAAGGAGGGAGCACAUAGCCAAAAGAAACACAACUAGCACACUCUCUUAUUACACUCUAGCUUCUCUAGGCCUAUCUUAACUCUUUUUGUUCUUACACUCAUCAUCAAGCAUCCACACAUUCAAAUCAACCAACUCUCACAUUCAUUAAGCACAAAACAUCAGGUGAAUUCUUGCAAAUGGUCAGUUGGUCCAAGUCAUUUGGUUGGGUAAGGGAAGGCUUUUAUUCAAGUGAUUCAAGAGGUUCAAAACAUAUGAUCUUUAAGGUGGUUUACUCUCAAAACAAGUAGCCUUGACAUUGCACAUAAUAUAUCUAAGAAAGGGACCAACUCAUGCAUACAAUGCUCAAUCUCCAUUGUUCUACCCUUUUCUCAAACAUACAAAUCACACAAUCAUUUCCCAAUGUCAAACCCAACUCACAUCUCUCACCAAAAGAUCCUAAGAACUUUAACUCCUUCUCUUUGAAAUCUACAAGGGAUUUUUCACAACCUCAAAACAUUUCUUAGCUCCUAACAACUUUGCUAGCCCCCUUUUCUUUCUUUUUCUCUUUUUUUUUUUUUCUCUUUUUUUUCGUUUUUUUUUUUCUUUUUUUUUUUUUUUAGGCUGGGGGCCAAACUUUUCAAAACUUGAGCUAGAGGCUUCUAUACUGGUCCCAAUAAAACAAUUCACUUAAGCACAAAGAGUCUAUUCUUUUCCUUUUUCAUUUCUCCCAAAUCAUAAUCACAACACUCACCCCCACCUAUAGCUAGACAAUAGAGUGUCCAAUCUAGCAAGAAUGAAGAUCAAGCAUUGUCGUUCCCGAUACUCUCAACAUUAUGCACAUGUAAGACUUUCCGAAAAAGGCCUCACUCAUCAAACAAUGAAAGCUUAAAAGGAGGAAAAGGUUUUGGGAGUGGUCUACCACUAGAGUUUGUCAAAAAAGAUUGGUAUAAAAGAUGUGACAACUCAAGUGUGUAUAGCCAUGACUCAGUACACAAGGGACCAUGAGCAAGAAGCAUUAAGUUCGUUCAGUUCAAAUAAGGUUGUAGUUGGCUUCAAAGACUGAGUUUCAGCAAUCAACAAGUUUCAGGAAGAGUUUUCAAGGCUCGAAACAUACAAGUCUUUUUGAGAGGUGCAAAAGCUAGUCAAGUGCAACGUAGUGUUCUUUACAAGGCAUUCAAAAUCAUUGCUCCCAAUGCAAGUGAAUGCAACCUAUAUGCUCUAGACUCUCCUAAAAAUGCAAAUGAUGCAAACUAAAUGAUUGAUUUUUUUUUUUUAUCUAUGCAAAUAGGUAUGCCAUGCAUGACUCAAUGAAACAACAUCAAAGCAAACAUGAUCAAAUACUUGGUACCUCCCCCAAACUUGAGUUACACAGUCUCUGUGUCGUCAAGUAGAGAGAGAUACCGAAAAGAAGACUAAUAUGCAAAAAUGAAAUGGUAUAUACAAGGGAGUGUGGUGGGUUACCUUCUAUAGGGAAUGAGUAGAGGGAGAUGCUCCCUCCUCGUCGUCCUCAGGUGGUAACUCUUCAAGGUGCUCAUCAGCAGGAGUGCCCAUCUCUUCAAUGUAGAAGGCUUGCCCGAACACAGUUGGUUUCCUCAUUUUCCCUUGAUGUCAAAGUGGAGGAUGUUCUCUUUACCCAAAUGGAGAUCAAUCGUGCCCUCCUUCACAUUAACAAUAGCUCCUGCUGUAGCUAAGAAUGGCCUUCCUAGAAUCAAUGGAUCUUGAGCCUCCUCACCCAUCUCAAGCACCACAAAAUCUGUAGGUAUCUCAUACCUUCCAAUCUUCACAGGGAGGUCCUCUAAGAUGCCCACAGGGUACUUCACUGAACGAUCAGCUAACACCAGAGAGAGUCUACACUUCUUGUACUGAGUGAAUCCAAGCUUCUUUGCAACAGACAAAGGCAUCAAGCUGACACUAGCUCCCAAAUCGCAGAGACUUUUCUCAAAUACCAUAGGUCCAAGAGCACAAGGUAGUGUGAAGCUUCCUGGAUCCUCUAAUUUCUCUGGAACAUCAAGCCUCUGGAUGAUGGCAUUGCACUCAUGGGUAAGAAUCAUCAUGCCUUCCAUCUCCUUCUUCUUUGCAGCUACAACAUCUUUCAGGAACUUGUUGUAUUGAGGAAUCAACAUGAAAGCAUCGAUGAUGGGCAUUGCAACCUGAGCUUCACUCAUUUGCUUCUCAAACAGAGCCUUGUACUUCUCUAGCAGCUGCUUCUUGAAUCUACCAGGGAAUGGAAGUUUGGGUUCAUAGGGAGGAGGAACAAAAGAACUUUCACUUGCUGGAGUAACAACUUCACCAUCCUUUACUGUCUUCUUCUCUUCCCCAACCUUUCCUUUACCUUUGGCUUCCACUAUCUUCUCCAAGAUCUCGUCAUUGAUCUUCUCAUCAACAAUCACCACUUCAUCAUCUAUGUUGAUGGCAACCCCCUCACCUAAUUUCUCAGCAUCCUUGGUGAGGGUUCUAGGAGGUAACUGCUUACCACUCCUAAGGGUGAUAGCUUUGGCCUCCUUGGGAUUUUGGUCAGACUUUCCAGGUAGAGAUCCUUGCUGGCGAUUCUGGUGAGUGUUCAUGGAAGCAAAUUGAUUCUCUAAAUUCCUGACUGUAGAAGCAAGGUGUGAGAAUUUGUUGUUGAGCUCAUUGUAGCUCCCAUCAAUCUUGGAAUGAAGGUUCUUCAACUCAUAACCAACUUGCUUCUCACUUCUAGUCUGAGACUCCAAGAUUUGUUUCAGUAAGGUAUCAGUGCUGCUCUCUUGAGGAGCAGAGGAACCAGACAAGGGGUUUUGCUGAGGCUGAUAGCUGCCUUGCUGGUUGUUUCUAGGCGGAUAACCACUCUGUUGGUUGUUGGGAUAGGAUUUCUGUUGGUAGUUGUUGUACUGAAAGUUGGGCUCCUUUUUGUACCAGCUACCAUUGUUGUUAAUGAAACACAACUCCUCUUGACCUUCCAAACCCUCAACCUCAUUGACAGCAAGUGGAUCUUCCUGCUUGGAGUUACCAACAAACUUCAGCUGCUCUUGGGUUGCUUUUUCAGCAAUGAGUAGGUCGAUCUUGUCUUCCAAAGCUUUGAUCUCUUUCCUCGUCUGCUUAUCAUCUGUCCUACUGCCUCUGUCGUGGUCUCCACUGUAGACUGCAUCACUCUUUACCAUGUUGUCAACCAGCUCUUCUGCAUCCUCCUCAGUUCUCCCCAAGAAGAACCCAUUGCUAGCUGUAUCCAGUCUGGCUCUGUACUUAGGAAGAGCACCACGGUAGAAUGUGCUCAGUAAGCUCUCCUUAGAAAAGCCAUGGUGUGGGCAUUGAGCUUGGUAGCCCUUGAAUCUCUCCCAGGCUUCACUGAAGCCUUCCAAGUUCUUCUGUUGAAAGCUGGAAAUCUCGUUUCUCAGCUUAGCAGUUCUUGAAGUAGAGAAGAACUUCUCCAAGAAUGCUUUCUUGCAGUCAUCCCAAGUAGUGAUGGAGUCACUGGGUAGAGACUUCUCCCACUGACGUGCCUUAUCCCCCAAAGAGAAAGGGAAUAGCUUGAGCUUUAAGGCAUCUUCGGACACACCAUUGGUUUUUGACAACCCACAGUAGCUGUCGAACCUGUCCAAGUGAUCAAAUGGAUCCUCUAGAGCCAAGCCAUGAUACUUGUUGUUCUCGAUCACGUUGAGGAGUCCUGAUUUGAUCUCAAAGUUGUUGGCUGCCACAGCGGGUGCUCGGAUUCCCAAUCUAUGACCAUGAAUGUUGGGGCGGUCGUAAGUGCCAAUGGGUCGAGCUGCUCGCUGUUGGUUUUGAGGUAUGUCUCCCAUAUCAGUACUCAAUCUCUGCAAGUGAGCCUGUUGCUCUUCUUCUCUUCUAUUUCUAGCACACUCUCUCUCUAAAGCUCUGAUGUCUGCAGCUAUUGGAACUAGGUUUGAUGGACCCCUGCUCCUCAAGUUCAUACACCUGUAGAUUAAAGGGAGGUGAAGAAAGAGAAUCAGUAACAAAAGAAAAUAAAAAUGACUUAGUCUCAAGCAAGUGACUAAAUCUCAAUGUUCAAAUCUACUCAGAAUUUGGCAACGGCGCCAAUUUGAUGUUAGGAGUUUUCAAGGCUCCUAAGACAAAUGUUGUAGUAUAAAAGAUUGUCGAACCAGUUCUGAGGGAUAUCAAAGCACUGAGAAUGCAAGUACUCACUUAAUCUAAGUGCAACCAAUGAUUUAGAUGGGUUUUAAGCUAUGACUAAAACUAAAAAGCAAUAACAGAAUGAUACUUUCUUGACUAAGGGAAAAGAGAACUCAUGGGCAUAGGGAUUAGACCUUGGGUGAUCAAGUAUCGAACUAAGGAUGGCAAAUGAUCAAUCAAACUAUCAACCUUAAGCCUAGACACAAUUCUAAGCAAGCUCUAUGUCUAGAUGAAUGCUCAUUUGCUAACAUAUCUCAAACAUCAAAUGUCUUUGGUUGAAUAAUAUGAAAGCAAUCAUUACUAACAAGUCUAUUAGCUAUCUUAGCACCUUUAACAACAAAUGUCUUUGGCAAAGUAUACUAAAAGCCUAGGAGAGUUGUCUCGGGCAUUUCAUCGAAUACCUUUCGGGUGAGAAAUGCCUAAGGAUCAACAACUGAGUGGCCAACUCAGAAGAUGCAUUAUGAUUACUCUACUAGCAAGGAACAAGAAUGAUCUACACUAAAACAUCCUAGAACUAACCUAAUCACCCUUAAUCUCCCUAACCCAUGAAUUCAAAAGGUGAUUACUCACUAAUCUCCAUGAUUCCUCUUAAACCCAUAUUGGAUUUCAGAUUAAUCAUGUAGAGAAAUAGAUAAGAAAUCAACAAGAACACAAGAACAUAACAAAUCAAAAUCCAAGAGAUGAACUUCUCAAGAGAGUUCUUGUGUAUUUCUCAAUAGAUCCAAAAGAUAAAAGAUAAUCUGCCUCUGGUGGCUACAAAAGAUGUUUAAAACAUAGGUUUUAGAAAUGUAAAACGUGCAUAAUGAAAUGACCAAAAGGCCCUUGAGAAAUCAUAAGUUCGAGUGAAAUUGAGACGCGCAGCGACCUCGGCUCGUCGCUCCAGGCUUCGGGAGCGACCUCGCUAGGUCGCUGCGAGAGGUCGCUCCGAGAGCGAUUUCUUGUCUCUGGGAACCAAGAUGGCGAGCGAUUUCUCCCUGUCGCUCUGGACAGGUCGCUCCAAGCUUCGGGAGCGACCUCGCUGGGUCGCUGCGAGAGGUCGCUCCGAGAGCGAGUUGUGUGUCUCCGGACGUGAAAACGCGAGCGACUUUGUGCAGUCGCUCCAACGGGUCGCUCUGGAUCGGGAGCGACCUUGGUAGGUCGCUCUGAGAGGUCGCUCCAGGGUCAUCUAAGACUGUUCGGAGUAAUGAGAACGCGAGCGACUUCAUGGCGUCGCUUUAGGAAGGUCGCUCUGAGAAGUGGGACACAGCGACUUCGUGAUGUCGCUCCGGGAGGUCGCUCCCAUGCUCGGUUCGUCCAAUGGUCACCUUUUCACCUCUUUUGAGCUUCAAAUAACCUCAUGUGGUACUCCAGUACCUAAUAGAGACUCAUGUAUGCAAAAUGCAACCUAAACAUGUCUGAAUCCUAAUCUAUGUGAUGAAAAUGCUCAAGGAUGAAUGGAUAAAACAAUGCAAAUAUGCAAGAUAUCACUAUGGUCACAAUAAACAAAAUACGUUCAUCAAAGAAAUAAAUGACAAUUAUAUUUAUACUUUGUAGAUAUAUCUAUCUAUUAUUAUAAAGAAAUGUGACUCUCUCCUUAUUAGGACACGUCAUCAAAUAAGAGUAUCCCUUUAAUAAUUUGCAGCGUUUUGGUUUCUGACAAAAUAAAUAUUCUGUGGGUUUGGGUUUAAUAAACUGAAUAAUCCGAAAGCCCAGUAGCAUAGUCCUUUUAAUACACAUAAGCCAAAAUUAGGGUUUUCUCUCUACGCCAUCAAGCGAUGAUCGUCUGCUUUCUCUGUCAUCUUCUAUGGUGUUUCCAGAGAUUGUCUGACACAAAUCGACAUGAAAAAUCUCUCUGUUGCCUUGCAGUCGCGUCGAUUUGUCUUCUCUUUUAGUAAUCCGAAAUGCUAUGAGUUACAGAUCCAACGAAUUUGUCGCUUUCUUAACUCCAUAGACCGAUGUGAAGCAUGAUCUUUCAUUGAAUGAGAGAUAUUCCUCUGCAAAGCCCUGUAUCCAGAACUAUAUAAAGGUUAGCCUUCUUCGUUCCGAUAUCAUCCUCUCACUCCGUAAAAACGCCAAAGUUCAUCUAUUUUCUGUGAAACGGCUUACUCAUCAACCCUCCUUUCUUUUUGUUAUCGAAGACUGCGAAAAGCUUUCACCGACCGAUGAGCAGACCAAGAGUUUUACGAAGCCUUCUGUCUCAUCGACAACUCAGAUGGUCUGUUGUUGUUUACUUUUAUUGUACUUAAUACACAACCUUUUAUUUAUCCGAACAGGUCAUCGAACUGAUGAUAUGAUGGAUUAGUUGAUAUUUAUAUAAGUUGUGCGUGUGAAACAGGGUUCAUCACGAAGGAGUAGCUAAAGAAAGUGAUGAAAUCGAUGGGGAAGAAUCCAAGGGGAGAACUUUGGGAAAUUAUGAUCGAUGUCAACGUUGAUGGCAAUUUAGGCAUCUAUAUAAUGGCUCAAAACACCUCUCAGGUAUAGUAUGUAUACGCUCAAACGUUUUAGUUACAGUGAAGAUUAAUCAACGAGCGUAGAUUAUAAAACUACAAAUUAAAUUUGGUUUAGGACUCAGCAUGGGAUGAUACUAAUAGAAAUAUUCAGUGUGUUCGAAGGGAAAGUUUCAUCUCGACACUUGAGGUAUUAUUAUUUUAAAUUUCUUCUUUUUAUGUUUCAUAUCAUUUAUAUGUAAUUCCUUAUUAUGUUUAAUCAGGGAAGCUUGAAGAUCUUCAACCACCAUCCCUACUUCAAAUGGAGUUACAAAACAUAGACAGAUUCUCAGGUAUUUAUUGCUUAAACCUCCUCCUUCCUCAAUCAUUUGAUUGCAUUCAAUUCUAUUAGCUGAUGAAUUUUAUUUGUUUUGUUCCUAUGUGUCAGAGAGUAGGCGUCCACAGGUGCAUCAGGAGGUGCUGACGGUGAGAGAUCAGCUGGAGAGAUCCAGGAUUGUCGAGUUGAGGUGCGAGGAGACGGAACCAGAGAUUCACGACGAAGAACAAGAUAGACAAACUUACAAGUGAAGACAUUGGUUUUUGUUUCUACAUACGCAUUUUCAUCUAAUUAACAGGUUUCCUAUUUAUUAUUAUAUGCUUCGUGAAAGCACUAUGUUAUUUGAUCUAGAAUAAAAUGUAAUUUAUGUCAAUUUGCUCGGAAUAAUGAACAUGUUUUUAAGCGAGAUUUUAUUUUUGAGGAAACAACAGUUGUAGCUAUAUUUUGGUUGCUAAUGGGUUUGGCUUGAAGUUUGAAAUAAUACUUAAGAGGCACAAUCAAAUAUCAUUUGAAAUGGGUUGCUUGAAGCUCCUACUGUUGUUUCAUUGUGUAUUCUUCUGUUCUUGAGACAUCAAGAAAGUGCAUGAAUCCAUGAUACAACUUCCACACAUCGUAAUUCAUUUGCCCGUCAUUUACCAAUGUUAAUUGGCGUGUCGUUCCUCAAAUUCUUUUUAGGCUGAUCAUUGGUGCAUUUGAGUUAGGUCCUAAGACCUUGGGAGAAAUGCAUCUGCAGAGUCAAAGUUUGGGGGUAAAUCAGAGAACUCAUCAAGAAUAGAAGUCAUAACUAAUCCAAUUUCCUUUUCUUUCUAACCUUUCAGUUUUGUUUAAAAGUUAUUUUUUAUUUUUGUUAUAUUUUAGGUCGAGGGCCUUUAUAAAUAAAAUAUCACUAGGAUAAGAUCUGCGCCUUGCGCGGGAUAAACUUUAUAUAUAUAAAUUAUUUUAUAUAUUAUAUGCUUAUAACAUAUUAUGAAAUAAUAAAUAUAUAUUGAAUAAUUAAAAAGUCAUUAUCUACUACUUAUAUAAUUAAAUUAGUGCAAACAUAUAAAUAAAUUUUAUAAAUUGAAAAAAUAUUUUUUCUAUUUGAUAUGAUAUAUAAUUAAAGUUAAAAUGAUAGUAACAUAUAUGGUAUAUUUUAAUAUUAAUAUUUAUGAAAUGAUGCUUUUUGCUCAUAUUUUUUUUAUUAUUUGUAUUUGUUAUAGCAAAAAGUCUAAAUUAGUGAUAACAAAAUUUUCACUGUGGGAUUAAUGGUUUAUGUAAUUGAUAAUAUUUUAAAAAAUUAAGUUGUCAAUAUUUUUUCAAAUUUUUUAUCAAAAAAAUGUUCAAAGUAAAUUUCAAAUUAAGAUAUUUAUAUAUUUUUAUAUGGCAUAUAGUUUAAUGAGUAUUUGUACUCCCUACAUACAACUUCCCCUUUAUUUGCACUCCAUACUCUAUUUCCCUUCAAUUUUUUCCCCCUAUUACUACCAUUUUCCCUCAAUUCAAUGGUAUCCCACUCUUUUUAGUAUAUUGAGCUAAUUUGCUCUAGUUUAAUUUAAAAUGAUACAUAUAUUUAUAUAUCUUUUAUUUUUGAUACUUAUUAAAUGAGACUUUCAACUUAUAUUAUUUUUAAUUAUUUGUAUCAUGUUAUAACAAAAGUUUUAAAUCAUUGAUCACAACAUUUGAAUGUGAAACUUUUAACAGUUUUAGUAAUUUAUACUCGUUUUUAAAAAUUCAAAAUAUAAUAUAUAAAUAAUUUUUUAAAUUUUUAUUAUAUAGUUACUAUGAUUUUUUAAUUUAUUUUAAUAGCUUAAAAUUAAAUAAAUAUAAUUAUAAUACACACUGAUUUUUAUCAAAUCUUUAUUAUUCAAAAUCAUUAAUUGUCAUAUAUACUUUAGCCACAUUAGGCAAUUCUGUAAUUUUAUUUAAGAAAAUAACGAAGCACAUUUAAUAGUGUACUAGAUUUUGACCCGCGCUUUUAAAGCGCGGGAUUGUUUAUUUAUAUAUAUCUAUUAUUAUAACAAAUGUGUUUCUUCAUAAAAUUUAUAUCAAGUGUUUUUAUGAUUUUUAUUAUCAGUUGUUUUUAUAUGUUUAUGUGAUCCUUUUUAUCUAUAAAAUAUUAAUGCUGUGAAAUUUAUUGUUGCAAAAUUUAGUAAGAAAUUAACUUCAAAUUAUUUGCAAUAUAAUUAAUUUUACAAUGACAUGUAAUAUUAUUAAAAUUUUAAAAGACUAUAUAAUUUAAAUUAAGAAUGUUUAGCAAUAUAAUGUAAAACCAUAUUGUAAAUAUAUUUUUAUGUUUAUUAAUUGUAAAUGUGAUAUUUUAAUGUAAUAUCAGAAAAAUGUUUAAUUGUUUUGUUAACAUCAAAAUUAAAAUAUUGAAAUAAUUAAUUCAAAGUUUAUAUAAUUAAAGGUUGUUUGAUAAAUAUAAAACGAAUGGGCCCCCAACAAAGUUGUUGUUGUCGUUUGUAGUCCAAUAAAACUAAUACUUAUUUUUGGUCUUAUAGACCAUUUGUAUAUAUAUAUUGUUUUAAGUUUUUAUUAUGCACUGAUUUUGCUUGGUGAAUAUGUCACAUGCCUAAUAUUAUGGCUGCAUUUAGUGAUAAUGUCGAAAUUUGGUUCCUAGAUUUUAGGAGAAUCACAACGUAAUAUUUAUUGUAAUUGGUUUGAAAAAAAAUCAGGCCAAAAAUAGAAGUAUAACAGUUAAUGAUUUUAUGUAAUUGUUUUGUAGAUUUGAUUGGUGGUAAUUAAUGUUGACGUUUUUUUAAAACAAAAAGCAAAAAUAGGAAAUGGCAGUCCCUUGUAAAUAACUCUCAAAAUCAAGGGCAGAAUCCUAUUAGGGAUUCUGCUUUAAUAGUAUAGAUUUAUUGUGGUUUAAUAAAAAGUUUAUUAUAUAUUUAGAUGAACCAACCUAUUUCUCUAAGGAUUCUAAGAAUCAUUCUAGUGAUGACAUGUGGCUACAAAAAAAUAUUGCAAUGCUUCUCAAAUAAUAUAUAGGGGAUUGUAACUUCAGGUUCGAGGAAUAUAUUUAAUUUCCUUUUUGAUUGACAUAAACCUAAAUAUGCGAGAAAAUAUUAGCUUUUUGGUACCUAGCUCUUCCUUCCUCACAAUAGUCAUGGUUACAUGCUUUCCUUAACCUUUUUUUGCUGAAGAGAAUGUGAGACGUCUUGGAAGAAAAACGUUAGUGUUUUUUUUUUUUUUUAAAACAAGACGGCAGUGUGUAUAACAGCCAAAUAAAAGUGAAUCUCAACAUUUUAAAGAUACAAAUGGGGCGCUGAGUUCACAUACAUGUUCUGUGAACUCCGCAACUUGAAUAUUUUCUUUACUUUAGUGAUUUUGCUUCCUCGCAUGAUAUCCAAAUUAAUAAUUGAGGAAGCUGAUGAAUCUGAGGCACACAACCAUAGAAAUACUUUCAUUAGUUGGGUUUAGAGAUUAUUGGUGUUAAAUUAACACCAAUUAAUAUAGAACUAAUUAAUAGAUUUUUCUGUCUUAUAUAAGUGAAUGUAAAGAAUUAUAGUAUUUUUUUAUGAGCUGACACUGGCUCAUCUUUAACAAAAUUCAGGUGAAGCAAAUAGAAAUACUCGAACAAAUUUGAAGCAAAAGAUGAUCCUAUGGAUGAAAAAGAAACAGUAUUCAAGUACAUUAAAGUGGUGUUGGAUACCAUAGACUCAAGCUGGGAAGAGCUGUUACCUGAAAACAGAAUUCUCCAACCAGAUUCCCAACCCGGCUUUUUUCAUCAAUAUACCAUUCUAUCCUACUCAGCUUUGUGCUGCUGAACAUGAGCCUCUCUUAAUGAACUCAUCUUCGAGUUCUACAAGUUUCCUCAACGGGUUUCUUUUUGUUACACCAAAAAAACAAAGUCUUCUCAUUCAGUCGUGAGAGCUUCGUUCACAAGAAACUGAGAGAGAAAAUAAAGUUACUCUACUUACACCAAUCUACUAUAAUUUUUAAAAAAAUUCUACGUGACAUAUUGUUAUAGUUAAACUAGAAUAAACAUUGAAGUAAAAUAAAUAAUUAAUUUUUUUAAUAGUUAGACAAGUAUAUAAUUUCUAAAAUGAACAAUAAAAUAAAUAAUUAAAAUUUGUUGUAAGAAAUCUAUGAACACUAAUGCUAAUUUUUACUUAGACGUAAUGGAAUAUUUAAAAUAAAUUUAUAAUAUUAGUUUAUUUAGUUGCCCGUCCGUAGGGCGGGUUUACCCUAGUUAAAAUAAAUAAAUAUGUUUUGAUUUUUUUGCGAAUAUGUUUAUAAAAUAAACCCCGAACAACACUAGUCAGUAGUCAGUAUUUGACCCUCUUUGUUGUUUCCAUUGGCAUGUGUUUAUUGGAAACCAUUAAACAUUGAAUCAGCUUUUACUAUACAAUAUUUGGUUCAAUCAAAGUUUGAACAAACUAGUGAUACUGAAUAAUGCACAACAAGCCAAGUUAGGAGUAAAGAUUCACAAUAAAGAACAGUUUUCUUUCACAUAUAGAGGGUUUAACAAACUUGUUUAAUUGUAAUUCGACAAGAACAUACGUGAAAUCAUAUUUUAAAAAAGAUUCUACCAAAACUUGUAUCAGAAAACUGUCAGCUCUCAUGCUGAGUUCGCCCCUUCUUCUAGCUGCUGAGCUUUUUGAUUUCCAUUCUGUGGCCGUCUCAUAGCUGAAAUAAAACAGAGAAAGAUUAAGAAUCAUACGUUAUUUGUAUGUUUAACGGCAACAUGUAUUGUGAAAAGGAUAGGCUCACAUUUGAGAGCUGAUCCAGCAAGACAUGUAAGCCUUGACUUAGUAUUUGUCUCAGCUAAUGGUUUUGCAUUCUCUUUAGCAGCCAUUCGCAUGUCCCAAACACGUAUGAUCCCAUCAGAAGAUGCAGAAGCAACCAAGUACGGAUCUUCUGAUGCACUUUCGCUGUCAUUCCUGGUAAGCGUCACCACACCCUUGAUACGAGCUGGGUGAGCAUCUUGUAUGGCAUAAGCAAGCUUCCCGCUAUUCGUAUCCCAAGCUGUUAUUGCCCGAUCCUCACCAGCUGUAAACAGAGUCCCACUCUGUUCCAAAUUAAGCAAACAUUUCAGCCAAGGUAUAAAUCACCAGAACAACUCUACCUAUCCAAGAUGGGCUCUUCCUAAAUUCCAAAUUAAAGCAUAAUUAAAACUAAACAAUACAAAGAGUUCCACCCUGAAGCAAUUCAUCACACUUAAAAUAAAAGGUGGGCUCUUUCAUUUUUGGCAACAUAGGAGCUCUAGUAGCAUCUUGAUGUAGCAUCAAAAGGCACAAAAAUGAGAUCUUUUUCAGACAAGGGUCUCAAAGUUACUUCCUUUAGACAUAUACAACUGAUUCUCAGACACAAGUUCAACAAGACAACAGACAGAGAGAUAAAGAAGCAAAGAGCAGCUCUAAGACACACAAAAAUGAGAUCUUUUUCUGCUAAGAAUCUAAAAGUUAUUCUCAGUAAAGAAAGAAUCUCACAUCUCCAGGAGAAGCACAGAGUAUAGGCUUGCGGCUACCAUUAUCGAGCUCGAGAAGAAGCUUAGCAUCCUCAGACUGAUGAACACCAACUUUACUAUUAACCACCAUGAAAAACCUCUCCCCACUCGGAUCAAACUUGACAAGACUCGCCUCGUGCCCCAGCCUGCAACAAAAACUCCUCUUCCCCCUCACCAGAUUCAACAUCGCAAAGCACUCGUCACGGUACACCGCCAACGCGAGCUUCCCAGAGGGAUGAAUCGAGAGAUCGUUGACGGCCUUCUUGUGAGGACGAAAGGACUUGAGGAGGACGAAAGGGUCGGUGUCGAAGAUGGCGACGGAGCCGUCAGCGGCGGCGGAGAUGAGGUUGCGAGGGAAGGAGAGGGAGGAGGGGGUGUAGAAGGAGAGGGCGGUGAUGGAGGCGGUGUGGUUGUGGUCGAGGAGGGAGCCGAGGGAGGAGGCGGAAGGGAGGUCGUAGAGGUGGAUGGUGUCGUCGGAGCCGCCGGAAGCCGCGGCGGGGCCGGAGCAAGCGACGGUGGUGAUGGAGGAGAGGUGGGAAGGGUAGGAGAAGAGAGGGGAGAGGGUGAGGGUGUGGGUGUCGGGGUCGUGCUUUGUGGGUUUGAGCUUGAAACCCCAUAUGAAUCUCUCGUAGGAGCCUGCGAUGAUGCUCAUUGCUUUCUUCUCUCUCUCUCUCUCUCUGCUGCUCCUCCAAAGUAAAGUGUUGUUUGAUUGAGAAGCUUAUUAGGGUUUUAGGAUUUUGUCGGUUGUAUUGUCUUUUUCGAUAAAAUAUUAAAAUGUUAUCGUAAUCGAACCAGACUAAACCGAUUAAGUUUGUGGUUCAUGGUUCAAAAUGGCGGACCACCCAUGCUUAAUACCCGGUUUGCACUCGGUACUAGUUCGGUACUUGGCCUCUCAAACCAAUUUACUUGUAAUUAUCAAGACAAGUAACAAGUACAUCAGAUUAAAUUAAAUAUAUCUUUAAUAAACUUAUAUAUUACUAAUAUAUAAAUAAUGAAAUAUUUAUAAUUAUACAAAAUGAAAUAUACACUUAAAACUUUGAAGCUAUUUAUAAAUUUUUCUUAUAUAAAUUAUUUUUAAUUUUUAAACUUAAGUGGGAAUUUUUUUUUCAAAUGUAAUAUUAUGUAUUUGUGAUAUUUUGUUCAAAAUGUUAAGAGGCAUCUUACCUUUCUUUCACUAAGAUUUUUUUUCUUCAAAAUAUUAGACAUAUUAAACAAUAAUUAAAAUAUAUAAAAACAUAAAUAUAUAGUAUAUUAUAUUAAUUUUGAAGAAUAAAAAAAUACCAUUCAAGGUUUUAUUUAAAAUAAUUUAUAUAAAAACUUAUAAAUAGUUUCAAAGUUUAAGUUUUUUUUUUUAAUUUCGUAUAAUUCAGAAACUCUUUUAUUUUGUUAACAGUUGACUAAUUUAUGUUAGAGUCAAUGUUGAUUUAGUCACGUUUUAAGAAGUCCAUGUAGUAUUCUUGAAUUAUGGUUGAGUUGAUGUCGUAUUUGAUACUGGCCAUUUGUUGAGAUCACACUUGGCACGACUGAAACUGUUGGGUUUGAAAUUGGCUUUUUUCCAUGAUCCAUUCAUCUGGUUCGGAAAGUGGUCCGAUAAUCCUAUUAGCUGAUGGUUCAUAUAAGGUUCAGUUUCGCCGAGAUUUCUAAAAAAUAAAGCAUUGUCUUGGAGAGAAUAUGAUAGAUUAUAUGAGAUUAAUGGUUAUACGCAUCAUUAUCUCGAAGAAGGGUGUUGGAGAUAAAAACCCACAUUAAAAAUAUGAAUGUAACUUAAGUAAUAUAUAAGAAACUUGGACCAUUUCACUUACUAUCAAUUGAUUUUAAGUUAGAAACCUAAUAAAACUUAACAAAAAUAUCAAUUUUUUUAAUGUAAACUACAGUCAUAAACUAAAUCAACUAUUUGAUGGGCUUUUUGAAAGUUCAUAAAAGUGAGUUUAAAAGACAAAAAAAAAAUGAAUGCGUUCUAUAAGCUGGGGAAAAAACGCAUAUCUAUGGAGUACUACGGAAGAAGCAAAGAAAAAGAAAUAUGCUAUGUGAUAAUUUGGUGGAGUGUCAGAGAAAUACAUGCUAAAAUGUUCAAGUGCGAUAACAUAAUUUAAACGACAAUUUGUACAAUUUUCCACUAACUUUCUGAUGAAAUACGCCAAAAACAUCCGCACUAUUUGCAACCAGAAACACUAAGCCCCCUCCAAAAAGAGGUUAACCACAAACACUAAACUCUUCAAAAAAGUUAAUAAUCGCACUAACCAUAAAAACCUUUUAAGCAGAAGCAGGAGUUACGAAAAAUCAGAAUUUACUAAACAAUUGUAUAUGUAUGUCAACUUACAGACUUUACUACAACAUCAUGUGUUGGAGAAAACUUCCUAAAACUAGAAAUAAAAAAAUAAAAAAGGUUAAAAUAUUUUAUAGAAAGAACCGUUCAGUAGUCAAUUAAAAUAUUAAUUAUAUGUCACGGUAAUGCCGUUCCGAACUUUUUAAAAAUUACACACAUAGGUUUUUAAGUAGUACCACUCGCAUAUCCCCUUCUCUCUCUCUCUCUCUAUUUCAUUCAGUCCAUCUCAUGGAUCGAUGCCAAGAACAGAAACCCUAGUUCCUCUCUCUCGAUUGUUAAUAUUUUUAUGAAGUCUUACAGUCUCCGGUAUGUUCUGUUCUUCGGUUCUUUUUUUUUUGUUUGGUUGUUAUGGUUGAUGUUGUUGCUGGUUCCACACGUGUUCUUCGCAGCUUUAAUUUUAUUUUUAGAAAAUUCGCGUUUCUAUUAAUCGUUUUGUUGAUUUUUCCGGUUUUUGUGGAGCUGACUGUUUCCUCUAAAGCCCCAUCUUUUUUUCUGUUUCCUUGUUCUACCGUUUAUUGCAAUUUCCAGGAUCGUUGUCUGAGUAAUUUUUCUGUUUUGUUUUUCUUUAAAAAAAUAUAAUUUUUCUGGGUUAAGAUCCUUUCUUAGAGCUAAGGUAAUUUUCUUAAUCAGUUUUGAUAAUUUUUAUUUUGUUUUUUUCAUCCAAUCAAUCAUUUUUUUUUUAAUUCAGAAGAAGAAAGGCAAGAGAUUGAGUUAAGAUAAUUUCAUGAUGUAUAUGUAUGUGUGUUUCUUGGUACUGAUUCCAUUUGUUUCUGGGAUUUUUUCCUAGCUCAGAGUUAUCAGGUGAGGGUUGAUCAUGGAUGUGACCGAGCUCGAGGAGAAUCUCUUCGCUGCUAGCGAUGCCAAGGUUCCUUUUCCUAAUCAAAUGUUUUGGAUUGCUUUUGUUUUUCCAUGUUUAACUCAGAGAACCAUUGUAUCCUUAUCUAAUUUUUAAGAUUGAUGAGUUUGGUGUUGAGAUGUAUGUUCUUGUUGUUUGAUGGUGUAUGUUUAUUUGAAACGCAGUUACAUGGAGAUAUGUGUAAGGAGCUAUCAGGAGUUCUCUGUAAGGUACUCUCAAUCUUCCCGUCGUUGGAAGGAGCAAGGCCUAGGAGUAAAUCAGGGAUUCAAGCCUUAUGCUCUUUACAUAUUGCACUUGAGAAGGCAAAGAAUAUUCUUCAGCACUGUUCCGAGUCUAGUAAGCUUUACUUGGUGCGUCUUUUCCUCUUUAGUCUUUAUUCCCUUCUCUCGCUCUUUGGACGAGCUUUACGCAUUCUCUUUUUUUUUUUUGUGUGUGUGUUUUGAUUUCUUUUAAUAUUUUAUUGCAUUCUCCAAUCCAAACAGGCCAUUACAGGGGAUGCUGUCCUUUUAAAGUUUGAGAAAGCCAAAGUUGCUCUCAUCAACAGUCUUAAACGUGUUGAAGACAUUGUUCCUAGCUCUAUUGGGUCUCAGGUACUCUUUUUUUUUUCUUUUAAUAUUUACUUCACUACACAUUGUUUCGUUGUAAUGAUUCAGACAAGUCCACGUGACCAAGUCUCUUGUUGCUUGAUAAUAAUGUUUGUCUGUAGAGAUCUGAUUAGUACAGUUUUCUAUUGAAAUUUCUUUCAGAUUUUGGAAAUAGUUGGUGAGCUAGAGAACACUAGGUUCUUGCUUGAUCCAUCAGAGAAGGAAGUGGGUGAUCAGAUCAUUGCGCUGCUCCAGCAAGGGAAAAAGUCUGACAACUGUAAUGACAACACAGAGCUUGAGAUUUUCCACAAGGCGGCUACAAGACUCAGCAUCACUUCUUCUAGAGUGGCUCUGGCGGAAAGACGGGCACUGAAGAAGCUCAUCGACAGGGCACGCGCAGAGGAGGACAAGCGCAAGGAAUCAAUCGUGGCUUAUCUGUUGCAUCUUAUGAGAAAAUGCUCCAAGCUAUUCAGAAGUGAGAUCUUGGAUGAGAAUGACUCCUCUCAGGGCUCAGCACCGUGUUCUCCCACUGUUCAAGAAGAGAAUGGGAGUGUUCAUGGGUUUGGUCGUCAGCUGUCUAGGUUUGGCUCCAUGAACUUCAAGCCCAUCAACAGUCCGAGAUCAGGACAGAUGCCUGUUCCACCUGAAGAACUGAGAUGCCCUAUAUCUCUGCAGCUUAUGUGUGAUCCUGUCAUUAUUGCUUCAGGGCAGACUUAUGAACGGGUUUGUAUUGAGAAAUGGUUUAGUGAUGGGCACAACACUUGCCCAAAGACUCAGCAACAGCUCCCACAUCUCUCCUUAACUCCCAAUAACUGUGUUAAAGGUCUUAUUGCAAGCUGGUGUGAACAGAACGGGACUCAAAUCCCGAGCGGACCUCCGGAAUCUCUAGACCUCGACUACUGGACACUAGCUCUCUCUGGCUCCGAGUCCACCAACUCAAAGUCAGUAAACAGUAUAGGCUCGUGUAAUAUGAAGGGAAUACAAAAUGGUACUACUGUUGUGGAACAACAAUACACAGAAGAAAGUUUUGUGUCUGAUAAUGAUGAUGAUGGUAAGGAGGAUUCUGACAUGAAUGUGCUUGAGAGAUAUCAAGAUCUAUUGGCUGUGUUAAACGAAGAGGAGGACUUGGAUAAAAAAGGAAAGGUUGUGGAAAAGGUCAGGCUAUUGCUGAAGGAUGAUGAAGAGGCCAGGAUCUUCAUGGGAGCAAAUGGGUUUGUUGAAGCUUUGUUGAGGUUCUUAGGAUCGGCUGUAGAUGAGAAUAAUGCGGCAGCGCAGGAAAGAGGAGCUAUGGCUUUGUUCAACUUAGCCGUCAACAAUAACAGGUUAGUAUCUCCUGCUACUGUCGGUAAUAACUAGGCCUGGGCAUUCAGGAGCUUCCUCGUCGGAUUUUCGGUUCGGUUGAUUCGGAUUUUUUGGUAUUAUGCCAUAAGACUAUUCGGGUUUUACUAAUUAUCGGGUUGGGUUCGGUUCUGGCGGAUUAUAACCAAUGUCUAAAAUCGCUCGAAAUAUUUUUUUAAACUAAAAAAGAUUGAGAAAAAAUACUCAAAAUAUAUAAGUUAUUCACAAAUCUAAUUAAAAACUAGUUAAACUAUCUAAACUAACUAAAAAGUAUCCAAGAUGACAAAUAAAACAAACUACAAAAAUCUUUAAAAUGCUUUAAAACAUCUAAAUUACCUUAAGAUAUAUUAAAACAUUAACAUAUUUAACUAAUUUGGGAUAUUUUCGGAUUGUGUCUUUCUCAUUAUGUGUUGUCUUUUUCAUGUUCUUCAGGAACAAAGAGUUGAUGUUAACUUCUGGGGUUAUACCUCUACUAGAGAAAAUGAUAUCUUCUUCCGAGUCCCAUGGUCCAGCAACUGCGCUGUAUUUGAAUCUUUCAUGUCUUGAAGAAGCCAAACCCGUGAUAGGUUCAAGCCAAGCAGUGCCUUUCCUUGUCCAUAUUCUUCAAGGGGAAGCUGAAAACCAAUGCAAGCUCGAUGCUCUCCACGCCAUCUACAACCUGUCCACAUAUCCUCCCAACAUCUCUGCCCUCCUUUCAUCCAACAUCAUCAAGACCCUCCAAGGCCUUCUCGCAUCAACAGUUGAACAUCUGUGGAUCGACAAGUCAUUAGCCAUAUUACUAAACCUUGCUUCGAGCCAACAGGGUAAAGAUGAGGCGGUGUCAUCACAAGGCAUGAUCAGCAGUCUAGCAACAGUGCUUGACAUGGGUGACACAACGCAGCAAGAGCAAGCUGUUUCAUGUCUUUUGAUUCUAUGCAACGGAAGAGAGUCUUGUAUCCAGAUGGUGCUACAAGAAGGUGUGAUACCAUCGUUAGUGUCAAUCUCAGUGAACGGGACUACGCGAGGCAGAGAGAAGUCUCAGAAGCUUCUAAUGCUGUUCAGGGAACAGCGGCAGCAACGGGACCAGCCAUCACUGAAGAGAGAUGAGGAGCCGCCAUCACAGAAGGAAGCUUCCAGGAAGUCUCUGUCGGCACCAAUGUAUGUCCAUGAAUCACCAGCUCAACCUUCAGCUUCAGGUCCGGAAUUUGAACCAAGAGUCUUGUCGAAAUCGAUGUCGAGAAGAAAGUCGUUGGCAAGGCCGUUUAGUUUCUUCUGGAAGAAAAGCUACUCGACUCGCCAGUGAGUGAGGGAGUGAAUGAAUGAUAUGAACAGCCUUUGUAUGUAAAGCUUUGUUUUUGUUUUUCUUCUUACAAGUUACAAAACGUCAUCUCAUAGAGAAGAAGAUAUGUACAGGCCACAAUGUGACUACACUCGAUUUUGCUGCUUUUUUUGGUUAGCCAAAAAGAAGAAUGUAUAUGAAUGAAGUUAAUAAAUAAUAAAAGUAUAAAACAAAACCACAAUGUUAUAGUAUAACAUAACUACAAAAGCCUGUUCCAAAUUAUAUAUAUAACAAUUAAUAUUUUCUUUUGUCAACUACUCAGUCUCAGACUAACUAGACCAAGUUCAAAAUGUUGAAAAUUUUACUUUGUAUGGAUUUUUCUCAAAUUACUCUUGAAUUAGUUAUUAAUAUAAUUUGUGAGAAGUUCCCAAUGUGGAUGUCUUUAUGUUCCUCUGUUUAAUAAAACAAAAAGAAUUUCACUAAGUUAAUGGUAACUUAAAAUAUGAUAUUAAGUUAUUAAAUAAUUUACAAAGAGAUGAACAGAAAAGUUAUAGAGGUGGGGGAGUAGGACAACAUAGUCUACUAGUUUGUGUUAGUGUUGUUGUUUUGGAACCGUAUAUGAGAGUUAAAAGACCUCUCAGGUGGUGGUCUCGUAGGAAUCAGAACGAGAGCAUGUGAGCGAAUCAGCGCUUCGACUACUUCUUUUCAUGGGCUUCUGGAUCCAACCGUUCUCAAACAGAUCCAAGAUAGGAUCUCCCUGGUUGCUGCUGCUGCGACCGGUGCUUCCUCCACCAUCUUCACCGCUGCUUCCUCUCUGUAACGCCUCCUUGUAACUCACUCUUUUCCCAUCAUUCUCCAGUUUCAUCUCUUCUUCAGACAUUGAUCCUGUUCUGCUAAAACUGCUAUCCACCGUGAUCUCUUUCUCGUUUGUCCCCUUGUUCUUAUCCCUCCAAUGGCCUAACACGUUCACGAGAGAAUCAACCCAGUAAAGUGCUUGAACCAGGAUCAUGUCCACCCACGCGGCUCUGUUCAUCAUUCUUGGAAGCUUCUCAAGAAACGUGUCGAGUUUUAUAGGCAGAGACUCUGCUGCGGUUAGAAAACCGGAGGUCUUGUGGAAGAAGAAGGUGGUUGAAGGGAAGUAAGCCUCGAUUGCGAGGAUGUGGUCGUCGGCUACGGAGAGGAUUGCGAGAAAGUGGCGACGGAAGGGACUUGUCAUGGAGGCGAAGAAGAGAAGGAGUUGGAAGAGUUUCUGCACGAGGAAGGAGGCAGGAUUGGUCGGAGUCUUGGUUCUUGUGUAAAGGACGCGAGACAUGGAGAGUAUGGUAGCACCACAGGUCUCAAGAGGCCGAGGUCGUGGUAUCUUUCUCGCUGUUUGUUCCUGCCAUAAUCCAUAAUAACAAAAUAAAACAAAAUAAGAUGGCAAGAGAAUUCGAGAAAUGAACAGGGAAAAAGUACAUACCAUCUUAAGAUGAGGAAUGAAUGAAUGGAAUGCUGAUGCAAAUUCAGAGGAGAAUAGUUCUUUGUAAUUUUUCCAGGAAAAUGUUGAGAAUUUUGUUCUUUUCGUAUUGGUUUGAGCAUUUUAUAGGUAGCUGCUUUAAACGUUAAGGGGAAAGUGAGCGGUUAAACUCGAUUUCAGCUGGAAGGUUUUUUGAAUUAGCGGUUACGCUUUUUUCUUCUUUCUAUCCCAUCUUCGUAGCUAAAUUACUUCUUUUUUUCUUUAUCCGGGCAACGGGCCAAUAGUCUUUUUGAGUAAAAUUUCACUUACAUUUUUUUUUUUUUGAAACCAAAUUUAACUAACAUUUCUACAUCAAUAUUUCUAUACCAGGAAAUUUAUGUUUCGAAUCCCAGAAAAACUAUUUAUUAGUAGUUAUACAGAUUAAUAGACAAAAAAAUUUACCAUUUUUUUAUGAUACGUAAAUAUAAUCAUUAACCUCAUAUCUUUAUAAAAUGUUUUGUGGUGUUAUAAGUAGAAAUUUUGAAAUUAAAAACUCUAUUAAUCAUCGAAUUUGAUAUGUUUUUUUUUUUGAAUUUGAUAAGUUAACCGAGAAGUUGUGUUCUUUGUAGUGCUGGAAAGCGAGUUAAAUCCACGUCAUUUAACUCACUCCGCAUAAUCCACACAUUGUUGAUCCACACCAGUUCUCUUAAAAAUUGUAGAUAACUUGCAAGACUUAUGGGUAAUUUUCAUUUUCUAAAAUAAUUAUUUUAAUCAUAUUUUAAUUAUUUAUUUCAUAAAUAAUAUUAAUUAUAUAUGUAGUUAGAAUAACAUAAUUAUUGAAGUUUAUAUACUCUUUCUAUGAUUUUUUUUUUAAAUUUAUAAGUUGUGGAUACCCGCAAUUCAAAUUAAGCCAAUUCACAAUUGUUCUACAAAAAAACAAAUUGACCCAUAAAUCAAAUUUCUUCAGUUCUAUUAAGUUAGGGUGUGUUUGGCUAUUAGUGUAGAUGAUCUUCGCAGCCACAAAUACUUAUAGCCCAAAUUUAAAGAUUUUUAAAAAUUAAAAAUUAAAAAUUUAGAUCCAAAGCAAAAAAAAAAAAUCAUAGUAAUAUUUCUACGGCCAAAAAUGAAAUCACAACUCUUAACAGAUCAAACGAGGCGUAAUGUAACAAUUUUUGGCAUUAAAUAUUUACACAAUGACGAAAUGUAACAAUUUUUGGCAUUAAAUAUUUAAGGGAUCAACAAUAAAAAUGUUAUUUCUUUAAAUUGAUGGCAAGCAUUAGCUACCACUCCUUUUCAAAUUGUUCUCUUAACAGUACUAAGAAAGAGAAUUUUUACACUUCCACAAAGAAAUGGGAAUAUACCUUACCUCUCUCACAAAGUAACAACCAAUUUACAAUAAUGAAGAUAUACUUUAGAGAAACUACAAUAAAGCAAACUAUUACACAAGAAAAGUAAAUAUAUCAUUAAUAGUAUCUGAAAAUUAAAAACAAAAAAAUCAAAAUAUACUUUUGAUUUAUCUAACUUUCUCAAAGUUUAUUUUGUUGUCACCAUACAUGAUACAAAGUUUCCUUAUGUUGGCACUGCUGAAGUUAUAUUGUCAUAAUGAGCAUAUGUAAUUUUAGUAUUUUUCUGAAUAAAACUAGAAUAUAUAUAUACAUUAUAUAUAUAUAUAUAUUAAAUAUAUCAGUUACACUCACAAUGUUGAAUGUUACACAUAAACAAAUUAUAUAAACAUGGAAAACAAUUAUUUGGUAUAAAAGAUUUGAUUUACCAAAAAAAAAAGGAUUUGAUUACCAUAAAAAUGGUAUCAUACUUGGAAAAAAACAAAUAUUUUUUUUUGAACAAAAAAAAAAAAGAAGGUGUAAUUAGGUGGGGAUCCUUUGUAUAAAUACACGAAAACUACCCACCAUUUUGCUUCCCCUCUUGUCUCUCAAAAAUUUCAAUCUCUCUUAACAUCAUAGAUUGAUUCACACAUACAUAUAUCCAUAUAUUCGUGUAUGUUAUACAUAUAAUACACAUGGAAUUGUGGGUUUAGCUGAAAAAGUAGAAAGAAUGGAAGGAAGAAAAGAGAGCGGUUCAUCUUCUCCAUCAUUAACAUCUCAGCUUUUUGGCUCGAGAGAUAAUCCUCCUCCUCCUUCUUCUUCUUAUUCCUCUUGGAUUUUCGGAUCCAUUUUUGCUCCUCCUUUAAAGGUGAGUUUCCUUUCUCCAAAAGCUUCGAUUUUUUUUGUUUGAUUUGGCGUAUCCAUUAAUUGCUGAAGAUUUCCAAUUUCGUUGGGAAUGAAUUUGGAAAUUUUUUAAUUAUUCUAAUUUUAUCAUAGCGGAAUUAAUUUUAUUUUUUUGUUCGUAUUCAUAGUUUUUCUUUUGUUCCUCUGUUUGCAAAAAGGAUUAAUUUUGAAAAGGUAGAUCAUUUUUUUUUAAAAAAAAGUGGAAGACCCUACACAAGAUUAAGAAUAAGAAGAGUUUUCGUGAUUGGUAGCUUGGUGCACAAGUUUCUCUAAUCCAAAUUAACACUAUUCUGCUCAGAUUUAGAAAUUUGAUGGAUGUGUUCUUUUGUUUCAUUAGGUUAUGGGAUGAGAGACUGGAACUGGUGGCAGUGGUGGCUGGAACGACAAAUCCUCAAAUUAACCUAAUGAAACAAAAGGACACACCCAUCAAAUUUUAAAAUCUGAGCAGAAUAGUGUUAAAUUUUGAUUAGAGAAACUUGUGUGUCAAAUCACCAAUCACGAAAACUCUUCUUAUUCUUAAUUUGGGGUUGUGGGGUCUUCCACUUAAAAAAAUGGUCUACUUUUUCAAAAUUAAUCUUUUUUUUUUUAUUUUGCAAACAGAGGAACAAAAGAAAAACUAUGAAUACAAACUAAAAGAUCAAAUCAAUUCCGCUAUGAUAAAAUCAGAAUAAUUCGAAAAAUUUCAAAUCUAUUCCUAACGAAAUUGGAAAUCUUUAGCAAUUAAUCGAUACGCCAAAUCAAACAAAAAAAAUCGAAGCUUUUGCAUAAAGGAAUCUCACCUUAGAAGGAGGAGAAAAAAUGGAUCUGAAAAUUCAAAAAGAAGAAGAAGGAAAAGGAGGAGGAUUAUCUCUACAGCCAAAAAACUGAGAGGUUAAUGAUGGAAAAGAAUACGAACCACUCUCCUUUCUUCCUUUCAUUCUUUCUAUUUUUUCAGCUAAACCCACAAUUUCCUCUGUAUUAUAUGUAUAACAUAUACAAAUAUAUGGAGACGUGUAUGUGUGAAUUAAUCUAUGAUGUUAAGAGAGAUUGAAAUUUCUGAGAGACAAGAGGGGAAUCAAAAGGGUGGGUAGUUUUCAUAUAUUUAUACCAAGGAUCCUCACCUAAUUACGCUUUUAUUUUUAUAUUUUAUAUUUGUGUUUUUUUCCAAGUAUGAUAACGUUUUUAGGGAAAUCAAGUCUUUUUUUUGGGAAAUCAAAUCUUUUAUAUCAAAUAAUUGUUUUCCAUGUUUAUAUAAUUUUCUUAUGUGUAACAUUCAACAUUGUGAGUGUAACUGAUAUAUUUAAUGUAUAUAUAUUCUAGUUUUAUUCAGUAAAAUACUAAAAUUACAUGCUAAUUAUGACAAUAAAACUUUUGCAGUGCCAACGUAAGAAAAUUUUGUAUCAUGUACGGUGACAACAAAAUAAACUUUGAGAAAGUUAGAUAUUCCCUAUAUAUUAACCGAUGAUCAUUUAAAAAGUUUGUACUAAUUAAAAAGACUAUGCUUAGGUGUCACUUAAUUAGUAUGUCAAUUUAGCGUACAAUGCAGCUUAAAAAUCAAUUAAAAAAAUGUUGGUCCGAAUCCAAUUACUAGAAAACAUUAUAUUAACCUAAAAUAUAAGAAGCGUGUAUUUUUUCUUUAAAUAAAAGUUACAGAAUUAAAUUACCUAAUAUGAUUAAUAUAUAUAUGAUAAUUAAUGACUAUGAAUAAUAAAAAUUUAAUAACAAUUUUUGCAUUUUUCUUUAUUUUUGUUUAAUUUUAUAUUCUGAAAAAAACAAAACAAUCACAUUAACCAUAUAAGAAAAAAAAAUUAGAUUUUUUCUUAUAUGUUACAUUUUAAAAUUUUAAAAAUGACUUUAAAUUACAUAAAUGAGGAAACCUUAUAUUUUAUAUUUUAAAAUAUUUAAAACGACUUUAAAUUACAAAAUAAGGAAACCUUAUAUGUUAGAUUUUUGAGAAAUUCCUUAGGAUAACACUUUUUAAAUUUUUGCACAAAAAUAGUCUUAAUGAAGAAAAUGACCCAAAAUAAGUUUUAUUAAACAGUAAAAAUAUAGGGUUAACUAAUCUAGACUUAGACUUUAGAGUUAAGGGGUGGGGUUUUGGGGAUAGGGUUUCAAUUUUUUUAAAAUAAAAAAAUUAAAUUUUAAAUUUUCAAAAUAAAAAUGAGCUAUUUUGGCCAUUUUCUUUUUGAGGGCUAAUUUAAAACGACUUUAAAUUACAAAAAUGUAAGUUUUCCUUAAGCAUAUGACUAAAAGCAUUAAAAUGACAUGUAUUAAUUCGAUGGUUGAUCUUAAACCUUUCAAAACCAUAUGGAAUAUAAAAGUUAAAAUAAUUCAACUGUGAAAACAGUACUGUUCAAUUUUUUUCAAGAAUGUGUUCGGUGGAAAAAAUAAGGUUUUUUGUAUCAUAAUUUGUUUAAUAUCCAAUCCGAUCAAUCCAUGAUAUAAUAAUUAUAGUUUAAUUUCACAAUUUUUAAUAAAAAUUGACCCUGUCCAUCGGAAAGAAAUUAUAUAAUAACAAUAAAAAAUAUUAUAUAUGUAUAAAUAAAAUAAUCAAAUAUAUAAAUUUUUUUUUAUCAAUAAUAUAUACAAAUAAACUCACUGGGCAUGUCUUAUCCUAUCCUAGUAUCAAAAGUAUAUUUUGAUUUUUUUUUGUUUUUAAUUUUCAGAUACUAUUUUAUUGUUAUGAUAUAUUUAUUUGUCUUGUGUAAUAGUUUGCUUUGUUGUAGUUUCUCUAAGGUAUAUCUUCAUUAUCAUGUACGAAUCUAUGACACACGCAUCUACGCGUUAAACUUAUUGAAAACACGAGACUGUGAAGCUGUGCGAAUCACAGACAGUCAACUUAAUCUCUUACCCAGUCAGGUUUUGUCCGGACAUCGAUCUGUCUCUGUCCGUAGACUUCCUCCUUUCCUGAUUAGAUUUGGAAGGAGAAAUGAAGUUGCUGCCGCGGGAGAUCGAGAAGUUAGGUCUUCAUCAAGCUGGUUUCCUUGCUCAGAAGCGUCUUGCUCGUGGUAUUAGACUCAAUUACACUGAAGCUGUAGCCCUCAUUGCCACUCAGGUAUCCUCUGUUUCGACAUAGAUAGAGUCAAUAUGUAUACUAGUUAGUGCCUCAUCAUUUGAAUUGUUUUUGUUCAAAACUGGUUGUGUAGAUUCUUGAGUUUGUUCGUGAUGGUGAUAAAAGCGUGGCUGAGCUCAUGGAACUUGGCAGACAACUAUUAGGAAGGUGAUAUAGGAUGAUGAACGCUAUAUAUAAGUCAACGAUGAUUCUUUAAUCUUGAAUACACUAUUUGCAUUCUUGUUUGUAACAGGAGACAGGUUCUUCCUCCUGUCGUACAUCUUCUGUAUACAGUUCAGGUGUUUGUUUCAUUAAUUCUCAAUUUCUUUUUUUCUUAUGUUGCUUGAUUUUUGGCUUUUCUUUAGGACGUGUGUCAAGUUUGUUGUAACUUGUUAAGGUGCUUUUAGGUCGAAGGGACAUUUCAUGAUGGUACAAAGCUAAUCACCGUUCAUGAACCCAUUUCUCGUGAAGACGGGAACCUUGAACUAGCUUUACAUGGAUCUUUCCUUCCAGGUUCGUGGUUUUGAUCGUUUUCAUUCUACGGCUUAUCUUUUAAUUUUCUUGGAACACUGCUCAGAGUGAAUACUUCUUGAGGUCAUUCCAGAUUUUAAAUUAGCCUAAUAUCUCAUCCCUACAUUGUUGUAUGUGGAUUGAAUUUUUUUUCCUACACAAAAGUGUGUUCUUCUAUGCGUUAGAAGCUUAGGAGAAACCAACUUAGGUUAUCUAUUUCAUGCCAAACAGCAGUUAAUAAAUAUUGUUUAUGUGGAGAGGUUAUGAUAUGAUCAUGGAUCGGUUUCGCAGUCCCUUCACUGGAUAAAUUUCCUGAAGCUCAGGAUGAAGUGAUUCCUGGCAAUAUAACAUAUGGAGAUGGAAGUAUAAUAAUAAAUCAUGGAAGGAAAGCUAUAGUCUUGAAGGUCGUCAACACUGGGGACAGACCAGUACAGGUCUCUUCAUUUUCUACUCAACUCUCAAUUGUUUUAUAAAGAUAAAGUUCAUUUUCACUUAAUUUUUCAGUCUCUCUUUUCAGGUUGGGAGUCACUACCAUUUCAUUGAAGUGAAUCCAUUGUUGGUGUUUGACAGACGCAAAGCUCUUGGUAUGCGUCUAAACAUACCAGCUGGAACAGCUGUACGGUUUGAGGUUCGAUUUCUGAACAUAUAUCUCUUGUUUCUUGUCUAUAAGUAAGAUGAGCUUUAAGUCCUACCAUUAUUGAAAAUUUCUGUGCUUUUCGUAGCCAGGAGAAAGGAAAAGCGUUGUGCUUGUGAAUAUCGGUGGAAAUAAAGUGAUAAGAGGAGGAAAUGGAAUAGUUGACGGCCCGGUUGAUGAUGUCAAUUGGACAGUUUUGAUGGAAACCAUGGAGAGGAGAGGCUUCAGACACCUAGAAGAAGGAGAUGCUAGGUUAAGUCCUAGUUAUUUUGUUUCUUUACUUGCUAAAUUCAACUAAAAAUCAAGUUUUGAUUGGUUUCUUUUGCAGUGAGGGGAUCUCAGGGGAAGAUCCUACAUUUACUACUACACUUUCUCGUGAAAAGUAUGCAAAUAUGUAUGGUCCUACCACUGGUGACAAGCUUAGGCUGGGUGACACCAACUUAUAUGCAAGAAUAGAAAAAGAUUACACUGUUUAUGGCGAUGAAUGUGUAUUUGGAGGUGGAAAAGUUCUAAGAGAAGGCAUGGGUCAAGGAAUAGAGCAUUCUGAUGCUCUUCUUUCCUUGGAUACUGUUAUUACCAAUAGUGUGAUAAUUGAUUACUCAGGAAUAUAUAAGGCAGAUAUUGGCAUUAAAAAUGGUUAUAUCAUCGGUAUUGGGAAGGCAGGCAAUCCAGAUACCAUGCAUGGUGUGCAGAGCAAUAUGCUUAUUGGGGUAAUUUAGUUUACUAUUUAAAACAAAGUAAAUAUCACUGUGGGCUGCUUAUAAAUGUCUUGUUUAUUUCCUUAUAGGCCAAGACUGAGGUUAUUGCUGGAGAAGAGAUGAUUGUAACUGCAGGAGCUAUAGAUUGUCAUGUGCAUUUCAUAUGUCCUCAAUUGGUAUAUGAAGCAGUGUCAAGCGGUGAGCAAGAGUAUUCUCCUUGAACAUAUUAUGGUUAUCUUUAGACUCUGAUUUUGAUCACUUGCCUCCAUUUUAUAAUUAUCUUUAGGCAUCACAACUAUGGUUGGAGGAGGAACAGGGCCUGCUUAUGGUACACGUGCUACCACCUGCACCCCUUCUCCGUUCGAUAUGAAGUUGAUGCUGCAGUCCACGGAUAGUCUGCCUCUAAACUUUGGGUUUACAGGGAAGGUGUGAUAUGUUUUCCUUUUUGAUAAUUAUAUGCUUGUUAUCUGGCUAGACCUCUUACGGUUAGCAAAUGUAUCGUUGUUUAGGGAAACACAUCUAAACCCUUGGAGCUUCGUCAGAUACUGGAGGCUGGGGCAAUGGGUUUAAAGCUCCAUGAGGACUGGGGAACUACUCCUGCUGCCAUAGACAAUUGCUUAGCAGUUGCAGAAGAAUAUGAUAUACAAGUCUUAUCUUUACCUUGACAUAUUAUUUUAAGAAACUAAAUAAGGAGUUUUCAUAUAUACUCAAAUGGUUUGGAUUUGACAGGUGAACAUACAUACUGACACCUUAAACGAGUCUGGUUUUGUGGAGCACACAAUCGAUGCAUUUCGAGGGAGAACAAUACAUACAUACCACAGGUUCAUACACCUUUCAGAUGAUUGCUUCUUAAUAUUAGUUAGGAGGUGUAAUUGGCAGAUAUAACUAAAUAUGUUUAUAAUAGUAAGGUCACUGCCUAUAUUUGAAGCAACUAUUGAAGUUGUAUAUUUGUUUGUUGAAUCCUUCUGGACAGCGAAGGUGCUGGUGGUGGACAUGCACCUGAUAUCAUCAGAGUUUGUGGUGUAAAAAAUGUACUCCCCUCAUCAACCAACCCAACACGGCCAUAUACAAAAAAUACCAUAGAUGAACACCUAGACAUGUUGGUAUGAGGAUUUGAUAAGAGUAUACUACUGGUAGUGAAUUAAUUUACUUAUUUUUCUUGUUAAUAACCUCAUGUGCAAACAAACACAAGCAGAUGGUGUGCCAUCACCUUGACAAGAACAUCCCAGAAGAUGUAGCUUUUGCUGAAUCAAGGAUAAGAGCUGAAACAAUAGCAGCAGAGGACAUUUUGCAUGAUAUGGGAGCAAUCAGCAUUAUUUCCUCUGACUCACAAGCCAUGGGUCGCAUUGGAGAGGUUCAUCCCUGUAAACCAUAAAACAUACUGUGGAAUCAAUACUUGAGAUUCUAGGUUCUGAUUCAGUAGCUACUUCACUCUUUUGCUAGACUCUAUUUAGCUGAAAGCUUCCAAAUUUACUCAGUAUGGGAGACCUAUUCAGUCUCUUGUAUGCUCUUACUCUUUGCAUUAAAGAACUGUGGUAUCGUUCUCUUGUGCAGGUAAUAAGCAGAACUUGGCAGACUGCUGACAAGAUGAAGGCUCAGAGGGGAGUGAUUGGUUCUAGCACAGCUGGUGAUGAUAACGCGAGGAUAAAGAGAUACAUUGCAAAGUACACCAUAAACCCAGCUAUAGCCAACGGGUUUUCUGACUUAAUUGGCUCCGUUGAGGUAUACUAAUCUUCAGCACAGACGUCUCAUAUCUUACUAUACAUCUUUCUUUUCCUGCUGGAAGUUUUUAGUUCCAUAGGUCAAUAGAUGCCAAAUUUACUUCAUGCAUUCUGUAAAUGAGAGGGCUAUAAAAUUUGGUAACAUCAAAGCUAUGUAGCCACUUGUUUUUGCUUACUCAAAUUGAAAAAUGUGCUGCUAUGCAGGAGAAGAAGCUGGCUGAUCUGGUUUUGUGGAAGCCAGCUUUCUUCGGAGCAAAACCAGAAAUGAUUAUUAAAGGUGGAAAUAUAGCUUGGGCUAAUAUGGGCGAUGCAAAUGCUAGCAUACCCACUCCGGAGCCGGUAAUCAUUACUGACUACUAUUGUAUCAAAAUGCACCACACUUAUCUAGUGGAUUAAAAAAAAUUCAACACUCUUUGCUUUUUUAUAUUAUGACUCCAGGUCAUAUCAAGACCUAUGUUUGGUGCAUUUGGAAAGGCUGGAAGUGAAAACUCUGUUGCAUUUGUCAGCAAGGCAAGGACGCUCUUAUCAUACAAUAUAAUAUUCCUUUCUUUCUCCUCCUGAUUUUGGAUUCAGUUAGUUUCUUUAUUUUAACAAACACAGGCUGCCUUGAGAAACGGGGUAAAAGAAGUAUAUGGACUGAAGAAGAGGGUUGUAGCCGUAUCCAACGUGAGGCAGCUCACAAAACUCGACAUGAAGCUGAAUGAUGCGCUUCCAAACAUCACCGUGGACCCAGAGACAUACGUUGUCACGGCAGAUGGUGAGGUACUUUCGUGUGCGCCAGCCAGUUCAGUCCCUCUCUCCCGGAACUAUUUCCUCUUUUAAGGUUGUAAUUUGCUUUGUGGGGUCAUAGGCACUGCUAACUAAAGCACUAUAGCAAGCAUACGCAUAGGUGCUGGAUUUGUAAUAAUAAUAGCUACUCUGAAGAAUUUUUUUCCUAAAAAAAGCUGCGAGAAGCAAAUAUAAAUUGGUGAGCAAUUUUUAGAUUGGAUUGAAACAACUUUUUUUUAUAAGAAAGAGAUCAAUGCAAUUUGACUCUGUUUAGUUUCUGUUCUUAUUAUGCUUCGUUUUGAUUUAAGUAAACUCAUGUAUGUUUCCAUGGAGUGUUUUGAGUUUGGAUCAGCAGUUACGGAUCUGGUGUGUCUCUCCAUCGUCGAUGACCCGUGAACAAAGGUAUCAAUCAUACAUUAACACCAAAGGGUCCCUCGUGGCUUCGACUCCUACUGGAAAAAAAGAGAGCUGGGACUACGGUUUAUGUGGCUUGGAAGUUCGUCUCAAUUAAUCUAGGAAUCAUGUUCUGAUUCAAAUUAAAAAUAGCCUUAAAAAGAAGAUUUUACUAAUUCAAAAUAGGAAGAAUUUUACCGACCUGAACUUAUGUAAAUAAAGGAUUAUAUAUCGGUAAUAAAAAAGCAUAUCCUACCAAUAUGAAAGAAGAUAAAUAUCUAACGAGCCACUCAGCAACGGGAUUAUCAUAUCAUUUGUGCUUUCAGUAGCUUUGCCACGCUAUUGGCAUGUGGAAUCAGUCAAAAAGGUUCCAUAUGAAUUGUGGUGAUAGAUAUGAUCAAGGAUUCGUAUUGUUAGAUGAGAGUCGUGUCUCUUUCUUUUCUUUUCUUUUUUAUAAUGGCAUGGAUCCAUUAGUGGACUUCCCUGGUUCUUGUGUGGCUUUGUGGGGGUAAUAGCACUACAUCAUUACAGCAGAGAAAACUGAUAUGGUUAAUUUUACCAAAAAAAAAAAGAAAAACUGAUAUGGUUAUCGUCUUCUCCUAUUAAAUGGUGGUUGUCAAAUGUCAACCAUUACAGAGUACAAGAUCGUAGCUGGAAACUACGUGAAGGCAGGCUUGGGUAAUCAUAAGAUUGAUAUGUAUCUUUUAUUUAUUAACUAAACAGUCGCCGAUCAGAAUUUUUUCCACGAGUAACAUAUUAAAAAAAAAAAAAAACAUAUAAUAUGUCUGAAAUCUAUUUUCUGUUUUCUUCAUUUCCCUUUUAUUUUAUUGCAGGAAAGCAAUGGUUUCGUUGGCAUAACAUGAGUUCAAAGUUAUAUAAAAUCCAUCUCCAAGUCAUGGUCUUCGUACAUAUACACGGUUCAGUCACAAUUUGACCUGUUCACACGGUUCCACUAAUUAAUUCAGAUUUCAGACUAGGUGUAAUUAUUGGGUAUUUAACAUUACUAUUAUUUAUAAUCCGCGAACGUUUAAUUUUACAAUAAGCCUAUCACCAUAGAUGAUGCCGAUUAAAAAACAUUAAUAUUUUUAAAACCGGACCGAUCUGAUGAUUAGACAAUGUUCGAUGAUGAACCGAUCAUCUAAUCAAGUUAGAUCUAAUAACUGGUUCAAUCAUGAAUUUAUAUAGUAUAUAGUUUAAUUUUAUAAAUUCCAAUACUUAUUCCUAAAAUUUCAGAAUUAAAAUAUUUUUAUAUUUUAUAUGGCAUAACGUUUGAUUUAAAUAUUUUUAUAGUAUAUAGUUUAAUUUUAUAAAUUCCAAUACUUAUUCCUAAAAUUUCAGAAUUAAAAUAUUUUUAUAUUUUAUAUGGUAUAACAUUUGAUUUAAAUGAUAUUAACAAUAUAUAUUUUUUAUUUGAAUAUCUAUUGUUGAGACAUUUUACUCAUAUGGUUUUAUGAUCAUUUGUAUUUUGUUAUAAAGACAAAAAAAUCAUUGAUUACAAAAUUUUAAAUACGACACUUUUACAAGUUUUAGUAACUUAUAAUUGUUUAAAAAAAUUAAUACAUAACAUAUACAAUAAUCUAUUGUUUUACUAUAUGGUUAAUGGUUGUUUAAUUAUUUUAAUAAUAUAAUUUAAAAAUGAUAGAAAAUACACAAAUUGUUAUUAAAUAUUAUUCAAAUCAUUAACUGUUAUAUAUCUAUACUAUUAUUUUCGAAGUAAUUUUUUGCAUUCGAGCUCUCAAAUUAAAACUUAGAGUGGUUAAUAUCGUCUACACUCUUAAGGAAUAAAACAUCUACACUAUUAUUUGCGAAAUAGUUUUUCGCAUUCGAGCUCUCACGUUAAAAAAUAGAGUGGUUAAUAUAGUCUAUACCCUUAAGGAAUAAAACAUGUAAAUAUAUACUAUUAUUUGAGAAGUAUUUUUUUCGCAUUCGAGUUCUCACGUUAUAAGUUAAGUGGUUAAUAUCUUCUAUAUCCUUAAAAAAUAAAACUAUAAAUUAGACAAAAAAUAAAAGUGAAUUUAAAAUUUAUUUGAUUAGUUAAGUGAUUAAAAUUAAUAAUAAUAAAAAUUAUUCAAAAUCUAAAAAAUACAUUUAAAAAUAAAAAGAUAAUUCCUAUAUAUGUUGUAUUGUAUCCAAAAAAAAAUUUAAUAAAAAGGAAAAAAAUUAAGAUUUAUUUAUUAAUAACGAAUAUAGUGUAAAAAGAAAAUUUCUAAACAUAUAAUAUGUAAGAAUUUUAAAAUGAAAAAUAAAUAAUAAUUUAACAUUAUAAUAUUUUAAUUAAUAAAUUAUGUAUUAAUAAGUAAUUAUAAAAUAUUUAUGUUCGCAUGUGCGGAUGAAACACCUAGCUUUAAUUAUAUUUUCGUAGAUUUUUUUAAUUAUAAUUUCGUAAAUUAUUUAUUCAUUUUAUAGUUAAUUUAAUAAAUAUACUAUAUAUUUAAAUAUAAUAAUAUAUUUCUCUAAAAAUUUUAAAAAUCAUUAUAAUGAUUACAUAUAACAUAGCUCACCUAUUGUGCUCACGUAUUGUAAUGUUUCUUACUAGAAAUAAAAACAUUAGAAAAGAAAGAAAAAGGAGAGACAAAGUCAAUUAUUUAUGGGAUCCGAUUAUUUAUUGCUAUAUCAUCGUCUUCCCGAAGCAUCCACCAGUUAGAUUAAAAGAAAAAUCUACCAAUUGAUUGAAAAGUAUUAUCGAGAGAUUUGAGGAUCGGCCAAGGAAAUCGCCACAAUUUUAAUAAUUUGAUUAGUUUUGAUGAUCAGAAUCAGAAGAGCAUGUGCUUAAUCAUAUCUAAAACAUUUAAAAUCUAAGUAACCUACAGCUUAACAAAGAGACAAAAAUAACUAAUACAAUCAUCGUCGUUCUUUUUCAAAAAAAAAAAAAAACAAAGAGACAAAAAUAACUAACCUUAUAGACAGUCGAUGCCCAAAAAUAACUAAUACAAUCUGUUUUAUUUGUGACAGAAAAGUUACGGCCAUUCAAUUAAGAAAAUGUAAGUAACCUACAGCUUAACAGGAUAUGUAUUUUACAGAUCAAAAUUAAAAACACAUGUAAAAAUAGGAGAGGAUUAAAUAGAAAACUUGAAAGAAAAAAAUUCAUUAUAUUCUAACAUAUUGUUGUGUGUUUAAAAACUUUUUUACAUUACGAAUAUUAACAUUAUAACUGUUAAUAUUUACAUUACAUAAAUAUUCUAAUAUCAAACACAAUUCAGAAUAUUCCUAAUAUUUAUCAUUUCUACAUAAAGUCACAAAUAUUUGUCCUGUUUUUUAUUGCGUGGACAAAUGAGUAUUUGGAAGGGAAAAAAAUUAGUAUUUGGAUUUUGGAAGAUCACGUAAACUUCCAAUUCCGCUUAUACCAUUAAGUACACGUGGCUCUCUAUUUGUGGAACAUGCAUCUCACGCGCUCUUACAGGCGUGACAGGGAUACAUCCACUAACGGUGAAAAUGAAAUGUCAACACUCACUCACUUACGGUCAAACAAAUUCCCUGUCUGCAUAUAUUUCAGUUUCUCUAGUCUGAAAAUUAACCAAAACGCAAACGUUUAACACGUCUCACGUUCCUCUAGCACGAGGUCCAUGAGCAAUCGCUCACGUCGGCUUAUUUAUCACAUCUCUCUCUCUCAAUCCAAACACAAGAGAGAACAAAAAUAAAAUAAAAAUGUUUGUAGCAUCUCCGGUGAAAACAAACUCCUACGGUGCCGGCCUGGUGAGAUUUCCGGCGUUUCCCGUACUUCCACGGCGGCGACAACACAUAGUUCCACUUUCCAGAAAAGUCCGAGCUGUGAUAAGCCGGGAAGAAAAGACGGUGGAUCAAGAAGAUGGAAAAAAUACAAACGGUUCACUAGUAAGUAACACACCCGCGUUUCCAUGGCAGAGAUCUAAGUAUACGGGAACAAAAACGGUCAUUGCGGUUGUGAAGAUCAGGAAGAAGAUGAGAGAGAAGCUAACUGAGAGGGUUGAGCAUCAACUAGAGCUUUUAAUGAAAGCCAUAGGUCAAGGGAUGUUGAUUCAGCUUGUUAGUGAAGAAAUCGAUCCUGGUUCGUUUUUUCUUAACUUCUUUUAUUUCUCUUUUACCAAAUUUGCAUUUUUGAUUUGCCUUUUUGCAUAUAAAUCAGUUUAUUACUUUUUGGGCUAGAGAACAAAACGCCAAGUACUUAUUAGAUUUAUUUAGUUACAGUUUACCAGUUUGUUCGUUUCUUAUACAUCUUGAUUUUCUGUCUUUUUUGGAUUUAUCCUAGACUUAGCUUAAGAUUGUUGGAAAAAAGAAAAAAAAGCUUCCGAUUGUUUUCUAGCACUUUUUUGGUCGCGGUUUUGGUGCUAAACUCAAGAAGACAGCUACUCUGCAUAGUUAAUGAUAUUUCAGUGAACUUAGUGGAUGUUAAUUAAGAACCCAUCAGCCAAUAAGUUCUUAUUCUCUUCCUAUUUCGCUGUCACGGCCGUUCUGCCAGAACUAGUUGGCGGUGGUCAAAUCUAAUGAUAAUCUAUAUUGCAAAACCGAAUCUUUCAUCCUCCUGGCUGGAUCUGACAUUUUUAUAUAUUAUUUUCUUAGAUUUUCUUUCUGAAUUAUUGUGCCAGAUCGUCGAAGUUAUCAAUCCGAUUUUUCCACUCUGUAUUAAAUAGUAAACAAUAUGUUUUUACUUUAUAAUAGUAUAAUUUAGUAACAGGUUUAGUAUAAUAAAUUAGUGAGAGUCUUGAAUAAUGUGGAAAAGAGAUUUGACUUUUCAUGCCUUCCUUUUUGUUAUUAUGGGGGUUUUAAGCACAUGUCUCAUUUUAUUUUAAGAUUAACACCUUCUGUGGAAGGAUCUAAGAAAGUUUUUCAACAUAUAUUUAAAUAAUUAAUAAUAUAUAAUUGGAUGACCGACUUAAACACGAAAAUUUCAUCAUAGUCUUUCGUAGUAUUGCGAAUAAAUAGAAAACGACUUAUUUCCACACCAAAAAUAUCGUAUAGCAACAAUUCCACAUAAUCUUUCAUGUUCAUCCUAAUUGCACACAUUUUAAGCAUACAGACCUAUUUACUUCCAUUUUCAAAGAUCAAAACCGAAACCGACGAAAGUUUACCUUGGUUUUAAUGAUUUAGAAUAAACCGAUAUUAAACCAGUUGGUAUUGAACUGAAAAUAACACCGACCCAACAUGAUAUCUAUACAGUACCCGACCUAACUCUUUAGUAGGAUGUUGGAUUGGGUUCUAUUUGGAUAUCAGAUUGUUUCGGGUUUUAAUUUCAGUUCGAUACCAACUGGUUUGAUAUCGGUUUAAUUAGUUUCACAUUUGUUUAGGUUCUAAACCAUUAAAUUAAGCUAAACCUUUGUCUUUGUGGCUUCGGAAUUUUAAACUUUUAAAAUGGAAGUAAAUGGGUUAUGUGUUCAAUUAAGACGAUCGUAAAAAAUUGUGUGGAGUUGUUGCUAUAUGAUAUAUAUAGUGUGGAAAUAUGUCUUUUAUCCAAAACUAUUAAGAUGGGAUUUUCAUGUUUUAAAAUACCAACUCAAUGUUAUAUAUUAAUUUAAUAUAUGUUGAGAUAUUCUAAUAGAUCCCUAUUGAAAUUAUUCUUAUAACCUUAGCAUUAGUGAGGUUUCUUCCGUUUAAAAUAGUGAUUAGAGUAAAUGCAGAGUAAAUGAAUUUGAUCUGAUUGGCAAUUUUUAAGCGUAAAUGAGAGUAAUAAGUAGGGGUUAUUAGUUGUAUUUUAAUGGAUUUGAAAAUCCGAACUAAAUCUAGUGUUAUUGGUUCUGUAAUUUUCAAAUCUGUAUUAAAUCAGGUGUUAUUGGUUUAAUGAUUUAUAAAUUUUAUAUCAAAUCAAGUGUUAUUCAAUCGUACAAAUUUACUAAUAUAUUUGAUUGUAUAAUGGAUUUGAAUGGAUUUGUUUGGAUUUUUUAGUUAAAAAUACAAAGACUCAAAUUCGAGAAAAAACCUCCGGAUUUGCAUAUUUUACUUGGAUUUAUAAAUAUUAUAUAGAUUUCUAAAUCAAUCAAAAUAUAUAAACCAAUAACAAUGUCUCAGCUAUAUUAGUUGUGCCAGGAAUGCUUUUCAAUCACACCCUCUAUGUAUCGUAUGAAAACGGAGUUCUUAACAGUAAUAAAAAAAAAAAUUAAUGAAGUGUUUAUAUUGAUCCAUCCUUAUUUUUUUAGAAAUUACUAUAUGGAUAUUUCAAGUUUUAAAACUCCCAUUAUUAUUUAUUUAAUUUUUAACCGGAGCCUUCAGCUCUUGCGGUAAAGGGUUCACAACUAUGAGUAUCGCUAGCUAAGUAUCCCCACUUGGGUUCGAGUCCGGCCAUCCGGGACGUUUUAAAUGGUAAAAACUGUGGAUUCUACUGGUUUCGUGGUGAUUAAUCUUUGGACCUAAAAAGCUUUCGAGAUCACACCACUGUUAUAAAAAAAAUCAAAAAAUAAUUAUUUAGUUUUUAUUUAUUUUUUUAAAACUCUUCUCUUACUAUUGAUGGAGUACUCUUAGACCAUGAUUAACUCCAGUUUCUUAACUGGAGUUUUUAGUUUCGGAUAAAAGACGGGUUUUAGCUUUUCUUAGAUUUUAACUGAGAAAAGCUAAAAACCGUCUCUUAAAUGAGAGAUAUAAGAGCCGUCUCUUAGCCGAAAAAGUGUUAAAAAAAUCAAAUCCUAAGUUAAGCUGGGGUUAAUCAUGUCCUUAAACGUUUACCAACACACUUUUUCUAUUCGUUAAUGGUGUUUUUUCUAUUCGUUAAUGGUGACAUAAUGUUUGUUAUUGUAUAUUACAGAAACUGGUUCAGGUCGAAAGAGUUCAGAAACUCCGGUGCUUGGACUCCCCAAGGCUCGCAACGAUUCCAGGUACCUGGAAUUCACAGCCAACUUCACUGUCCCGACCGACUUUGGUAAACCAGGUGCCAUUCUUGUCACCAACCUCCUUUCCUCGGAGAUUUGCUUGUCGGAGAUCAUCAUCCGUGAGGGCAGUGACACCAUUCUCUUCCCUGGAAACACUUGGAUCCACUCCAGGAACGAUAACCCUGAAGGCAGGAUUAUCUUUGCAAGUCAAGUGAGAAUACUUCUUCUUCAUCGUCUUACUUUCUUAUAACUUUUGUUUAUUUUUUAUUUUUGUUCUCACACUUAUUCAUCAUCAUGUUGCUUCAUUAGACAUGGUUACCUUCCAAGACUCCAGCGGGGAUCAAAGAGCUACGAGAAAAGGACUUGACGAGUGUCCGUGGUAACGGAGAAGGCGAGAGAAAGCCUCAUGAGAGGAUCUAUGAUUACGAUAUCUACAACGACAUAGGCGAUCCUCGUAAAAAAGAUCGAGUUAGACCUAUUCUUGGUGUCCCAGAGAGGCCCUAUCCAAGACGUUGCAGGUCUGGCCGGCCUCUCCUUUCAGCAGGUGAUCAAUCUCUUUCUCUCUCACUCACUUUACAUAGUAGUAGUACAAAGACAUUGUUUUGGUCUUCUGACUUGGUGAAUUCAUUCAGACACACCGUUUGAGAGCAGAGGAAAGGACAAGGAUGAGUUUUAUGUUCCGAGAGACGAAGUUUUUGAGGAUAUCAAGAGAGAUACGUUUAGAGCUGGGAGAUUCAAGGCUCUCUUUCACAACCUCGUCCCAUCUAUAGCAGCUGCAUUGUCAAACCUAGACAUUCCUUUUACAUGCUUCUCGGAUAUAGACAGGUUAUACAAAUCUGAUAUUGUCUUGAGACACACCGAACCAAAAAACAAAGGCCUUGGCGGUUUCAUUGAUGGGAUCCUCAACGUUGGUGAAACACUACUAAGAUAUGACACUCCUGCCGUUAUAAAAUGUAACCUUUUUCAUUCUUGAAUUAGUACCAUCAUUCUUGAAGUAGGUAUAUAUCAUGAAUUUUUAUGGUUUGUUUGUUCAGGGGACAGAUUUGCGUGGCUGAGGGACAAUGAGUUUGGACGUCAAGCUCUUGCUGGUGUCAACCCUGUUAACAUAGAGCUUCUGAAGGUAUGUUUAAUUUACCAUUUGUUUUCAACAAAAUGAAACUAUAUCCUAGGAAGCAAUCCAAGGUGGAAACUCCGUAUCUAUGUGGACAACGUAUUUAGUCUGAACUCUUUUUCUUCGUGCCAGCUUGCCUGCUAGGCCGGUCUUGGACAUAGACUAGUCAAGUAUUGGUCUACUGCCCCUAAAAAUGUUUCAAAAAAAAUUCACAGAAAUAGGCUUCCAAAUUUAUUUAAAAAAUCUUUUAUUAAAAUAGUUACUAAAUUGUUAUAGCUCCCAAAAUCUCAGGGCAUGCCUGGUUGCUACUGAAUUUGUGUAUCAUGGAUUUUACCAUUUCUAUAUCAAAAAUAUUCUGUGAGAGUUUCUGAAACUUGUUGUAUGUAUUGACAGGAGCUGCCAAUAAGAAGCAAGCUUGACCCGGCUAUAUAUGGAUCUCCAGAAUCUGCUCUCACAGAAGAACUGAUUGGUCAUGAAGUUUUACACUAUGGAAUGACUUUGGAACAGGUUUAGUGCUGUUACAACAAUUGUUUUAUAGAAUCCUCUCAUCUAUUUGAUCCUAAGACUAAAAGUCUUAGUUUAUGUUUGGAUGGUAGGCGUUUGAGGAGAAGAGAUUGUUUCUCUUGGAUUACCAUGACAUGCUCCUGCCAUUUGUAGACAAGAUAAACUCCAUCAAAGAGGAUCCAAGAAAGACAUAUGCUUCUAGAACAAUUUUCUUCUACUCAAAGGCAGGUGCCCUGAGGCCUUUGGCCAUAGAGCUCUCCUUGCCUCCCACGCCAGAGAACGAGAACAAGUUUGUUUAUGCUCACGGACAUGACGCUACUACUCACUGGAUUUGGAAGCUAGCCAAAGCUCAUGUCUGCUCAAAUGAUGCUGGUGUUCACCAGCUAGUUAACCACUGGUAACUUAAGUUACUUGAACUUUGUCUCCAGCUUUGUUAGUAGUUUCCAUUGAUUUGUAUUGAAGAGACAUAUAAUUUGGAAACUAAACUCUCAGGCUAAGGACUCACGCUUGCAUGGAGCCGUACAUCAUUGCUACUAACAGACAAUUGAGUUCGAUGCAUCCAGUUUACAAGCUGCUUCAUCCUCACAUGCGCUACACGCUAGAAAUCAAUGCGCGUGCACGUAAAAGCUUAAUCAACGGAGGAGGGAUUAUAGAAAGUUGCUUCACUCCUGGAAAAUACGCAAUGGAACUAAGCUCUGCGGCAUACAAAAGUAUGUGGCGGUUUGACAUGGAAGGACUUCCUGCUGAUCUUGUCCGAAGGUUAAUAAAACAAACACACAAACACUCUUUUGUUUGGUCAUACUGUCUCUUUCUCUAAUAAUUCUAUAUGUCCUCGUAUUAUACAGGGGAAUGGCAGAGGAGGAUUCUUCAGCGGAGUGUGGUGUGAAGCUUGUGAUCGAAGACUAUCCGUAUGCAGCAGAUGGUCUUUUGAUCUGGAAAGCCAUCAAGAACCUAGUUGAAUCAUAUGUGAAACACUUCUACUCUGAUCCUGACUCCAUAACAUCUGACUUUGAGCUCCAAGCUUGGUGGGACGAGAUCAAGAACAAAGGUCACUACGACAAGAAAGACGAGCCUUGGUGGCCUAAACUCAACACAACGCAAGACUUGUCCGAAAUCCUAACCAACAUGAUAUGGAUCGCGUCGGGACAACACGCAGCCCUUAACUUCGGGCAGUACCCGUUCGGAGGGUAUGUCCCGAACCGUCCUACGCUGUUGAGGAAACUUAUACCACACGAAAACGAUCCAGACUACGAAAUGUUCAUGAGAAAUCCUCAGUACAGCUUCCUGAGCUCGUUACCGACACAGCUCCAAGCAACAAAAGUGAUGGCGGUACAAGAGACGCUCUCGACGCAUUCUGCUGAUGAAGAGUACUUGAUCGACCUGAAAGAAAACCAGAGACGUUGGUUUCAAGAUGAGGAAGUGGUUAAGUAUUUUAGCAAGUUCACGGAGGAGCUUGAGGAGAUAGAGAAGAAGAUCGAUAAUAGGAACAAAGAUAAGAAGCUGAAGAACAGAACAGGUGCUGGGAUGCCUCCUUAUGAACUACUUAUACCUACUUCACCACAUGGAGUCACUGGCCGUGGUAUUCCUAACAGCAUUUCCAUCUAGAUGUGAUUAUCAUGUCGUGAAAAUAUAAUAAAAAUUGUCUAAAAUUUUAUUAUUACAUUUUUAUUAGAUAAGAUAAAAUUUUUAUUAUAUUUUCUUGUUUUUACAUUUUUAAUCUUUUAGUAAUUUUAUUACAGGUACAUCUUUAGAUAAUUUUUAUUAUAUUUUAUGGGUUCUUAAAUUUUUAAUUUAUACAUAUAUAAUGUUGAUGUUAAAAACACAUCAAACUCAUAUAUUUAGAAAAUAAAUUUAAAAAUGCUAAUUUUGAAAAUUAUGUUACUAAUUUUUAGAUAAUAUUAUAAAAUUUUGAUUUUUUAGAUUUUUAAUGGUAAAACCCUUCAACUAUGUUUACUUAAUAUAGAAACUCAUAAACUAAAGAUUUACCAGUAGUAAUAUUAAUUAUGACAUGCUAUAGUUUAAUUCAUUAAAUAAAGUUUGUUUGGAGUUUUUCGUUAAAUAUUUUUAGUUUGAGAGUUUUUAUCCAAAAAAAUCUUAGUUGAGGGAUUUUAACGUCAAAAAUCCUAAUAUAAUUAGCCAAUGUUUAAAAAACACAUAGCAGAAUUUUUUUUAUGUAUAGAGUUUGCUUGAUUGUUGAUUAUCUUGAUGACUUGGAUGAAAUUUGUUGAUGAAGUCUGCUGAUAAAAUCUACAAAUGAAAUCUGUUGAUGAAGUACGUUAAUGAUGUAUGCUAAUAAAAUAUGAUAUUUCGGGUUCAUUCUAAAAUUGUAAAGAUCUUUAAAAUCUAAAAACACUAAAUUAAACUAAAUAUGAAUUUUUUUUUUGAUACUAGAUUUUAUAAGAUGAAAUUAAUUAAGUUGUACAAACAAUAUUUUCAGAUUUACAAAAAAAAAAAAGUAAACGUUAAUAAACUGUAAAAAAAAUAUAAAUAAAUAUCUGAUGAAAAAUAAAUUUUACAUGUGCAAGAAGUCUGCUAAUGAAGUUUGUUGUGCAAGGUUCAUACCUGAAAAUUUUGUAAUGUAGAACUGCGUAUAAUUUAAAAUAUAUUUUUAUACAAUACCAGAAAAAUUAAUGUUCUAAAAAUCGGUAUAGAUGUCCAUCUAGACGGUAAAUCGCUCAUAACCGAGAAUAUUUUUUAUAUCUAAUUUUAUGUUAUUCAAAUCGGUUUAAGCAUUCUAAAUUGGUUAAAUCUAUGAAAAUCAGUGUAACUCGAUUUAAGUUGGUAUAACAGUAUUAAAUCAAACAAUAAUGUUCCAUGUUCUUUGUCAAUUAAGAUAUCUUCCAUGUUCUUUGUCAAUUAAUAUAAGUAUUCAAAAGAAGUAGGGUGGACAAAUAAACCGAACCAAAUUAAAUCGAACUGAAUUAAUCAAACUCAAACCGACCCAAACCAAAUCAACGUAUAUAUCUCGAUCAUUGGAUUAAAAGUUUUUAUUAGCGGAACAGUUCGGUUUGGUUUGCUUUAAAACCGAACUGGGCUGAAAACCCAAAAUAUUUAUUUAAUUACAUUAACUAAAUAUACUAGUAACAUUAAGAUUUAAGAUAGUUAAAUCAUUCAACAUAAACGACUAAACAUAUUUUUAUAUAUUUUACUUAUUCAAAAAGAAAAAAAAACAGAAACAACAAUGAGAAAACAUGACUUUUCUACACUUAUUAAAACCAAAAAAAAAGCUCAAUAUAAUCAUUGUACUAGGUUUGGAGAUAAUGUUUUAAAACUGUUGGAUUGUAUCUUCUAUAUUUUCUGUGACAUUUGUUUUUAAAAUUAAAAAUAAAGAAGUUAACAAUUUAUUGAUCAAAUAAUGAUUUGUUUUAUGUUUUAUAAAUUAUUUUUUAACCGGAGAGAACCAAAUUAAAAACUAAUCCGAUUGAUAUGAACCGUACAAAAACCAAACCAAACUCAAACCAAAUCGAAUACAAACCAGAACAAGCCAAACUAAUUUUGGUUGACUGAAGUUAAAGUUUUCUUAGAACUUAAAUAACCAAAAUGAACCGAAACCAAACCAAACCCACCCGAAUUUCAACAGCAGACCACGUUUACAAACUAAACGGAUUGCAAAGAAAAACAAUAAAAAAAAAAGGUUCAGAGUAGGGCAAAACAUCACUAACGUAUUCACCAUCUUUGACAAGGUACACGAUACAUCGCAUAUGGUUUUUUGAAGUUGUUCCUCUUCCGAUGCAGCUUUACAUAGCUUCUAUACCAGUACCACUGACUGACUAAGAAGAAUCACUGUCUUCUUCAUCACUCUCUGUUGUGAACACAAUAAGAGAAAUGAGGGCAAAAACUUAAUGCACAGAUUAGAAAAGCAAAACCAAACUAUGACUUACCAUCCAUAUCCUUGAGCAUAUUCGAGAGAUCACUAAUUUGUUCCUCUUCUGUUGCUGCCUCACGUUCAACCUGUAUGACAUUACUCAAAAAAAAAUCAAUGGACACUAUAAAAAAUGAGUAUAUAGUACUACAAAUUCAGCAUUUACCAUGGACAUAAUACAGUUGGUGUGAAACACAUCCUUACAGUCAUCACAUGUGUAUUGAUACUUAUGACCAGAGAACUUGGUGUCUAAUCCGCAGAUAGAACAAAUUUUCGGGGCAUAAAUUUUCUUGAGGUUAACAAUAUGCUGAUGGCGUUGGUUCUUAACAUAGGUUGGAAACCCAAUACAUUCUUCAUGGGCGCACACGUUACAAAUAUCACAGGCGUAGAAGGACGCACCACAUGGUUUAUUGCAAAUAGUGCAAGGGCGGGAGGAGUCAUCGCUCAAAAAGUUGUAGAGACAGUGCUUGUGGGUCUUGAUCCUUGUUGAUAUACCCACUGCUUGGAUGCAUUUAAAAUGGAAGCUGAGAGAGCAAGUGGAACAAAAGAAAACAUACUUUGAAAUAUCAAUAUCGGGUUUGCAGGCAGUGCAUUUGGAUCCAGUUUUCCGUUUGAUCAUAUAUAAAAUGUGAUUAUAAUGAAGUGGAUGAUUUUCUAGUGCCCGGUAUCGCCUCCAAAGUUCAAUACACUGAGAAUGAUAAAUCUCUUCACAGUCAGGACAUGACACUAUGUUUCCAUUGCACAGCCUGUCAUCACAAAGAGUACAAGCCACCAUAUAUGAUCUUGAGACCAUAACUUGAACCAAGUCAUGUCCUCCUUUCAAGCAAAAUUUUCCUUCUUCGUAUCUAAUGAACUUUUGCCCCCUUUGUAAUUCUCCAAGACGCAUUUUAACGCUUACCGCGCAUUUGGUACAAAUGAUGAAAUCACAUAUGCGGCAGAAUAGAUUGAAAUAAUCUAUCUUUUCUUUGCAGGUGUCACAUCUCAUAUUAGUAGCCCCUGCAGGAUAACUUGGUAGAAGUGUCAAAGGAUGAUUCAAAUGGAAUCUAUACCUCGACUGUUGACUUAGCUUUAUGCAGUUAUCAUGUGCCUCGAAACGACAUGUCUCGCAUUUCCAUAAUCUUCCAUGUAUAUACCUAUAACAGAUCCAGCAUCCUUUCUGAGACGCCGUAACAUAGCGAGACCUCAGCACAUGAUUAUGCGUAACAUCAAUAACCUACAAACAUUUACCCUAAGAAAAAUUAUUAGCCUCAACAAUGCUGGGAGUCCGUAGUAAUAUAAAUGUCAUACGUACGUACCACGAGUUUGUUUUCUAAUUCCUUAGUUUCACAUUUAUCAUCGUGAUCAGCUGGCCUUGUAAGUUUUUCACCAAGAUGAGAAUACAGAUCUUUCAAGUACAACGGGGAAGGCAUUUCCUGUGAUUCAUAAAGUAGUUAAUCAUCAUCCUUACCAUCAAUCACUAAAAGAAAAGAAAAAAAAGAUAUAUAUAUAUAUAUACCUCAUGUAGAAUGCACUCAAUGUGACUUAAAAAACCACAUUCUUCGCAGCAAUAGGCAUGAUGUCCUGCGUGUACCAUUGUCUCACAAACGUCACAAUACUCCAAAGAGUCGUCUUCGGAUAAGAAUAUUUUACAAACAAGUGGAUGAAUGUGAUAAGAUUUGUUGACAACGGACUCGGGUAUCUCAAGACACUUGAAAUGAGACCUCCAACCACACUCCACGCAAUGAUACAAGUAGUCCCCAUAGGACCCAUCAUCGUCUCUCAUGCACACUCGACAUCCGUUUUUAAAUCUUAGUUUAGCAUUAUUAGCUAGAUAAAACAACUUGUGCUGGUGAGACUUGUGCACCAAACCUCGCAACAAGGAAUCUGCACACCUCAAGUGAAGAUAAAAACUGCAUUCUAGGCAACUAAGCGGGGCGCCUUCGACAUGGAGCCCGCACGCAUCACAGACUUUUCCACCACCACAAGUAUGUGUGAAAUCAAGGCGUGUGAGAGGGUGCGCCUGAUGCACUGGAUGUUGAAUCUCUCGAGGAAGGUCAAGGCAUCGCUCGUGAGCAAACAAGUAACAUUGAGAACAACCGUAGGAUACAGCAGAAGGAGUGAGAGGAAGCUCACACAUCAAGCAGGAGCCUCUAGCGUCUGGUCCUGGUUUACACCUCCUAAGAAAGUGCGCAUGACUGUAAUGGAGCUUUUCUUCCGCGUACCAACUCGUCUUGGUGUUGUUCAGGAUGGCGCAACCAAGAUCCAAGAAGAUCUCACAGUCUUUACACUUGUAAUAAAGGGACUGAUCAGAAAACAAAUCCCCACACCCGGAGCAGAGCUUGUAUCUCUCGUUCCCGUCUUUCUUGCCUAGACAAAACUCGAGAGGGUGGUCCGGAUGAAAAUCAUGUGACACCUUGAGUGGUAGUUUCGAGCAAGCUCUGCAGAGGUCGAAGUUACAAAGAUCACAUGCGAAUUCUAUAGGUUCGUCCUUGAAGCAGAUGUUGCAGAUGCCGUUGUCUAUGAUCUCCGGCGAGGUCAGCAGACAUUCAUGGGCGCCGUGCUUGAGCUUUACCAUCGCAGAAACCGAUUCAGAUUGACUAAUUUAGCUGUAGAGAUUCAGAGAGACCAUCAUAAAUUUAAAAGCACAUUCACAUUCCUUCUUUUUAAAUACCAGACAAGAAUAAUCUUUAUGGUUUCUCUCUACUGUUUCAGUCUUAUUUUACCAUUCAUACUCUGCUUUUCAGAACGACACUGACCGGGUCUGCCACAAACUCAAACUUUUCCAUUUUUUAUUUGUUUUGUAUUAUCAUUCUAUCUCUUUUUGUUUGAUUUUGAUUUUUUUUGAUUAAUUAAAGCUUGCAAUUCAAUCCUAUAUCUUAACUAUGAAAUAUACUUAAAGCUGAUAUGCUUAACUACAAGUUUACCCUUAAUUAAUUAUGAAAUUGUUUAAUUAAUUUUUUUAUUUAUUACUUAAAAAAGACAAAAGCAAUCAAAGACAUCCGGCACCAGGCUAUUAGCAAUACAAGUAAUGGGCGUGGAUGGUAUACACUUGACUUGACUUUAUGGAAGAAAAUGUUACACAAGUUAGAAAAUAAGUAUGAGACAACAGACGGGGAGGCAAAACAGCAUCAUCUGACAUGACCAGUGGAGAAGCUACAUGCACUAAAAGAGGGGUAACUACCCACCAUAACUUUUUAACUUUUGGUGACAAGAAAUCAUGCAUGCUUCUCCCAAACCAGAAGCAUUGAAACAUAUACGUCACGGUGUUUAAAACGCAACUAACUGUUAUUCACCUUUAGUCACAAUAUACUCCAGAACAGUUCCCAGGGCAAGUUCUGAAGUAUAUUGUGACUAAAGGUGAAUAACAGUCAGGCCCGUCUCAGUUGUAGGUGAGGUCCUGUGCUGAAAAAAAAAAUUUAGGACCUUUUUAAGAAGAAGAAAAAAAAUCUGGGUUCUUUUUCUUUAAGAAAAAAAAAUAAUUUAAAACAUUUUCAAGCUUUGUUCUGGGCUAAAAAAUUUCAAAAUUGUAAUGGUCCAUGUGCAAAUGUGCUCCCAGCACAUGCACAGGGCCGGGCCUGAUAACAGUUAGUUGAAAAUUACAAUUCAUUGCAAGAAGACACACGUCAGUGUCGGAAGGAUACAUCUUCAUACGAAAUGUAAUUGGAGAAACUAAAUCCAGGAUUGUCAAGUUAAGAACCAAGUUGAGGUUGGUAUUCAAACUAAUAUGGAGGUUUGCGGAGUUACUUUGAAUCCAAUUGCUAGUCUUAGGUUCAGUGGCGAAGCCACGUUGAUUACUAAGGGUGCACAUGCACCCAGUGUAUUUUAAAUAUUUAACAUUUUACACUAAAAACAUAAGAUGCAGCUAGUUAAUUUGGUUAUGGUGCACCCAUGAUUUUCUAACAACAUGAGUUCAAUACCCCGUAGACUAUUUUUAUUAGUAAUUUUGCACCCAGUUAUAAAAAAGUCAAGCUUCGCCCCUGCUUAGGUUAUGAAUGGGAGUGGCAGGAGAGAGGCAGAUCAAUGUUGUUACAGGAGAACUCCAUUUAACACACCAUUCAUGUUUUUUCUGUUUUUAAAAUUUAAUUGCAGGAGAACUGCAUGCAGUUCAAAUUUUUUUUGUCUUUUCUGAAAAAAGCAGAUCUCCUACAUUCAGUUUUGUCCAUUACAAUUUUGGAGAUGUUCACCCUUUUUUUUCUUUUUGACUAAUAAGGCUUCGAAUGGAUAACGCAGUUCAAAAAAUGCAGAUCAAACAAAAACGCAGAUCAAGCAGAACAAAUGCAGAUCAUGCAGAUCAAGCAGAACAAAUGCAGAUCAAGCUAAUUCAAUAAAUUGUACUUAAAUAAAUGUUGACUUUUUUAAUUAAAAUUAAAUAUCUAAACAUAAUAGAACUUAUUAUAAAUAAGUAAUAAAUAUCAUUUUGACAAAAUAUCAAUAAAUAUAUUCUUUUUAAUAAGUAUAGUGAAAUUUAAAAUUAUAUAAAAAUUCAUGGAAAAUUGCCACAAAUACCUCAUUCAUAGUACCAAUUUUCAUGUUUACACUAAUCAAUUUUACUCUUUUUUAAUGAAGGGUAAAAGACACUUAUACCCUUAGGGUUAACUAAUCUAGACUUACGGUUUAGAGUUGGGGUGGAAUAGGGUUUUUGGAAUGUGAAAUUUAGGAUUCUAAUAAAUAUAUAAAUAAAUAUUUAAAAAAUAUUAAAAGAAAAUUAAAAAAUAGUUUCAAACAUAAUUUUUGAUUUUCAAAAAUAAAUUUUGAAAAAAUUAAAAAAAAAUCAAAAAAUAAAAAAAAACAAUUUAUAAAAAAAAUUGAAUUUGAAAAAGUAUAAUUUGAAAACAUAAUUCAUUAUAUUUACUUAUAUAAAAAUAUUAAUUAAUUUUUGUACUGGUCAUAUAUUUUACUACGAUAAGAAAAUAACAUCUAUAACUACAUACUGAAACAAAAUUAUAAAAAUAUAAAUAUAUUAACCAAAUAUAAAUUAAAAUGUUAUAAAAGAUAAAUAUAAUUGAACGGGCCUAAACACGACUAUACAAAACAAACAUAAUUCUAUUUGAUAAAUAAAUUUACUAAUUAUCAUAUUUGUUUAAAUUUUAGAAACUAAAAUACUUAAAAUGAAAUAUCCAAACUGAAAAUACAAGUUCUUAAAUACAUAUAAUAAAUUAAAAAUUAAAAAUAAAAAUAAGCUUUCUUUAAAUUAAUUAUAUACAAUAUUAUAAAAUAACAAUUUAUAAACAAGUAUUAGUUAUUUAAAUUAUAUUACUUAUUAUCAAGAAUAAAAAUAAAAUGAACUAUGGUAUAUAUGUUUUUCUAUCAAUGUAAAUAUUAUUUAUGACUUGUAGUGAAGUAAGAUAAAGUAGAUGAUACAAAGUACAUUGUUUAUUAAUAAUUAACAAAAAAAAUUAGAUUUUCAUUCAUUGGUUAUCUGCAUAAAUUCCAGCACUUUUUUCUUGAUUUUUGCAGAUCAACAUUUUAAUGACUAUUAUUAAUCUGCAUGCAGAUCAGUGCAGUCCAAUCUGCAAUAUUAAUGAACUGCAAUUAAAACUUGAAUGGUAAAUAAAAUGCAGAUUGAUCUGCAUCCCAAAAAUCUGCAUUUAAUCUGCAUUUAAACUGCAUUUCAUUCAAAGCAUAAAUGCUUUUGUUAGAAAUUAUUAAUAUAUUUAAUAUUCUUCUAUAAAUAACAUAUUUUCAUUCAAUUUUAUUUACAGUUUUAACAAUACAAAAAAAUUUCAAUUUUCUAUUUAUCUCUUUUUAUAUUUAAGAUUUAUCUCUUUUUUUAUUUAUGUCAUAUAAAUUUAACAUUUAUCUGAAUUAUUGAUAUGGUGCUGUGUUUUUAAUUAAGUAAAUAUAUAUAUGAAUGGAAGAUAGAUGUAUUUGGUUUAAAAAAAUAAAAUGUAUUUGGUUUAUUACUAAUAUUUUCAUAUUUUGAUCUACAAAAUUACAGUAACAUAACUAUAGUGCAAUAUUAAUUACUAUUUAUGUAUUGUAUUUAUAUACUUAUAUAUUUUAUUUUAUCUUUGUAAUUUUUAUUAUUUAAAUAUGUAAUCUAUUUUAUUUAAUUUUUCAUCUUUAUAAAUUUUAAUCAGUGUUUUGAAUACCGGACCGGACUUACCGGUCAAACCGAUCAGACUGUCGAUCGUCUAACCGGUUAUGAGUUGUGUUAAGAAUCUGAUUUGAGUAAAAUUGGUAAACUCAAUCAAUAACUGGUCAAACUUGGUAAAACCAGUGAUCCGUUUCGAUAUUAAAACUUGGUUUUUUUAAAUUCAACUUAAAAUUAAAUUAAAAUGCCGUUGGAUCGGUUGGAUUGGUCCGACCUUUGACUCAGCUAUAAUGCCGAGUCAAUGUCCAUUCCGGUAUUCAAAACAUUAAUUAUAAUAGAUUGUUUGAUCUGCCUUUCUUCCACAUGAUCUGCAUUUGAUCCGCUUGAUCUACAUGAUCUGCUGCAAUGUUUAAUCAAAUAGAGUUCUAUCUUUUGAUGAAACCAAGAAGAUUCUUCUUCAAGAAAAACGUUUCAUUUGGAAAAGGAGCAAAUACUCAAAUUAAGUCAGAGCUAACUGAGAACAUACUUUAAUAUUGUCGGUCUAUCGAUAUUCCGUUUCACAAAAAAUGCUUUUUCGAGAUUUGUUUUGUUACACAAAAAUGUCAUUUUAGAAUUUCAAUGUAACUUAUAUUUCUUUUAAGUUUUAUAAUAACUACAAAACACAUUGUUUUAUAAAUAAUUGUAUUUAUCUUAAAUAUUAUUAAUUAAAUAAAUAAAAUUAAUAAGAACAUAAAUUCAUUUCAUUAAUUUUCUUAAUAUGUGUAGAAAAUAUCAAAAUAACACUCUUUACGAAACAGAGAAAAUAAAUGUUGUAGAAAAAUGUCAAACAACUCGUUGUUACUCAUUUAGUUUCUUAAAAAAUGUUACUUUGUUUUACACAAACAAAAAAAUGACUGAAAUACAUUUUUUACUCAUUUAGAAUUCUAAGAGACACAUUCUACAAAAUAGUGAAAGUAUGAAACAAAGGAGUACAGGUGUAGCAAAUUAGUACCUGAUUAGAUGAUCCACUGAUUUCUCUGGUGAUAUCAACGGUACUAGACAAUAAAUAAAGUCCAUUAAUUGUUUUUGGAAACUAUGCUCCACUCGGGAAUAUGCGAAGAAAAAAAAAGGAUGAGCUUACAUCUCUUUUAUUAAAAAGGAAAUAUUCUCUUGGAUCCAACUUUUUAUGAGAUUUUAAAUUAAAUUCAUUUUUUAUUAUAAAGUAAUUAUUUUCAAACAACACAAUAAUUAAUUUUAUAUUGAAACAAUAUAGUAACACAAUAAUUAUUUUUAUUAAAAUCAUUUUUAAUUGUUAUAAAGUAAUUAAAUCAUUUUAUUAUAAAGAAAUAGAGAUAUAGCUAUAUAUAAACAUUAUACAGUAAAUAUAAUAAAAAUAUAAUUAUUAAAAUAUUCAAAAUAUAUAUUAUCUGAAGAUAAAUGCUUAACAUUAACUAUAAAAAAAUCAAACAGAUUAUAAUAUAUCUGAACCAAAUUAUUAGCAAGAUGAUUACACAAAAUAGCUAUAACAAUGUUAAUUGUUAGGAUAAAUUCAUGCAUGUACAUUUGUGGUAGCAUGGAAUGUAAAAGCAAGUAAAAAAAAGCAGGAAAAGAGAUCAAAAAUAUUGUUCUAUUGAUUUUUAGAGCAUGAACUAUAAAAUUGAUGUACAAACCUAGUUCUAAUAUUUUUGUGUAUAGUGGUCAUCCCUUAUUCUAAGGUUUAGACUCCUUUUAUAUAGAUAGUUCAUAGUCGGCAAUUAGAUUAAAGACUUCCAUAAUCAAAAAUAUGGAAGAGUUUUCUUUAGCAUAAAUUUUUCAUUUUAUACGAAAGUAUAGAUAAAGCAAAGUUAACAUAAAUUUUCUCCAAACAUGAAUCAGAAGGUCGGCUGAACAUGAAUAAUGUCUUCCUGAAUUAUCUAUCCCAAACAUUGAUUAUUUAAUUUGGCCAUAUAAAAUAAAUAUUACUCCAUCUGUUUCAUAAUAAGUAUCUUUUCAAUUUUUUUUAUUUUUGUUACACAAAAAUUAUCAUUUCACAAUUCUAAUACAAAUUAUAUUUACUUUCAGUUGAAAAUUAAUUAUAAAUUACAUUAGUUUUAUAAAUGAUUUUAUUUAUUUCAAUUACUAUUGAUCAGAAAGAUAUAAUUAAUAAUAACUUACAUAUUUUUUUUUACUAUUUUCUUAGUCGGUGUGAAAAGUAUCAAAAUGACACUUAUUCAAAAACGGAAAGUAUGUAACUAAAAUAUCUCUUAACACUAAACAAUAUUUAAUUAAUUAAAUAAAAUAUUCAUUUAGUUUAUAAAAUUUGAUUUUUUUUGUCAACUUAUAAAAUUUGUUUAAUCAAUUUAAAAUAAACCCAUGGUGGCACGUAGAUCAUGAUCUAGUUACAUGUUAUAACAUCAAUUUCUUUUUACUAUUACCUAUAACAAACAAUAAAAACCACGUUUGAAUUCAAACUUUUGUUAAACGUGUUUUGAAACUAAUUUUGUUGAAUGUUACCGAACAUUAUCUGUAUCUUCUUCAUAAUUGGUCUCACGUUCAUGGUCAGACUAUCCCAGCCGUUAAUUUUUUCCGUUAGUUAUUGCGUCACUAAUAAGUCCAUACACGAUUACAUUCUAAAUACAAUAAUAAUACAAGUAAACACAAAACAUUGGCUACCAACAUAGAGAGAAAGAAGGAAACUUAAAAGAGAAUGAAGAAGGCAAAUGACCGCUUCUCCUUAUAUAAUCAGCUCUCUCCGAUGUCCUCACCGACAUCUCGUUCAGCUUCGCCUCCGCAUUUGCUCUCCUCUCUUCCGCUAUCCUCUUUGUCGCCGCCAGCUUGUUCGCCAACUUCUCCUCCGCUCUCGCUUUCAUCCUCUCCGCCUUCACCUACACACACAUUCACUUCUUGAAUUUUAAGAUAAUUAUUCAUUUUUCAAAGAAAUAUUCACUUAAAUAUUGAAUCCAAACCAACACCAAAACCGAUUAAACCGAUCCACAAUGUAUUUGAUGAGAAUCUUACCUCCAUUUUUUUCAUCUCCAUCUCGGCCUUUCUCUUCUCAUGAUUCUCCCAAGCCUGUAUCUUCACUUCCUCUCUCUUAUACCUAAACCACAUUCCAGCAAAAAUAAAACCUCAAAACACUGGUAUAUAACGAAGCCACGUUAGCACCAAUUAAAUCAUUCAUUAAUCAAUUAAUUAGUGUUAAUCACCUAGCCAUGAACUUAGCGCGUUCUGCUUCAUCCCAAGCCAUGGCUCGAGCUUCCAUAGCAUUCAUCGCCUUAGUAUUACUAUUAUCUCCUAAUCCAAUGUUUUCAUUAUUAUUACUCGCCACGCUUCUAGUCUCCGUCACCGUCGCCACCUCCGUCGCCAUCCUCACCGUCUCUCCGCGGCGAGAAGCUCUCACCGGUGACGUCACAGGACUUCUCCCGACCGGCGUUGUGGCCCGCACAGGAGUAGCUGUUCUAGAAGGCUCCUGGCUCCCGAUCGGAGUCAUCUCAGUCCCCAUGUCCCUCACGCAAACCGAUCGAAUCGCAGCCGUAGGAUUAAUACUCUCUUUCCUCCAAACCGAACCACCUGGUUCUCCACAGUCUACGUUCUUCGUCUCCACCUCCGGCCUCCCCGCCGCCGCGUCUCCGUCCUCGUAUUCAACGUACUGAUCUUCUCCUUCGCGUUCUCUCUGCGAAGCAGAAGCUAUGAGUCGAAGAUCAUCAGCGUUGGAGUUUCUCGGUUUACAGCUCCUCGAGUGGUGGUUCUUCUCUCCACCUCCGCCGCCGCCGCCGCGAGACAAACCAACUCCGGAGAGCCAUUUCUGAGCGUCGUCCCAUUUUGAAGGUGCGGGUUUCCCCAUGGUGGACCGGUGGUGGUUUGGUGUCCGGUUCGAACCUUUCUGAAACUCGAAACCGAUAUUACCAUGUCCGUUCAUCUCCGGCGUCCCUGGUCCGAGACACCCUUUGUUAUCUUCCACCCCUUGAGAUCUCAUUCUUCUUAGGAUAAAUAAAUAAAAAACAGAACACAGAGAUCUAUCUGUUCAAACUCUUACAAGAAGUCAGGAGUAAUAUAAGGUUUUUAUAUAUUCAUUAGUGGAUAAAGAAAGAGAGGUGACUUCAAGAAGGGAUUAAAAAGAUAUAAGUGGAAGUGAGGAAGAUGUGGCGAAACAAUCAAAGAGUCGUCACUCUCGUAGACCCAACUUUAUGAAUGUGAGAGAUUUAGCAGAGAGUCAUUAAAUGCCAGAUGGGUUGUUGUAGAGAUGAGAAUGAUAGUCUUUAAAACUCCAAUUAGUUCUGUCUUUUUUUCUAUCGAAAUGACACAAUCAUAUACCCCCAAAGAUUUUUUUUCCUUUGUUGAAAAUAGUGUAAAUGGGUUUGCUUAAUUAUAAUAAUGCUCAGAUCUGGUCCGUGAAAAUGCUUUGGUACUGACACUAGUUAUCGAAUAGUAGUACUCCAUACGGAUGUGCUUUGCUAAUAAAAAUCAUAAAAAAUAUUUUUGCAAAAUAUAUUUCUAAAAACAUCUAUUUUAAAAAACUAAAACGAAUAUCAAUCUUGUUUGUUUCCCAUUAUUAUCCGACUCCUGUAUUUUAUUUCUCAUAUAUUAUUUGGAUUCGUGUAGAUAUAUAGUACAUUGUGAGAGUGUAACCAAAUAGAUAGUAUCAUUAGAGCAUCUCCAACCCAUUGUUAUUUUCACCUCUAUAAUAGCAUUUAGAGGUAAAAUUGCUUCAACCCACCUCUAUUUCUUCUUCUAUAAUAGAGAUCUCUAUAUUUUCCUGUAUUUUCCUUUAUAGAGGAAGAAAUAACAUUUCUCUAUUUUUUUACUCUAUAUGUAGAGAUCUCUAUUUUAAAGAAAUACAUUGGAGUAAAACCCACCUCUAUUAUAGAGUUCCUCUAAUUUAGAUGUAAAAAUAGAGAAAUACAUUGGAGAUGGUCUAAGAGUUUUCUUUCAUUUUUUGAAGAAAAUCAUUUUAUUAUAUCAAUUCCUAAACUGUAUAUUAGAAACGUUACACUCGUGAAUCGUUUUUUGCUUACUACUGUUUUCAAAACGUUGCAUUAUUCUAUUACCGCUUACCUUCCUUAAUCGCUAAAAAAAAUACUUGUCUCGUUUUCGAUCAUUAGUCGAAUAAGUCUUUAGAAACAUCAGCUAACGCUGUGUUUUUUUAUAUACAAAUGGCACAGUCAUGUAGCCCAGAAGAGUAGUGUAAUUGGGUUUUUAUAAUAAUAAGCUCAGAUCUGGUUCGUCAAAAGACUGCCAAUGCUGUAAAGAAUAGUAUUCAUCAUGUGUACGACUGUACGUGGGAGGAAGUGACUCGACAAUCAUCUACUAGUAUAGUAUAGUGUUAAUAAAAUAAAGCAAUACUUAUGCAAAUGGGAAUAAUCACGAACAAUUAGGAGGAAUCUCGGGAAAACCAAAGAGUUUAGCAAAGAGUUAAAACUUCCACUGCAAUUCCCGAGAGCAAAUUUUUAAAGAUACAGUUGUACUUUUUAACGAUAACUUUUAGAACCUUUGAUUAAGAUUUAGAUGAAUGCAGUUUCGCAGAGAUAGUGAUACGUGUACGGGUAGAGAUCUUGGAAGGAGCGGCGAGCGAUGGUUUUUGCCGGUCCGGGUUGGGGGCAAGAGUGGGUCCGUGUUUGUCUGACAAACUCACGUGGUCCUUCACAGUGCCCCCCUACUGCUUGUGGACUGGACCGUCUUGUUGUUUUCUUUUGGAUUCGUUAGCAUGGUACUUCUUUUAAACUCUCAUUUUCUGUUUUUGUUAAGUUUUCUAAUUUAUGAAAAAAGUUAUUUAAACUGGAUAUAAAGUUAGAAUGGAUUAAUAACUAAGGGCAUCUCCAAUGGUGUACUCACCAUUGGAAUCCUUAGGUAUAUUAUAUUAUUAUUUUUUUCUUUCUAAAUAGUUAAGGAUUCUAAUCAAAUAAGUAUGUCUAAUGGUGUUAUUCAUUAGAAAUCUUUAAAAAUAAAAAAUAAUAAAUUUGAAAAUAUUUUUAAUUUUUUUUAAAAAAAUUAAAACAUGUUAAAUUGAAAUAUUUAUUUAUUAAACAUGUUAAAAAAUUGAAAUAUUAAACAUGUUAAAAAAUUGAAAUAUUAAACAUGUUAAAAAAUUAAAACACAAAUCGUUUUUAAACACAAGACUCACGAAAUUUAAUCCGAUUCAAAACCCUAUUAAACUCCUAUCGAAUGAUACUUCUAUCGAUUUGAAACCUUUAUUACAAACGAAAGAUACCCAAAAUCGAUUGAAACAUAAAUCAUGAUGAAACCCGGUUCGAUUGAAAACCCUAAUCUCCAAUUCCGUAACCUAAUUUGCGAAGAAAACCACAUAAAACCCUAUGUAAAUCCAAAGAAUCAGAGGAGAAAAAACGUAACAACCCGUCGAUUCAUCAAUUAUAUCCGGAGAGAGCGAAUCGCCAAUCGCAGAAACAAACUUUUUUUUUCUCCUCUCCACUACAAAUGACACGAACACAGGAAACCCUUCACGCGAUAGACAAAACUCAACUGCCACGUCAACAAGGAUUCACGCAAAAAAAUCUUUAAGAAAAGACUGAUCCUUAAGCAAUAUGAGUUUAAUAUUAAAAUUAUAUGGUUAAUAGUGAAGGAUUUGUACUUUAGGAUUUAUUAAAAACCCCCCUUGUACAUGCUCGUAAACAAUAAAUGCUUACAGUAGUCAGAACAAAUGAGGAAUAAGGAAAACUUCUUUUUCUCACUUUAAUUUUUUUUAAAAUCAAUCAAAUUAAAUAUUUAUCUAUUUUAUUUUACCUAUAAUAUAUUUUUUUGUUUGUUUUUCUAGUUUUCUAAUUUUCGUAUAUUUUACUUUGUGUUCUAUUGAAGCUUUCGAAGUAUGAGAUAAUACUUUUAUAAACAUUUUCUAGAGAUUAAAGCUCAUGACUAUUCAUUUCUACUAAUCCCAAUAGUGUUAUGUUAUCGCUAUUUUCUUUUUGUUUCGGAGGAUGUCAAAUUCUGGAGGUAUUGAGUGGAUUUCGUGUGUCACUGGUUAAUGCUUGGUUCAUCUCUCAAGAUGGAGUAAUCUUCUUCACUUUGUUUAAGGAUUUGAGUUGUUAGGAAUCUAUUUGACCGCUUCAAAUCAGAAUCAUUAUAGUUGGGUAUGAAGUAUAAAGCUCCGUUGAAUAGAUAAUGGUUGCAACAAAAGAUGUGAGUAUAUAUACAAAGAGGAAGCUAGAGUAUUACAAGUUAAUGAGUUAUAUGUAGAAACAUUGUUAUAUAAUCAUUGAUUGAUCUUUAAUACACAGAAGACGUCUCGACAAAUAUUCUACCCCCUAAAUCUGUCGUUGAUCUCUAGGUUUAUGCUCUGGUGACUAUAUUGAGAAUCCUGACAUCUGGUUUCCACGAUAUGAAGCAGAAUAAAUAUAUGGUGGUACUUAGACGAAGCAUCCAUGUGGCGUUGGGGACAUAAAGCUUCGCCACCGGUAAAGAUCCAUCACAGAGAUUUUGGAGGCGGCUAUGCUUCAGAGACCUGCUCUUGAGGUGUCGAUGAUAAGAUUAAACGAAUAAAAAAUAAAACAAAAAGAUGAUACGAUUAAACGUGUGUGCUCACGUGUCUUAGGCUCAUCAUUUUCUUUUUUUUUUCAAAAGGCUCAUCAUUUUGUAUUUUAUUCGGUUUUUUUGUUUGAUACCAAAACUUUGCUUUUAUGAAUUUUUGAUACAAAAGAUGGGGGACAAAAAAAAAGUAAACAAUAGUUGACGUUACUUGCAAAUGAGUAGUUUACAGAAUUUGAAUUUCUCAUUAAUUCGGUCGGAUACUUCAGAAAUCUUAUGAAUGAAACAUGAUGUAUGUAUAUCCAAAGAAUUUUUUAGUUCCUAAUGUUCUGUCAAAUUAGUAAGUAGUUGAUAUGGAACGACGAACACAUUAUCAGAUAAAUUUAUGUAGUUAUUGUAAUAUGCGACAAUCGUUUGAAGUUACAGUCGUUUAGUCCAUAGUUCGUUCAUGCCUUUUGUUUCGUGACUUGCUCUUCGGUGUGGUUUAGUGCUAUAAAAACAAUGUUUCAAAAUGCUGGACAGCAAUGCUUAAACUUUGUUCACUGAUUGUGAUACAUGGUAGCGUGUUAUAAGAAAUUUUUGUCAACAAUUUAUAGACACACUGUUCUAAAAAUAUUAUUAAUAAUUUAUACAAACAGAGCCCAUCGAAUUUAUGGGUGAUGGUAUAAUGUAGAGAUGAGCAAAUAAACUGAAUCUAAUAGAUCCAACUGAUCCGAUGAAAAUAAAUCCGAAUUAAACAGAAUCCAACAUAAAUAUCGAUCUUGUUUUACGGUGUUUUGGCUUAUGAAUUUUACCUGAAUCUGAAUCCAAAUAGAUAUCCAAAAUAUUAAAAAUUUCAUUAUUUCAACAGAAAUUUUACCAAAGACAAAUUCAACCCCGGAUAAAUACUCAAAUACUAUUGAAUAAGCAAAUACAUGUUAGAUGAAUAAUUAACUCAUAUAUUUAAUUUAAUAUAUACUAAGUAAUAAUCCGCGUCUUGUACGGAAUUAAAUUUAUCUUAUUAAAGCAAAAACACUUUAAGCUUUUGUUUGGCAACAUAGAUAACAAUUAAAAAAAAGUUGUUACGAAACAUGGAUAGAAGUAAGUUAGAAAAAAAAAUAAUAGACUUAUGCUAUUAAAAAAAAUUGGAAGUCCAUUACAUUAUAUUAAAAAGUAAUGAGUUUUGUUACUUGAUAUACAUAUUCAAAUCAAAAUAAUAAUUUAAUAUUGAUUUAUAUCAAAAAUUUAUUCAAAAAUAUACAUAUAUUCAAAAUUUGAUUUUUUCUAACAUAUUUUUCAGUAACCAUUAUAAUUUUUUUUUAAUAUAUAUAAGAAAAAUACAAUACAAAGCCCAAUUUCAAACACCAACUUAAAUUGUAGAUUUUAUGUUUUACAUUGAAAUUUAAAAAUAUAAUAUAUGUGAUUAUAUCUUUUAACAAUUGUAUUUGAAGUAUAAAUAUGUUUGCGUUUGAAGAUUAAAUAAUUGUGCUUUAUUUAUAAGUUUAAAUAAGAUUUUCUACUAUUAUAAAGUUUAUAGUUGCUAGUUUUUUUGUUUUUUUUUUAUUUUUUGGUCAAACCUUACUUCAUUAUUUUAAGAGUUUAAAACUCCAAAAGAGAAGAAGGUGUUACAACAAAGGAAGACAUCACAACCCAAAGAGUUUGCCAUAGUGUAAAUACAACACAGAAAUUGAGCAUAUAUAACACCAAAAAGAAAGAUAAGGGAUCGAAUAGCGAAAAAGAUCCAAUGAACAUCAAAUGACCAAUUUUCUGAAAAAAGGUGAAUGAGUUUUUGACAGUCUAACUUGUAUACAAAGUUCGAGAAACCUGUUGAUAUGAUCACAACUUGUGCAACCAAAAGGGCUAGACACUCUGCAACAAUGCCAAACAUUUGGAUGUUGUUAGUUUUUAUUUGUUUGUUUUUUCCUCUUAACAAACACUUCGAAUCAUUUCACAAAGCUAAUUUUGUUAGUAGAAAUUGUUUUACUAAUAUAUAAAAAUUGUUUUACUAAUUCCUUUUUAUUGGUUUGAAUUAUAAAAAUAUAUAAUCUGCAUAUAUAAUUAGACUGUAGUAUAUAUUUUUAACAUGUGUGAAUAUAUCACUCAAAUUACCCUAAAGAGUGAAUUAUUCUCUCAAAUAAAAGGUUCAGUUGUACUACUAAGGGAUCAAAUCCACAUAAACUUUAAGAUUACACAAUAGAAUUAUAGCCUUUGAAAUAAAGCUAGACAAGCAAGUUGUAAGCAGUAAAUGCAGUGAAUAUUAGGUGAACAAGUUGUUUAGUUGAUUGAAUUGAGGCUGUUAACGAGUUGGGAAAAUACAGCAUGACAAAUAUGUAAACUUAUUAGAUUAUUAGGGAUUUAUGAAUAUUAAUUGUUCUCGAACUCAAACUGAAGUUAUAAUCUGUCAACUCUCGUAUGCAAUUCCUAAGAGAGUGUCGAUCGAUGUCUCCUAUGGAUUGUCGAUCGAUGUCUGGUAUUGACUGUCGAUCGAUGCAUCUUAUGGAGUGUUGACGACACUACUUCUAGCAAGCUUUAGCGAAUAGGUUUGAUGUGUUCUCUAAUCACCUAGACCAACUCUCGUGUGCCUAACUAAUAAGAUCAUACUAGUUUUAUUCAGGCAACAUUCCAAUCUCUCACUUGCACCAAUCAAUCCUAAGAUCUAAGUUCAUGGUUUAUCAACCCUAAGCUUAGUAAUAAGAACAACUAGAUGAAGAAAUAAUUAAAUCACCCUAACAACAAUAUAGAUUUGGCAAACCAUAAGUUAACCUUUGAAGAAUCCUAAAUCUAAAAAGAGAACGACUCAGACAUAUUCAUAGGAAACAUUAUGAUGGUCUGAAUAAUACUGCAAUAGAUAAAUAAAAACAUAAUAGAAUAAAGAAACAAAGGUGGUUCACGAUCUUCCAUCUCUCAAGGUGUACAGAUCUCUCUUUCCAAUCCUAAGCUAUCUCUCUUUAGAAUAGUUGAAGCUUAGCCGUCAACAAUGGGUUAGAAAAGAGUAAAAUAGGGUUUUUAGUCGUGUAAAGAUAUUCAGGUAAUUUGUGAUAACUUUUGAACCUAAAUUAAUCAUAAAAUAUAUUCGGCCUGCAUUCUAGAAACACCGUCGAUCGAUGCCAAGGGUGUACCAUCGAUCGAUGCCAAGGGUGCACCAUCGAUCGAUAUUCCUUCAUCUCCUCGACAGCUUCUUUUCGCGAGACAGACUGGCCACUCUUCAGUAAAACAUGCAUAAUUUCUGCUACAAGAUGCUGAUUGAUCUAAGACCUGGGGCAUUGGAAAAAUAAUUCAAAGCUCUAUCUUGUGUUAAAAGAUGGGAUCAAUAUAACGGUGGUAAGAUCUCUAUCCAUAGAUAAACAUAUGACGCGUCUGUGCAGUUAUGCACAUCAAAAGGUUCCAAAAGACUCCAAAAAACUCAAAAAUUACCAUAUUUCUCCAUAAUUUACCUGAACCUGUAAAUAUUCGAAAAAGACUCCAAAACAUAGUAAUUAGUUAUUAAAACACUUAUAAACCAUGACUAAAAUUGGGUAAAAUUCAUGGUCUAUCAGUGAAGAACCAUGAUCAGAAUAAUCAAUAAUGCAAAACAUUGCUUCUCAACUCAGUCUUGAAGUCUAGAAUUGCUUACAGUUGGAUCGGGUUUGUUACUAAUAGCCAGGUUUAUUAAGAUUAAGCACAUGUUUCUCUCUUUGUAUCUCAGUUUUCCAACAAAUUCACUAGGAAGAGUAAAUGUUAUUUUUGAUCGCUUCAUGGCUCUUCUUACUAGGAGAAUUCUUUAAGGUCACACACCUCCAUACAUAUUCUUGAUGGUGAAUCUUCGGACUGCUGAUCUUGGAGCUCUUACUGGUCGGAGAAGACAGUAUGUUCCAUAUGCUGAUCAAGACACUCUCAUAUGACGUCUUUGGUUAAUUAAAUCUAUCUGUUUGUUUCAUGAGGCUGUACCGACAAGAAAAGAGGUCCUCCUUAUAAUAUCGCCACUAAAGGAAUCAUUUCAGAUAUAGCUCAUGCCACCUUCAAAGUGGCAGAGGAGACGUAAGUUAAUAAAAACUAAGAGAUGUGUUUAAUGACCUAGAAGAACUAGAGAUUAUUAGCAUUACCUUUAAAGGCUUACUCUGUAGAUAUAGUGGAAAACAGAAUAUGACAAUUUUGAACCAAGAAAAAAAAGAGAAAAGGAUAUGACACUCUUCUACGGGUGGGAUGUCAGUAAUAAUUUAAAGAGAGGUUCCAUUGCUUGGCGAUGUUUUGGAUUUGACCCUCCUCUGCAAUUUAACAAAGAUCCACUAUAGAUAUAGAGGUUUCCAUAAAUUUGAGUUUAAAAGUAAUGAUCCUGCUGAAUCUAAACAUAUCAUACUCGUUUGUUAGUUCAAGGCAAAAGCUCCUCUUUUACCACAUCAUAUAUCCGUGUAAUGACUUUUUUUUCAUGUUUUCUUUACACGACCCAAACAUAUAUAUACUAUGUUGUCAAUGAUACAAGCUGAGCACCGGAAAGAAACAUGGGUCCAUGAACCCAGUUUCCAGAGUCUAUUUGCUUGUCAUGGCUGAUUCAGCUACAUACCAGAGGCUUUCACACAGGAUGGAUCAGAAGAGGUGAGUUCUUGCCGCACGUUAGGCUACUUGGCUGUCAAGUUGACUAAGUAGCCAACAACUGCUGUAGCAGUUCCAAGGAUCCCACCCACAAUGACCUGAUGACACAUAAAACAGAUAUGGUCUAACAUGAAAGCCAUCUCUAUUGAUCUGAGCUGCCUCAAUUUUGGAUUAUUCGAGUUACCUGUGGAGGGGUAUGACCUAGAAGUUCACGCAAGGGUCUGCUUUCAGCGAGGGGAUGCUCUGAAGGAAGUUCAUACACAAUCUGAUUGAGAACCUGUAAAUGAACCAGACCCAAAUCAGCCAAAAAAAAAAACAGAUUCUAACAAAAAAAAAAAAAAAAAAAAACCUCAGCUUGGCGUCCAGCAUGUAAUCUUACACCAGUUGCAUCAUACAUAACCUGCCGCAGAAAAAAAAAAACACAAAACCAGCUAACUAUUUAAUCCUCUCCUCAAGCCUUAACAAUCAAAACUGAUAAGAAAAGUGACUGAAUAAGCCAUACAAUGGAAGUGAGAAUGAAAGCCAUAGCGAAAAGAGAUCCUCCAAAGCCUUCUUGUAAACCAACGGCCAUAGCAAGAGCUGUAACAGUUGCUGAAUGUGAAGAAGGCAUUCCUCCAGACCCAACAAGCCGUUUCAGAUCCCAUCUCUUUUCCUUAUACCUUUUGACAAAACAUACAAAACAGAGUUGUCGGUAAAAUCUCUGUCUUUGUCUAAACCGUUCUCAGUCAAAUCUCUUAGAAACACAAAGAAUUAUAAGAACAACUUUUCUUAUUAGCUUUAGAAACUACUCAAAACUAAAGCUCUCAAUAUGUUUCACUUAGAUCAUAUGGAACACCUCUCCAUUAGACCUAUAUUUAUAUGAAAGACAAUUCCCUUUAACAUGUGGGAUAUGGAAAACACAAACCUAACCUAAAUAGAAACUUCCUUUUCCUAUUUCUAGGUUUCCUUAUUGUGUUUAUCUUAACAUAUUAAACAUCUAAUAAUAUGUUAAGUUUCCACAAGCUUGGAAUUAUCCAACAUUCACCCCCUUAAUUCCAACUUGAAUUAGGGAGAUCAAUUUCUUGAACUCCGAUUAAGCUCCUCAUUUGCUUGAACUUAAUCAUCAAGUAAUCAUCCUCCACCACACCAUGGUGUGCGAAUCCACCCAUUGAAUUCACAUCUUUCUCAAGGUUAGACCGGAUGCUCUCCUUGCUUCCGUACCGCUUCUUCUUAGAAUCGGCCCAGUUCUUGUAUAACCUUCUCAUGACCUCUUCACUUAAGUUGCGAUGAGUCUUGUGGCUGAAGCUCACUGCGAUGAUAACUCUGGUCACAUCCGCCAUCUUGCGUACAUGAGCUCUGGGAAGGAUGUCGGCCUUCUGCUCAACACCCAACUGAUUUAUCUCUGGUUCAUCUUCAUCCUUUGAGAACCUUGACUCCAUUGGUACGUGCGUUGUGUCACACGCUUCCACCUUUGUGUCACACACUCCUCCGUGAGUCGUGUUGCACACUCCUACGUGAGUCGUGUUACACACUUCCAUCUUUGUGUCACACAGGAUUCCUUGAGCAUACCUCUCUUGCUUUAUUCUGAUUCCGUCUGCUCCUUGAAUCACCUCUAUGCCAAGGUAGUACGUUAGCUUACCUAGAUCUGACAUCUCGAACUUCUUAGACAUCUCCUCCUUGAAUUGCCUAAUCACCUUAAGCGAAGUUCCUGUCACAAAUAGAUCAUCAACGUAGAUGGCUAUGAUCAAGACGUCUCCUCCUUGAGUCUUGCAGUACACUGAUGGUUCCUUCGUGCACUUCUCAAAUCUCAUCUCCUUGAGAACCUGAUCGAGUUUUACACUCCAUGCUCUGGGUGCCUGGCGUAACACAUGCAACGUCUUGUGUAACACACAAACUCGAUCAUCUUCUCCUUUCUUCUCAGAACCAGUCGGUCUAUCUUCAAGCUCCCAUAUCUUGUUUCUUGUGAUAGACUCCAACUCGUCUUCCAUAGCUUCAACCCAAUCUUCUUCACAAGAUAGGUUGAACUCAUCUGAGGCAAUCUCUCCUCCUCUAUCGGUGCAUCCUAGAUUGAGCACAUCUGAGGCAACCUCUCCUCCUCUAUCGGUGCAACCUAGAUUGAACAUAGCUGAGGCAACCUCUCCUCCUCUAUCGGUGUGAGAUCUUUUGAACCGAUAGAAUGCCUCACGAUUAUCUGCUGGUGUUGGUGGUGUGAUACAUCCACACAAAUUUCCAAGCAAUAAUCUCACUGGCUUUGAUGUACAAAUCAUGGCCUUAGUCAGGAAUGUGUCUCUGGCUUGCUUCCCUGCGAGACAUGUGUCACACACGCCUUCUUUGUGUGUUACACUCGGGAAUGAGUGUCUCGUUUGCUUCUCUGCGAGACAUGUGUCACACACGCCUUCUUCGUGUGUUACACUCUGCAUUCCUACGACCAUCUCCUUCCUUACCAUGUUGUUCAUCACUCCAUAGCAUAUAUGUCCUUGUCGAGCAUGCCACCUCCAUGUAGCAUCUUCGUCCCUGACAUGUAAACAUUCCGGGUAGCUUAUCUCCAUAGGGGUCUUGUAGAGACGGUUUGGAGAUCUUGUCACACGAACUAGCAACCUUCCAUGCGAAUCUGUGAGCGUUAAGUAGACAUCUUUCAUGUUAACCUCACAUCCGUUCUCUGUUGCUUGCCCAAGACUUAAUAUAUUGUGCUUCAGAUCAGGUAUGUAGUAUAUGUCCUUGAGUGCCUUCUUCUCUCCAGUCUUGCACACAAAUGUAACCACACCCUUUCC
rnacentral:lncRNA from 1 species